CAUGGGGCAGCCGGUAACUUUCCCAGCUGUAAUCUAAUAUUUUGCAUAGAUUUGCGCAACAAUCACACAACUGUUUAAUUGUCAGGCACCGCGCGACCACUUAUCACAACAUGGUUGUCGGAAGGGUUGAGUUCAUCCACGAAGGUAGGCAGUCCAACGUUAAUGCACACAGAAUAGCUAGAAGUGCAGUUUUAUGUUCCUUAGUAAGACAUGUGUGGUUUUAUCCCCACCCGAUUGGGUUUGUAACUCUUAUUCAGUUUAAUAAAGGGUGAAGCUCCUUAAAAAAAAGAAAGUAAACUCUCUAUCUGGAGUGUAAACUGUCUUCCAAAUAAAAGUCAAGUGGUGUAUAUGUUUCUCCAAAGGAAAAAUCAAUUGAGGAUGAGGAAGCUAGCCACAAGAUGUGCACACUUCUUGUUCCUGCCGUUGAAUUUCUGGUAGCUCGUACCACCUAGCAGCAAGUACUCUAUGAUCUAGUUGCGCACACAAGAGGACACGAAAAAGCAUUGACUAGUAUCAUCAUGCGGCGGAAACACGUGUAAAUACCUUGCACGGUCGAUAGCUUGAAGGUACUGUCCAUCGAGAGAGUGAUAAUUAAGCUUGAGCAUAGACAACCGCAGCUCAGAAAUAUCACAGGCGUGCACGCACAGGCUACAUAGCCUGUGUGUGUUUCUUUAGCUUAAGGCCCGGUUUGUUUUCCACCUUAGAUUACAUAAUCUAGCCUACAGUGAUCUAUAAGCUAAAACAAAUAAGCCCUGUAUGAUAAUCUGAUUAUAUAUAUAACAAUGCACAUUUGAAUAAAUUAAUAACCCUAGUUCAGGCUCUGAAAUUCCGUGGCUGAUAAAUUAUGCUUCGAUGCUGGUAUGGAAGGAAUAAGUCCCUUUGUAUGUGGCCGCACAACUCUUCCAUUUCUUUGGGUUCUAUCCAUUCCAACACCUUUUAAACCUAACACCACAACUACCUGCAUCAUCAUUCACCUUUUCACCAUUAGCUCAUUUUAGUGGUUUUAGUACAUGCUAUUUACGGGUGUUUUUCCCUCCAAGUUGGCAUUUUCCUUGCCAACAAGGUCAUGGCGUGGCCCAGGCCUGCCGGUCCUUUCUUUCUUCAUGAAUUCUUACCUCGUUCCCUUGUCCAUCACCGAUUAAAGGCGAACCCCCACGACCUUUCACCGUGAGCCUCAUGUGUUGAUAGAACUACUGGUGAAUAUACAGAAAAAUAAUAUUUACUUUUGCUAAUAAUGAUGGACGGAUGGUUUUGGCUGAAUCAUCAUAUUUUCUUUGAACAUAUGAGAACAUGGGGCCGGCCGGUGGCUUUCCAGCUGUAAUCUAAUAUUUUGCAUAGAUCUGCACAACAAUCACACAACUGUUUAAUUGUCAGGCACCACGCGACCACUUAUCUCAACAUGGUUGUCGACAACGCAUCCAAUGAUGAUGCGACAUCAUGACAGGCAUGUUGGGUGAAGUAUUUCCACCCACGUCGUGUUAGAUCCCACUAGCGUGUAGAGGCCAAUACGGCCACGAAGACCUGGCUAGAAGACCGUGAGCGCGGUAAAGCCCUUUCGAUCUUUUAUCAUAUUCCAUCUAGUAAUACACUAAUCUUUUUGACUGGCGUGUCUGUUAUCACUACUAGAGAACUGACUUUAGAUACCACCCCCUUUAGUCUUGGUUUAAUUUUGGCUCGGGAGAAAAAGGGGUGCGUCACGGUAGGCUGGAAUGGGGCGCACCUUUACUCUCGAUUCUUUUUUUUGCAACCGGUAUUACAGGCCACCCUUUAGUCUCGGUUAAAACGGCUAGCUUCCGUGCACCGACGGUUGCCACCCUUUACCCCCGGUAGGAGCCACCAACCGAACCUUUUGUCCCGGAUGGAAUUACCAACCGGGAUAAAUGUUUUACCCCUGGUUGGUAAUUCCAACCAGGACAAAAGGUUGGAGCUUUUAUCCCCAUUGGCUUUACCAACCGGGAGUAAACACCAACCGGGACAAAAGCUCUAAUCUUUUGUCCCGGUUGGAUUUACCAACCGAGAUAAAAUCUUAUCUACAAGAGGCCUUUGUUCCUCCUCCACUCCUCCACUCCGAGCCACUCCACUCCACAAAGACAGAGAAGCUCAUCCUCUCCAUGGCGCCGAAGCAAGCCUAGGGGAGGUGCUGCUGAAAUUUUUUUCCUCAUUUUCUUGGGGAUUUCACCCAUCCAAAGUGUUGUGAACGUUAGCUACUUCAUGCUCUGUUCAUUUAUUGUUGUUAAGCUUUGUUUUAUACUUUAGAGAGGGAGAAAAAUGAGUUUGUUUGUUGUUAAGCAUGUACAGGAUUUGUAUUUAUACAUGUUUUUGAGCUACAAUGUGAUGGAUAGUUUGAAUGUGAGGGAGAAUGGACAGUAAAUGUGAGGUAGAAUUGAGAUUAUUUCAAUUUUAUGUAUUAAGGAAAAAUUAGAGUAAAUGUGUUUUUAAUAUUUAUAAAUUAGCCAGGUGUAAUUUCAUACUUUAAUACUUUUCAGAUAGAGGUAUGGAAUUAGCCAUUUUUAGAAUAAGUAAAUUAUGUGGGAAAUAUUGAAUUUUUUAAUAGUUUAGUUAUUUGUAAAUUAAAUAUGAGCUAAAUAAUUUGUAGUACAUAGAGAUGGCUUUCUAUGCUGGAUGUAGUGGCGAUGGUGGGGGAGAUCGUCGUUCCUCUCGUGGCAAGGGGAAAACCAUAGUUAGCCCUCACGAUAAGCCGAAGAAAAUGAGUGCGUGGGAGAAAGCAAUGCUUCGUUAUUUGCAAAGAUGUCAUGAAGAUGCUGUUGCGGUGGGUCAGGAACCUCCUUUUGGUGGUCGUUAUGCUCCACCGCCAAUCCCAGGUGUUUUAGGUCCACUUAUAAGUACUACCAUUGCAGGAGGUACAAAUAAACCACAUGAUGAGGCUGCGUCAGCGAAAACUUCAUCUUCGCUUCCCAAGGAUGCUUGAAUAUCUUCGAGAUAGUACUUAGUGGAUGGUUUCUCGUAGUGUAUCAUGUUGUUGUUGCUCUCAAGUUUAAAUUUGUGUAUUUCUAUAUAAUCUUUCAGCAAUAUUUAAGUUUGUCGUAGUGUAUCAUGUUGUUUGCUUCUGAAAUUUUAAUUUGUGUAUUUCUAUCUAAAAUUUUAGCAAUGUGAUGGAUAGUUUUAUUGUAAUCCAUGCGCCCAAUGCAGUAACCAGAAGUGGUAUUCGAAGGCUUCCUGGGAGACCAUUCACAGUCACUUGUUUAGAUACGGUUUCACGCCUAACUAUUUGGUUUGGACCCGUCACGGCGAAAGAGGGGUUGUAAUGGAAGACGGUGAAGGGGAGGAGGAGGAUGAUAGGAAAUUGCUAUACCCAGAUUGCUAAGGAGGCCAUAAAAAGCUAGGUACCACACUAGAAUUUAUGCAAUGAAAGGCCAAAAAUGGUGUGUCCGAUAAGGCAUUAAUGAUUGUUUGCCCUCUGGGAUUAAUGAUAGAUGAUAGUGAUGCAGUAAAAUAAUUAUUUAAGAAGGUAAUAUAACUAGUGUAGAAUUAAUGAGUCAUUCAAACUUAUUGUAAAUAUAAUUUCUAAUUAAAUAUAUUUUUGCAUGUUUGAAAUCUGUAAAGUUGGGAAACCCGGCGAGAUCCGAUGCCUAGAAGUUCCAACCGGCGAGAAUAAAUUUCCAAAUAGAAGUAAAAAGAAGUAGUAUAGAAUUUAUGUCUAGUUAAAACUUAUUGUAAUUAAACAUGCUAAUUUAAUAUAUUUUUGCAUGUUUGAAAUAUGUAAAUAUCUUAUUUUUUGCUUCCUGAAAUCUAGUGAAAACACAAAUCGAAUAAAUUUCCAAAAACCAGUCUGGAGAUGAAAAACAGGAGAAGGCCCCCAUUUAUCCCGGUUAUAAAGUAGAACCGGGAUAAAAGGGACUUUUCGAUUCCCACCUGGAAGUACCCAUUUAUCCCGGUUGAUCAUAAACCGAGAUAAAAGAGGGGUGCCUUUUAUCGCGGGUGAUCAUAAACUGAGAUAAAAGCCCCCCCUUUCAUCUCGGUUUGUAUUAAAAACCAGGGUUAAAUGUCUUUUAAUUCUUGUUUUAGUUACAAACUGGGAUAAAAAGAGGGGCCUGUAUAAAAGUUAUAGCGUCUUCUACACUUCCCCUACCCAACACUUAGCGAAAGUUUCACUCGUCGUCCUCGUCCUGCCCGUCGCCUGCCUCCGCCGUCGCCGCUCCCCGUCGCCGCCGGCGACCCAUCCUAUUCGACGGCCUCCUCCGUGUCCAUCACCACCUCCGUCAUCUUCGCCCGCAAUCAUCGUCGGCCUCCUCCUCCGUCCCCGUCGCCGCCGCCGGCGCGUCCAUCCCUGUCGCCACGACCUCCGCGUGUGCCCCUCAUCGCGCACCGGCGCCACCUCCUCCCCGUCGUCGUAGCCGUCCCCGUCGCCGCGACCGCCGUCCCCGUUGCCAGCCGGCCGGCUGCCUCCCCCGUCAUCGCCACGCGUCCUCAUCGCCGACACGCCGACCUCCAACUCCGGUUGUCCCCCUGGCCUGAAUUAAUUUGAGAAAUUUGGUAGAUUACUUCUAAUUGUUUGUGGAAUAUAGUUGUAUACUGCUAAUUAAUGCUUAGAAAUUAAUUGAACUUUGGUACACAUGUUUACAAAUUUUUGUUGAAAUGCUUAGAAAUUAGUUGAAAUUUAGUACAUUUGUAUAUUACAUUUUGUAUGUUACAUUUUUUAUAUUACAUUUUGCAUAGUACAUUUUGUAUAUUACAUUUUGUAUGUUACAUUUUUUAUAUUACAUUUUGCAUAGUACAUUUUGUAUAUUACAUUUUGUAUACUACAUUUUUUAUAUUACAUUUUUUAUAUUACAUUUUUUAUAUUUUAAAAAUGUAGUACAUUUUGUAUAUAUCAAAAAAAUUUGUUGAAAUGAAUUUUUUUUCAUGGUUGUUCUAUAUAUGAUUUCAUGUACAAAGUAGUUGAGAUAGAUGGCAGACGACGAGGCCAGAAGGUAUCUAAUGGAGCGGAUUAUUACUGGUGCUAGUAGUUCCAACCUUCCCAUAGCGUACACCGAUGAAGAGGGUAGCCAGGCAGACAUGUUUCUCAACCUGUCUGCCGAAGGCAAUGAAGAGCCCGAGCCCCAGAAAAAGGUUACCGUGGCAGAAGGUUCCGACGAGGUAUAGAUCAUAUUUUUACCUUCUGUAUAUAUAAUAUACGAUGUUAUUCAUUAUUACUAUGUACUAAUUAAUUAAUGAAUCUUGAACUGUUAUCCCUCUAGAUCGACGAACCAUUGUCCGAAGCCCCGAGGUCCUUCCAAGGUGAAGACAGGAACAAAAAAGGCUAUCAUCACGGAAGUCACAAAAGAGGGCGGGCCGGUUGCUCCCCAAAAACUGGCAACACAGUACGUGAGUCAGAUCGGGGCAAUCGUAAGGGAGAACGUGCCCAUCAGCAUAAGGGAAUGGAAGGGCAAAACGACUAAUCCAUACGCGCUCUAGGAACCAGAAAAGAAUAUACUGUGGGAAGAAGUUAAGAAACAUUUCACAUUUCCCAACGGAUAUAUUCAAAAUGAUGUGAAAGCGUGGACACUAAAAAAGAUGGCCACACAAUUCCAGACAUUCAAGAAGAUGUUGGAUACCACCUACAUUAAGAAGGGCCGAACUCCAGAUUUUACUGUGUAUCCACAGUGUAAGGACCACUGGGAGGCAUUUGUACAAUACAAGAGCACCGAAGACAAUAAGAAUAAGGUCGCCCAGAACACAGGCAAUGCUGGGGGAAGGAGUACCAUCAUAAGCUAGGGCGAGGUGGUUACGCCAAAGCAAUUCCCAAAUGGAAUCAGAUGGAAAAAGACUUGAUUGAGCGGGGUAUCGUACCAGGAACAAUUGAUUGGCCCGAACCAUCGAAAAAUUGGUAUUACGCUCAUGGAGGUGAGAUAAACCCAGAUGAUGGGACGAUGGUCUUCAAUGACCUGUUACGUGAAGCGGCCACAAAGCUUGACAAGAUUAUUAAAGAUGUUAAGGAUGGGACGUUGAUGGUGUGCCGAGAGAAUGAUGAGCUAACAAUGGCCCUCGGAAAUCCCGAACACCCAGGACGUACCCGAGGGUUCAGGCUUGUUCCAUGGAAGUUCGCAUUCCGAGGCGACUUGGACAAGUACACAAGCCAGAACCGAAGAAAGGAGCAAGAGGAUGAGAGGUGGCGGCGCAUGAUAGAAUCCAAAUUGCAAUCUGUAGAAGUAAGAAUGCAGGAGGGAGGCAGUAGACGAAUGGCCGACGCAGUUGGCAGCCCUUCUCAACACCUCGGGAGCAGCUGUGCGUCCACAGGGCUCCCUGAGCCACAUACGCCAGGAUUACCUGUGGAAGAGCAACUAUUCCCUGUGGAUGCCAUCACGCAACGCACCACAUGUGAGCUGCAUAUACCGAUCGGCAACCUCAGCAUUAAGGUACGUAUAUAUACAUAAUAUUUAUGCACCGGAGCUUCGGGAGUGCUUUGGCAAUUUGAAGUUUAAGAACUUCAUUUCUUUUAUAUAUCCAGGUGGCGUACGGAAGUGCAUUGCCAAUCCUGCCAAAUCAUACAUGCCAUGGCAUGGAGCUUCCACCUGGCUAUGCCAGUGUUGGCGUAGAGAGAAUCCCUAAUAGCCAAUUUGAAGGCCUGGAGCUCGACUUCCUAGCAGGCGACGGGUCAACAACACUAGGAGAAGUGGUUCACGGGAUCAUUCUAUGGCGCAAACGCUACAUCAUCAUCCCCGGUGUGGAGGCACCUCCUCAGAGCUCAAGACCACUCUCCGCAAAUCCACAGCAGCGACCAUCUCCUGAAACAUCCAGACCAUCAUCUCCACCACAACCUGCUCCACGAUCAAGGUCUCCAUCUCCACCACAUCCUGGUGGUUGUAGCGACGACGACGACGACAACACCCUUCCACAAUCACCUUCGUCGGGACUAAGAGCACCAUUUAAGAAGUUGCGACUACUGCCUCCCAAGCUAAGAUAACGUAAGAAGAAAACAAAGGAGCCUGAGGUGACUCCUGAGGAACGCUGGGAGGCAAUGACUCAUGAGGAACGCUGGACCGAAAUCCAAGUGCAAGCUAGUGAGUGGUUGAGGGAACAGAGGGAAUUAAGAAAAGCAAGGGAGAUGGAGCCACCGCCAGUAGAUCGAAGAGAAUUAUACAAAUUCACCAAGACGCAAGAACAAGCCAAGAAGAGUCAACCACUACUACCGAACUAUGAACGAGCAUUAGUAAAGGUUGAUGAGAAGAAAAAAAAGGAAAAAAGUCGAGCUGCCAGCUGCACCGCCAAGUGAACCGAAAUGGACCUUUGAGCUAGGCAAGCCUAUGGUUGGCCCUGAUUCGCUAAAGGAGCUAUCAACGAAGAUGUACGAAUUCCAUCAAUGGUACAUGAAGUUGUCUGCCGAUGAGAGGGAGAUGUUGGGCCUUAAGAUAAAAUCGAUAGAUUUUCACAGCGAAGGCGAGGCAGUCCUGUGGCUACGAUUCAAGGAUAUAUACGAAGUGUACCAUCAUGGUGCCCUAGACGUCUCUCUGAUGAGCACCUGGACUCUGUAAGUGUCCGUUUACAUGUACAUGUAAAUAUUGGCUCAUAUCAUUUUUUGUGUGCAUGUGUCGCCGUACUAAUUAACUUCGUCUUCCAUUUUAUGUAGGAUGCUAAUUCGGACGUGCUGACAUGAAGCGUACCUCCAUAUUGGCUUCAUGGAUCCAUCCAUAGUGAACCAAGCCCAGAUACGAGAUUUUCCAGACAAAACGUUGCUGGCAGUAUACAAUUCUUUAGAUAGACAAAAAUUAAAGGAUCACAUACUACUUCCAUACAACUUCAAGUAAGUGUGUGUAUACCGUCUAUAUUCGUUUUCUUUUUCCUUACCUGAUUAAUGUUAGUUAUCUCUAAUAUAUAUGAACAUUUACGUACGCAGCUCCCACUGGAUCCUCAUUAUUAUUAACAUUGAUCGAAGUCACGUCACUGUCUUCGAUUCGUUGAGGAGAGAUCCGAAGGAGUACCAAGACGUUCAACACACGCUAGACAUGUUAUAAUUCUGGACCUCUAUCUCUAUACAAAAUUUUGUUUCCUAAAUUUUCACCUAACACUAAUCAUUCAUUAUUUUAAUCCGCAGAGCAUGGAGAGAAUUCAUCAGGGCAGACAGAUCAGGUCAAUUCAAAGAAAAACUUACAUGGAGAACAGACUUCCCGGUACGUAUGAAGUCUGCACAUUUUGUACAUUCUAUAGCAUGAAUAUUUAAUAACUUAAGGCUUCGUUUGGAUGUAGAUAUUGGAGGGCUUGGUAUUGAAUUGGGAACAAUACCAAAUUAGCCUAGGCAUUGAAAUGGAUCCAAUACCAAAGCAACUGUUUGGAUGUAAAUGAAAUUGACAGAUGGAAUUCAACCGAAAACGAAUACCAAUUCGUGUUUGGAUAUCCUUAACAUCAAAUUAGAAAUUCACUCCUCAUCCUCAUGCACUUCUCAUCUCAUCUUCUUCCGCCCGCACAGAGGUCGAGAGGUGGAGCUUGGGGUUGGACUGGAGGGAGGCCACGGUGGAGCAGAUGGCGCGGCGGAGGAGGGGAGGAGGGGAGGAGGAGAGCGGCGCGCAACUCGGCGAGGGACGGGAGGAGAGCGGAGCGACGGCGGAGGGGAAGAAGGAAGCGGGGCGCAGCUCCGCGAGGGAGGGAAGGAGAGCGGCGCGGUGGCGGAGGGGGAGAAGGGAGCGGUAGAGGACGGGAAAAAGGGAGCGGAGGCCAGAGAGGAGGCGAGCGGCCGGCCGCGAGGAUGACGAGGAGGGGCGGCGGCUGCGAGGAAGACGAGGAGAGGGGCGGCGGCCGCGAGGAAGACGAGGAGGGGCGCCCAGUCGCGAGGAAGAUGAGGAGGGGUGCUAGCCGCGAGGAAGACGAGGAGGCGGAGGGGGGCUCGAGUGACGGGCUGUUUUGAUGAAGGCUGAUUCAUCUCAAUACCGAGGGGGAAGACUCGGUUUUGAGGGAGCGUUGUUUUAGCUCCCGUUGAAUUCCACGGUAUUGGCUCCCAAUACCAAUUCUCAAUUCCAGGGACAUCCAAACAAUGGUAUUCGUGAGAUCCAAUUCCAAUUCUCAAUUCCGAGGUCGAAUACCAACAUCCAAACGAGGCCUAAUUUUUUUUUCCCCACAACAGUGCUUAAGACAGGAACCUGGAAAUGAUAAUCUAUGUGGCUACUAUGUCUGUGAGCACAUGCACAAUUUAUUGGGACCCAAGACCAGCAAGGCCAUGGAGCACGAAUUUAAAGUAUGUAAAAUAAAACUAUUAAUAAUUAUUUAUUUUCUACAAUUGUUCGUGUAAAAUUCACAUAUAUGUAUCCAAUUACAGAUGUGGAAUAUUCAAUUGGGACUCUUGAAGAAGGAAAGAGUAGCGGCAAUAUGUGAAGGUCUCAUUGGAUUCCUGGUGGACGAGGUGGUAAAUCCAAAAGGAGACUUUCAUUACGAUGGACAAAAAUUAGACGCUCCCAGCACCUCGACGGGAAGAUCCUCGUAUAUAUAUAUAUAGUUUGAUUUAGUUUGUAUAUAUAUAUAUGUAAUACGUACGCUAAUUAGAUUUGUAUAUAUAUAUAUAUAUGUAGUACGCUAAGAAUUGUAUAGUAUUUGUAAAUACUUGUUUGAUUCGUUUAAAUACUAGUUUGAUUGAUUUCAUUAUAAAAAAAAGUUCUCAACUACUAAAGGUUAACUAAAGGGGUACGUGAGAUAUGCACGAAAUUAUAGGCGCCAUGCAGGCGCCUGCAUGGUGCUGUACGCACGCACUUUAUUCCCGGUUUGUAAAACAAACCGUGAUAGUCCCGGUUGGUUUUACAAACCGGGACUAAAUGAGGGUUUUAUAUCCCGGUUGAGGGACCCGUGAUAAAAGACCUCCCCUUUUAUCUCGACGGAUUAAUCCCGGUUGCAUUUUCGGGAGAUAUGCAGUCUACGAACCGGUACUAAUACCGAGUUCUGUAGUAGUGUAUGAAAACCAAUACGGCCACGAAGAUCUGGCUAGAAGACCACGAGCGCGGGGGUAAAGCACUUUUGAUCUUUUAUUAUAUUCCAUCUAGUAAUACGCUAAUCUUUUUGAGUGGCGUGUCUGUUAUGAAAACCAUUGUUCCAGAUGUCCACGAGUGAGUGUGCGUUGCUUCGCCGGCUGAAUUAGCGCUUGCUCCGUACAGCCUGAUGAGCAAGUACGGUUUGAUUUACUUGCGCACCCAAAUGGACAAUCGAGCACCAAAGAAGCUAAUUAUUUGUGCAUUUUCUCGGAAAGCCUCCUGAUGUCAACGAGCCCACGUUCUGCUCUUGAAUUUAGACUGGUCCGGUACGGCCUGGCGAGCAAGGACUCUUGGAGUUACAUGGUGCUGGUGACCCGUCGAUCCAGCACUAAAACAAACGUUGACAAGCAUCGAUCAUGAGGGUUAGUGCCUAUAAAUACCCAGCAUACACGGGCCAUCGAGAGUGAUUAUAUUAGAGCAUACACCUAAAACUAGCAAUGGCCACCACCAGAUCGUCCGCUGCUGCCCUGUUCCUCGCCACGGUUCUCCUGCUCGCGGUGGCUUCUGCCUUGGCCCAAGCGCCGGCACCGGGACCAUCCAGCAGCCAAUGCCCCCUCGGCCUUGAAAAACCGCUCAGGGCAAUAGGUUCACUGUCGCGUCUUCAGCGCAUUGAGAUCGCUCGUCAACUCUUGAGCCUGAGCGUGAGUGGUGCUGUCCGGUGCGUCUGCUCUAUUGCCGGAGGGUCCACUUCUUCUGCCCUUGGUAUCCUCGGGCCCCUCGGGCUGGGAGGUCUGCUCAACGUCGGCCUGACGUGCAGCACAGUCUAGGCCUAAUACAUAAUUGUCGCAUUAAGCAUGCAUGCACACUCGCAACAUACCCAGCAUGUGUGUUGCUUAGCGGCUUAAAUAAGUGCUUGCUGCCUAAUUCUUACCUAAAUGCAUACACUAUAUGGAACCCACGUAGUAGCUAGCUAUGCAGCAGCCGGCUAGCUAAUGUGAUGGUCCCAUACUACAUAUAUGAUAUGAAUAAAUUAAAUUGACGCAUGCACACAUGCAUCAUGGAUCCUGUUCCGCGUGUGUUGUACUACACCAUCCUAAACGGCACUUGACAUACUUAUGUGCAAUGUGACAUGAUGCUUGCAUUUGUUGUGCGGUGUGUGAUGAAUAUAUAAUACUACUUGGCGACAUAUACGCAUUUGGAAAGAAUGUGAACUGUUCUAAUGCUGUCAUCAGGUAUAUCCACCAUAUAUAUACUCGCUUAAUCACGUUGUGAGCUUACAAUUAAUCAUGACAUAGGUCAGCAAUGUAAUUCAACCUGGCCAUCAAUCCAACCAUAGUUCUACCGUUCCAGCAAGCUCUUAUCAGCUAGUCUCAAUGAACAUGAGCUGCGGAGGCAAAGAAAGGCCGGUGUGCCAAGCCACAGUUACCUCAACUCUCUUCCGGCUAAUCCUCACGGUGGAACCGGAACCGAUUUCCUUUUAUCGACCGAGCAUUCUCAUAGCCGUAUUCUCCUUUUGCCUUCCAUUUCCCCUCCUUUCCUUUUACGUUAUCUUACCGUACUCCCUCCGUUCCUGCACACGCAUAUCAAGAUUCAAACUUUACAAUUUUUGACCAAUAAAUUGGCCAACAAUUUUUUUAUUUUUUAAUGUAAACUUGACAUGGUUCGAUUUGUAAUCAAAUGUACUCUACAAUGAUUAUAAGUUUAUAACCAUAAACAAUAUAAUAUAAGAUAAAUAAACGGUUAAAGUCUAAUAUGGGAGACCUUUCAUGUCAUAUCACAUCUUAUAAACAUGAACGGAGUGAGUAUGAUAUCAGUUUUUCUUUGUUUAGAUACGUCUCAGCUAUUCACGCUUGGAAGGGAACGUGGGCCAGGAUGACCCUAGAUAUUAUAUGGUUCCAGAGUGCAAUAACUUCUAUUGCUCUUGGUUUCACAAAUGACGAACAACCACAUUCUAAUAUUAUCUUUUGGAACUUACGUGUCUUGUUCAGCAUAUUCCUUCUGACGAUUAAUGUGGAGCCUUUAGUUAGUAAUUUUUCCGUAUAAUAUUAUAAUUUGUAUACUUUCCUAGAACGCCUAAUCGAAUCUAAGGAUUAUUACCUAAUGAAGUUUCAUAAAAUCCUUCAACUAGUAGUACUUGUAAAAUAAAAGUUCCGUUCUAUCAUAUGAGGAGAUACCGGAACGUUUAUGCGUGGUACGGCGUAUGUCUACAUUUCACACUGUUUGAUAAUUCUCCUUUGAGGAGCAAUUCCACGGAGGUUUAAUUUAAACGUAUCCACAACUAUUUGAGUAAAAAAGUUAGGCAACAUCUAUAGCAGUACAAAGCCCCGUUAUCCUUAAUUAGGUAUGCGCGCAUCCUGCAAAGCCUAAGUCAACUAAUAUUUGGAAUAUGAACUGGCUACCUAGGGAUGGUCUUAUGAGACCUGUGUGCUGCAUAGAGGAGAAUGCCCCGCAGAAAGCCAGCGAGUUGAUUGAUCAAUCAUCGAGAGCGUGGAACAAGAAAAUGGUGCAGGAAUUCUUUAUUCCUAUGGACAGUGAGGUGAUAGGGAGUAUUCCUCUUGCUACAUCGACGCAAGAAGAUUUCUGAGCAUGGCAUUAUGAAGAGUCGGGUGUCCUCUCACUUCGAUCUGCAUACACGAUGCUGGUGCAUAAUCGUGAGAAAAGAACAGCUUGGCUAGAUCGCUCGGCUGGAAGAUCGGACACUAAGUCAGAAGAAAAAGAAUGAUCAGAGCUAUGGAAGGUGAGGGUGCCAUCGAAGGUGCGGGUGUUCUUGUGGAGGCUUUCACGUCAAUCUAUCCCGAGUGGAGAUGUGCGCCACCGGAGGAACAUGUCGCCUAAUAGUUCUUGUUCAAUCUGCGGCGAUAUGGAUUCGUGGAAACAUUCGCUACUAGACUGCUUUAUGGUAAAAGGAGUAUGGACAUUGGAAAAAGAAGAAAUCACAGAGUUCUUAUGCCAAGGCCAAGUACAGGAGAUAGACGCACGAGCGUGGCUUGCGGCGGUUACGAAGCACCUUGCACAUGACGAUUUAACCCGGAUUGUGGUGCGACUCUAGGCAAUACGGCAUGCCAAGCGCAAAGCGAUUCACGAGAAUAGGUUCCAGAGUCCGCUGUCGACUCACUGCUUUGUGGAAAGGUUCGUUGAUGAGCUAGAGCUGGUUAAACCAGUAGGGAAUGUUCGGCAAAUGGGCAAGGUUACAGUACCAAAGUGGAUUCCGCCUCCACAAGGGGUCACGAAGAUAAAUGUGCAUGCUGCAACAUCGAAGAACUCCAAUGUCUCUGUAGCGGCAGCUGUGGCGCGUGACGGAGCUGGCAACUUCCUUGGCGCCUCACCUCUAGUGUUGGAAGGUAUUGUCGAUGCCGAAACGGUGGAAGCGAUUGCCUGUCAGGAAGGCCUUGCAUUGGCAAGUGAUCUCUCGUUGCAGAAUCUUAGAGUCGCAAGCGAUGGCACCAAUGUAGCAAGAAGCAUUCUGGGAAAGGGGAUGGGACCAUAUGGUCCUCUAAUGCAGGAGAUUAACUCUAGAAGAAGAUGCUUCGGAAGGGUUGAGUUCAUCCACGAAGGUAGGCAGUCCAACAUUGAUGCACACAGAAUAGCUAGAAGUGCAGUUUUAUGUUCUUUAGGAAGACAUGUGUGGUCUUUAUCCCCAUCCGAUGGGGUUGGUAAAUCUUAUUCAGUUUAAUAAAGGGUGAAGUUCCUACAAGAAAAAGAAAGUAAACUUUCUAUCUGGAGCGUAAACUGUCUUCCAAAUUAAAAGUCAAGUGGUGUAUAUGUUUCUCCGAAGGAAAAAUCAAAUGAGGAUGAGGAAGCUAGCCACAAGAUGUGCACAGUUCUUGUUCCUGCCGUUGAAUUUCUGGUAGCUCGUACCACCUAGCAGCAAGUACUCUAUGAUCUAGUUGCGCACACAAGAGGACCACCAAAAAAGCAUUGACUAGUAUCAUCAUGCGGCGCAACACAUCUAAAUACCUUGCACGGUCGAUAGCUUCAAGGUACUGUCCAUCGAGAGAGUGAUAAUUAAGCUUGAGCAUAGACAACCGCAGCUCAGAAAUAUCACAGGCGUGCACGCACAGGCUACAUAGCCUGUGUGUAUUUCUAUAGCUUAAGGUCCGGUUUGUUUUCCACCUUAGAUUACAUAAUCUAGCCUAUAGUGAUCUGUAAGCUAAAACAAAUAAGCCCUGUAUGAUAAUCUGAUUAUGCUUCGAUGUUGGUAUGGAAGGAAUAAGUCCAUCUGUAUGUGUAACGACCUAGCCUAUUUAAGCCAUGUUUAAUCUUAAAUAAGGUUAUUAGAGCAUAAAGAAGAACUUUUGGCGGUUGUGAAGGCAAGUAAAAAGACACUUUUGCCCUCACAAGCUAAACCGCUGUUUAAAACGUAACUCAAAUUUUUCCUUAAGAACUUAAAAAUCUGUCCAACUAAGAGUUGUAGAACUCAACUUUCCCAACAACUUUUAUUUUUGGUGUUUGUCUUGAUUCUGAGCGGAGGACCUUCAAAAACUCGAAAUACGACGUGUACUGAAGUAUACCAAACAAGACAAAGUCUCAAAUUAGAGGCUCUUUAUUUUGAAAUUUCUAAUAUAAACUCAAGCUGAACUCUAUGCCAAAGUUUAAGAGCUUCAAUCUCUUAACAACUUUGACUAAGGGAGCAAGGUCGAAAUCUGCACAGAAAGCUUCCAAAACCCAGGUCAAAGUCAGUUAGUUUGGUCAACUCGACCCAAGACUUACAAAUCUGGGCUUAAGUCUGGAAUGGAAUCAGUUCAACCAGGCAUAUUGUCGUGAGCUUAUCUUUCAAAAGUUGAACAGAACAUCAGAAAAUUCCUUUAUAAGAGUUUGAGAACUAACUUUAUAAAUAACUUUGUCAAUUGGACUCCGGUAAAAUUCACAUCAGAAGCUUUUCAAAAUUUAGGAUCAAGUCAGCCAAAAACCCCAAAAGCGACCAAACCGCCGUUUUUGCGUAAGUCUGAAAUCCGGCGUUCCUCCAAUCUUUGAAGCUUUGUAUCUUCAAAUCUGCUGUGAUUUCGAACUUGAUCCAAUUACAAAAGUUGAUGCGUCCCGGCAAAGCCGCUAUUGCCGCGCACGCUCACUUCACCCGCGCCUACACGCCUCGCCUACCGCGCCACUCUCCCUCCUCUGUCCGUCAAUGGCGCCGCCACCAUUAAUGGCCACCGCAGCGCCCCGACACCCUCUGGUCCCAUCCGCUAGCACCGCUGCCUCCGCCUCGGCCCUAUAAAGAGAGGCCUGGCGUCGCCUGUGCCCUUUCCCCGCUCGCCCUCGAACCGCCUCAAAUCGGUCGCAGGUGAGCCACCGCUCCUCCCCAGCUCUUUCCGCCCCAAGCCCGCCGGCGCUUCACCGGGAUUUUGCCCGCCCGCCGCUGUGCGCCGCCCCGGGACCCGAUUGCAUUUGAGAAAAUCGAUUCAGGGGCUUUAGUGCAAAAACCAGGGACCCCUACGCAAAUAAAGUAUAGACGCGAGGGCUAGAUCGCAAGUUUACCUCGGAUUUUGGUUUUGUUUUCUGCAGAAAUUGAAUAAACUUUGUAAAUGCACUAAAAAUCGUAGAACGAUCAGAAAAAUAUCAAAUCAAUUUUGCCAGACUCCUUAUAUAGUAUAGUUUAUGAUAAAAAUACUUUUGGCACAUGUCUCUUCUAAGAUUAAUGUUAUAUGUUUUAAUCCUUGUUUAAGACUUUUAAAUCAUAUUGAAUUGCAGAAAAAUGCUAAAAUGGUAAAUCUAACUCUCAAAUGUUUGUUUCAAAGAAUGGAAGCUUAUAAAAAUGAUGUGGAGCCUAGCUCAGAUGUUUAAAUCUCUGUUUUAGUUUUAUCAUGGAAAUCUAAAGUUGCUUUUGUCUUUUUGCCCAAUAAUUAAACCAGAGAUGAUAAAAGUGUGAAACCAAUUGGAAUAAGUCAGUGGUAUAGUGUAGUUUGUAGGAAAAUAUGGAACGUGAUCAGAAACUGAAAGAAAAACCACUUUCCUUUUUAGGGAAGAAUAAAUAGGGUAAAUGUAUGGAAAAAGAUGCUCUUCACUAAAAAUUAUGAAAAAUUCACCAAAAUCUCUGUAUCACCCCUAUAACGCACUGUUAAAAUUUCAUGACCAUUUUCAUUAUGGUUUAUGUUUUAAAAAUGUUUAAGUGUAUGCUACCUUAGGGUAAAAAAGUAAUUCUAAUUCUUUUUAUGCACCUCCAAUGGACCUCAAAUUUAUACAGUAGCUUAUCCAUAAUAAAGUUAAGUUUCUGUUAAAUUUGUGGCUUCAUAGCUUGCUGUUUGAGGAUAGAAAUAAAAUUUGGAAGACGAGCCUAGCUAAAUGAAAGAAAGAAACCUUAAAUAAUGAUAAAGGUAAUUUUUGGAAGAGGUAAAAAAAACAUUCAGAAUAGGAUAACUUUCCGAUCUAAAGUUUAAUAAAGUUAAGUUGUAAUAUGUACACAAUCACCAUCAAGUCACUCCAGGUUUAUACCGUAACACACCUUACCUGAUGCAAAUAAAGAAGGUUUAGAACCUUGUUUAGGUGAAUGUGGUCGUCAUGUAACUUACACUUUAGUGCUAAUUCGUGUUUUGAAUCCUAUGAGAAAGCUUGGAAAAUGAACUUGAUGCAUUUGCAUUUCGUGUAGAGCUGAACCUCGCUGACGGGACAUACGAGCUUCACCCGGUGCCAGAAGAAGGAGCCGUAGCUGAUCUGCAUCAAGUCGGAGCCGAGCCCGUACCGGAUCAAGCCAAGGACCAGUUCGCUAACUCCCCGUGUGAAGGCAAGCUCCGGAGCAUGAUUUCCUAUCUUUAAAUACUUGCAAUACAAUUGAUUGCUUUGAUUGCGCAUUUACGUUCUAGGAGUUGACUGAAACCAUAGAUGCAUGAAUAUAGUACCCUGAAUCUGAACACUAGUAUGUUAAGUCGAGUAGUUGCCAUGCUUAAUAGGACUCGGUAAAAGUCGAGUGAUUUCCUGUCACUCGCGAGUUAUAGGAGUCGAUUGCUUACUUAGGUUGAAACUAUAAGGACGAUGGACGGGGCCGAGCUUAUGUUCGGUACUCGGUGGUUUGCCCCGUCUAUCUACAUGAAAUUGGACUAAGGUUGAGAUGUGAUAGUGUUCGUGAUCAAGUGUUUGAAAGUACUAAUCUCAUACCUAGUAUGGAAUGGGGAAGCCUAGUACCUGGUUGAACCGGAACGUGAGCGGAUCGUUCCACUGUCUUUGGAACGGAGUUCCCUUGCGGCCGCAUGUGGUGACAAGUGUGGUCAUAGAACAACAGAGGCCAGGUCUAUGGAGCCUUGUACCAAGGGAAGUGGGCCCGACGCGGGUUUGGGAAUUGAUGGGGACGACUGACAAGUGAAGCGACCCUUCACGGUGUGUGGAUGUCGUGGGAUUAGGUUCGCCAUGCAUGGUUAAGAAAUUCAAAUCGAUUCGUCUGCCUCUCACAGUUUGGGACUACUUGAUUGCUAUGCUACACUGAGUAAGAAUCGAACUUGAUGAUGAUCUUAAUGUUGAUGCUUGUCAUAAAUUGCUUGGAAACUAUGUUUGUUUAGUAUAGCUGCUAACUUAGACGGGUAAAUGAAUUUAGAACUGGUGGCUAAAAUAUUGAAAGUAAGGAGCUACACUAGUUGCUUUUGGCAAAAACAAACCCCUCAGCCAAAAAGCCUUGCAUGUCUAGGUGUUGGUGGAGUAGUCACCACCUGUCGGUUAAGUCUUGUUGAGCAUAGUUGCUCAGCCUUGCUUGUGGCACAUCUUUUUAGGUGAUGUUGAUACCCUGAGCUCGCAGCAAGUGGCACUUGGCCACCCCAACAUCCUCCUGGUUGGACGGUUGAGUAGGAUCCCUCCUUGGACGGCGAGGACCGGGAUCAUUGAUGUCAUGAUCGGCUUCGUCAUGAUAUUCUGCAACGACGUUUAGCUUCCGCUCAGUUAUUUCUGUUAUUUGAGAACUCUACAAACUUUGAUGGAAUUUCGAACUUGAGGUUGUAAUAAUUUGAUGCACUUGUUUAAUUGAGAUGGACUGUUGUAAUGUCUGUAACCACUCGCCUUUGUGCGAGUCUUGCUUUCCCGAUCCUGAGUGAAGUGGUUUAUCGGAUGAAAUCCGAUGGACGACCAAGUUGAUUUGUUUAAAGUACAUGAUUGCGUGUUAAGUGGCUUAAGUGUGCUAAGGCAAGUCAAUUUGGGCGGUUCCGCCACAGUAUAUGGCCGCACAACUCUUCCAUUUCCUUGAGUUCUAUCCACUCCAACACCUUUUAAACCUAACACCACAACUACCUGCAACAUCAUUCACCUUUUCACCAUUAGCUCAUUUUAGUGGUUUUAGUACAUGCUAUUUACGGGUGUUUUUCCCUCCAAGUUGGCAUUUUCCUUGCCAACAAGGCCAUGGCCUGGCCCAGGCCUGCCGUCCUUUCUUUCUUCAUGAAUUCUUACCUCGUUCUCUUGUCCAUCACCGAUUAAAGGCGAACCCCCACGACCUUUCACCGUGAGCCUCAUGUGUUAAUGGAACUAGUGGUGAAUAUACAGAAAAAGAAUGUUUACUUUUGGUAAUAAUGAUGGAUGGAUGGUUUUCGCUGAAUCAUCAAAUUUUUCUUUGAACAUACGAGAACAUGGGGCCAGCCGGUAACUUUCCAGCUGUAAUCUAAUAUUUUGCAUAGAUUUGCGCAACAAUCACACAACUGUUUAAUUGUCAGGCACCGCGCGACCACUUAUCACAACAUGGUUGUCGGAAGGGUUGAGUUCAUCCACGAAGGUAGGCAGUCCAACGUUAAUGCACACAGAAUAGCUAGAAGUGCAGUUUUAUGUUCCUUAGUAAGACAUGUGUGGUUUUUAUCCCCACCCGAUUGGGUUUGUAACUCUUAUUCAGUUUAAUAAAGGGUGAAGCUCCUUAAAAAAAAAGAAAGUAAACUCUCUAUCUGGAGUGUAAACUGUCUUCCAAAUUAAAAGUCAAGUGGUGUAUAUGUUUCUCCAAAGGAAAAAUCAAUUGAGGAUGAGGAAGCUAGCCACAAGAUGUGCACACUUCUUGUUCCUGCCGUUGAAUUUCUGGUAGCUCGUACCACCUAGCAGCAAGUACUCUAUGAUCUAGUUGCGCACACAAGAGGACCACCGAAAAAGCAUUGACUAGUAUCAUCAUGCGGCGGAACACGUGUAAAUACCUUGCACGGUCGAUAGCUUGAAGGUACUGUCCAUCGAGAGAGUGAUAAUUAAGCUUGAGCAUAGACAACCGCAGCUCAGAAAUAUCACAGGCGUGCACGCACAGGCUACAUAGCCUGUGUGUGUUUCUUUAGCUUAAGGCCCGGUUUGUUUUCCACCUUAGAUUACAUAAUCUAGCCUACAGUGAUCUAUAAGCUAAAACAAAUAAGCCCUGUAUGAUAAUCUGAUUAUAUAUAUAACAAUGCACAUUUGAAUAAAUUAAUAACCCUAGUUCAGGCUCUGAAAUUCCGUGGCUGAUAAAUUAUGCUUCGAUGCUGGUAUGGAAGGAAUAAGUCCCUUUGUAUGUGGCCGCACAACUCUUCCAUUUCUUUGGGUUCUAUCCAUUCCAACACCUUUUAAACCUAACACCACAACUACCUGCAUCAUCAUUCACCUUUUCACCAUUAGCUCAUUUUAGUGGUUUUAGUACAUGCUAUUUACGGGUGUUUUUCCCUCCAAGUUGGCAUUUUCCUUGCCAACAAGGUCAUGGCGUGGCCCAGGCCUGCCGGUCCUUUCUUUCUUCAUGAAUUCUUACCUCGUUCCCUUGUCCAUCACCGAUUAAAGGCGAACCCCCACGACCUUUCACCGUGAGCCUCAUGUGUUGAUAGAACUACUGGUGAAUAUACAGAAAAAUAAUAUUUACUUUUGCUAAUAAUGAUGGACGGAUGGUUUUGGCUGAAUCAUCAUAUUUUUCUUUGAACAUAUGAGAACAUGGGGCCGGCCGGUGGCUUUCCAGCUGUAAUCUAAUAUUUUGCAUAGAUCUGCACAACAAUCACACAACUGUUUAAUUGUCAGGCACCACGCGACCACUUAUCUCAACAUGGUUGUCGACAACGCAUCCAAUGAUGAUGCGACAUCAUGACAGGCAUGUUGGGUGAAGUAUUUCCACCCACGUCGUGUUAGAUCCCACUAGCGUGUAGAGGCCAAUACGGCCACGAAGACCUGGCUAGAAGACCGUGAGCGCGGUAAAGCCCUUUCGAUCUUUUAUCAUAUUCCAUCUAGUAAUACACUAAUCUUUUUGACUGGCGUGUCUGUUAUCACUACUAGAGAACUGACUUUAGAUACCACCCCCUUUAGUCUUGGUUUAAUUUUGGCUCGGGAGAAAAAGGGGUGCGUCACGGUAGGCUGGAAUGGGGCGCACCUUUACUCUCGAUUCUUUUUUUUGCAACCGGUAUUACAGGCCACCCUUUAGUCUCGGUUAAAACGGCUAGCUUCCGUGCACCGACGGUGCCACCCUUUACCCCCGGUAGGAGCCACCAACCGAACCUUUUGUCCCGGAUGGAAUUACCAACCGGGAUAAAUGUUUUACCCCUGGUUGGUAAUUCCAACCAGGACAAAAGGUUGGAGCUUUUAUCCCCAUUGGCUUUACCAACCGGGAGUAAACACCAACCGGGACAAAAGCUCUAAUCUUUUGUCCCGGUUGGAUUUACCAACCGAGAUAAAAUCUUAUCUACAAGAGGCCUUUGUUCCUCCUCCACUCCUCCACUCCGAGCCACUCCACUCCACAAAGACAGAGAAGCUCAUCCUCUCCAUGGCGCCGAAGCAAGCCUAGGGGAGGUGCUGCUGAAAUUUUUUUCCUCAUUUUCUUGGGGAUUUCACCCAUCCAAAGUGUUGUGAACGUUAGCUACUUCAUGCUCUGUUCAUUUAUUGUUGUUAAGCUUUGUUUUAUACUUUAGAGAGGGAGAAAAAUGAGUUUGUUUGUUGUUAAGCAUGUACAGGAUUUGUAUUUAUACAUGUUUUUGAGCUACAAUGUGAUGGAUAGUUUGAAUGUGAGGGAGAAUGGACAGUAAAUGUGAGGUAGAAUUGAGAUUAUUUCAAUUUUAUGUAUUAAGGAAAAAUUAGAGUAAAUGUGUUUUUAAUAUUUAUAAAUUAGCCAGGUGUAAUUUCAUACUUUAAUACUUUUCAGAUAGAGGUAUGGAAUUAGCCAUUUUUAGAAUAAGUAAAUUAUGUGGGAAAUAUUGAAUUUUUUAAUAGUUUAGUUAUUUGUAAAUUAAAUAUGAGCUAAAUAAUUUGUAGUACAUAGAGAUGGCUUUCUAUGCUGGAUGUAGUGGCGAUGGUGGGGGAGAUCGUCGUUCCUCUCGUGGCAAGGGGAAAACCAUAGUUAGCCCUCACGAUAAGCCGAAGAAAAUGAGUGCGUGGGAGAAAGCAAUGCUUCGUUAUUUGCAAAGAUGUCAUGAAGAUGCUGUUGCGGUGGGUCAGGAACCUCCUUUUGGUGGUCGUUAUGCUCCACCGCCAAUCCCAGGUGUUUUAGGUCCACUUAUAAGUACUACCAUUGCAGGAGGUACAAAUAAACCACAUGAUGAGGCUGCGUCAGCGAAAACUUCAUCUUCGCUUCCCAAGGAUGCUUGAAUAUCUUCGAGAUAGUACUUAGUGGAUGGUUUCUCGUAGUGUAUCAUGUUGUUGUUGCUCUCAAGUUUAAAUUUGUGUAUUUCUAUAUAAUCUUUCAGCAAUAUUUAAGUUUGUCGUAGUGUAUCAUGUUGUUUGCUUCUGAAAUUUUAAUUUGUGUAUUUCUAUCUAAAAUUUUAGCAAUGUGAUGGAUAGUUUUAUUGUAAUCCAUGCGCCCAAUGCAGUAACCAGAAGUGGUAUUCGAAGGCUUCCUGGGAGACCAUUCACAGUCACUUGUUUAGAUACGGUUUCACGCCUAACUAUUUGGUUUGGACCCGUCACGGCGAAAGAGGGGUUGUAAUGGAAGACGGUGAAGGGGAGGAGGAGGAUGAUAGGAAAUUGCUAUACCCAGAUUGCUAAGGAGGCCAUAAAAAGCUAGGUACCACACUAGAAUUUAUGCAAUGAAAGGCCAAAAAUGGUGUGUCCGAUAAGGCAUUAAUGAUUGUUUGCCCUCUGGGAUUAAUGAUAGAUGAUAGUGAUGCAGUAAAAUAAUUAUUUAAGAAGGUAAUAUAACUAGUGUAGAAUUAAUGAGUCAUUCAAACUUAUUGUAAAUAUAAUUUCUAAUUAAAUAUAUUUUUGCAUGUUUGAAAUCUGUAAAGUUGGGAAACCCGGCGAGAUCCGAUGCCUAGAAGUUCCAACCGGCGAGAAUAAAUUUCCAAAUAGAAGUAAAAAGAAGUAGUAUAGAAUUUAUGUCUAGUUAAAACUUAUUGUAAUUAAACAUGCUAAUUUAAUAUAUUUUUGCAUGUUUGAAAUAUGUAAAUAUCUUAUUUUUUGCUUCCUGAAAUCUAGUGAAAACACAAAUCGAAUAAAUUUCCAAAAACCAGUCUGGAGAUGAAAAACAGGAGAAGGCCCCCAUUUAUCCCGGUUAUAAAGUAGAACCGGGAUAAAAGGGACUUUUCGAUUCCCACCUGGAAGUACCCAUUUAUCCCGGUUGAUCAUAAACCGAGAUAAAAGAGGGGUGCCUUUUAUCGCGGGUGAUCAUAAACUGAGAUAAAAGCCCCCCCUUUCAUCUCGGUUUGUAUUAAAAACCAGGGUUAAAUGUCUUUUAAUUCUUGUUUUAGUUACAAACUGGGAUAAAAAGAGGGGCCUGUAUAAAAGUUAUAGCGUCUUCUACACUUCCCCUACCCAACACUUAGCGAAAGUUUCACUCGUCGUCCUCGUCCUGCCCGUCGCCUGCCUCCGCCGUCGCCGCUCCCCGUCGCCGCCGGCGACCCAUCCUAUUCGACGGCCUCCUCCGUGUCCAUCACCACCUCCGUCAUCUUCGCCCGCAAUCAUCGUCGGCCUCCUCCUCCGUCCCCGUCGCCGCCGCCGGCGCGUCCAUCCCUGUCGCCACGACCUCCGCGUGUGCCCCUCAUCGCGCACCGGCGCCACCUCCUCCCCGUCGUCGUAGCCGUCCCCGUCGCCGCGACCGCCGUCCCCGUUGCCAGCCGGCCGGCUGCCUCCCCCGUCAUCGCCACGCGUCCUCAUCGCCGACACGCCGACCUCCAACUCCGGUUGUCCCCCUGGCCUGAAUUAAUUUGAGAAAUUUGGUAGAUUACUUCUAAUUGUUUGUGGAAUAUAGUUGUAUACUGCUAAUUAAUGCUUAGAAAUUAAUUGAACUUUGGUACACAUGUUUACAAAUUUUUGUUGAAAUGCUUAGAAAUUAGUUGAAAUUUAGUACAUUUGUAUAUUACAUUUUGUAUGUUACAUUUUUUAUAUUACAUUUUGCAUAGUACAUUUUGUAUAUUACAUUUUGUAUGUUACAUUUUUUAUAUUACAUUUUGCAUAGUACAUUUUGUAUAUUACAUUUUGUAUACUACAUUUUUUAUAUUACAUUUUUUAUAUUACAUUUUUUAUAUUUUAAAAAUGUAGUACAUUUUGUAUAUAUCAAAAAAAUUUGUUGAAAUGAAUUUUUUUUCAUGGUUGUUCUAUAUAUGAUUUCAUGUACAAAGUAGUUGAGAUAGAUGGCAGACGACGAGGCCAGAAGGUAUCUAAUGGAGCGGAUUAUUACUGGUGCUAGUAGUUCCAACCUUCCCAUAGCGUACACCGAUGAAGAGGGUAGCCAGGCAGACAUGUUUCUCAACCUGUCUGCCGAAGGCAAUGAAGAGCCCGAGCCCCAGAAAAAGGUUACCGUGGCAGAAGGUUCCGACGAGGUAUAGAUCAUAUUUUUACCUUCUGUAUAUAUAAUAUACGAUGUUAUUCAUUAUUACUAUGUACUAAUUAAUUAAUGAAUCUUGAACUGUUAUCCCUCUAGAUCGACGAACCAUUGUCCGAAGCCCCGAGGUCCUUCCAAGGUGAAGACAGGAACAAAAAAGGCUAUCAUCACGGAAGUCACAAAAGAGGGCGGGCCGGUUGCUCCCCAAAAACUGGCAACACAGUACGUGAGUCAGAUCGGGGCAAUCGUAAGGGAGAACGUGCCCAUCAGCAUAAGGGAAUGGAAGGGCAAAACGACUAAUCCAUACGCGCUCUAGGAACCAGAAAAGAAUAUACUGUGGGAAGAAGUUAAGAAACAUUUCACAUUUCCCAACGGAUAUAUUCAAAAUGAUGUGAAAGCGUGGACACUAAAAAAGAUGGCCACACAAUUCCAGACAUUCAAGAAGAUGUUGGAUACCACCUACAUUAAGAAGGGCCGAACUCCAGAUUUUACUGUGUAUCCACAGUGUAAGGACCACUGGGAGGCAUUUGUACAAUACAAGAGCACCGAAGACAAUAAGAAUAAGGUCGCCCAGAACACAGGCAAUGCUGGGGGAAGGAGUACCAUCAUAAGCUAGGGCGAGGUGGUUACGCCAAAGCAAUUCCCAAAUGGAAUCAGAUGGAAAAAGACUUGAUUGAGCGGGGUAUCGUACCAGGAACAAUUGAUUGGCCCGAACCGUCGAAAAAUUGGUAUUACGCUCAUGGAGGUGAGAUAAACCCAGAUGAUGGGACGAUGGUCUUCAAUGACCUGUUACGUGAAGCGGCCACAAAGCUUGACAAGAUUAUUAAAGAUGUUAAGGAUGGGACGUUGAUGGUGUGCCGAGAGAAUGAUGAGCUAACAAUGGCCCUCGGAAAUCCCGAACACCCAGGACGUACCCGAGGGUUCAGGCUUGUUCCAUGGAAGUUCGCAUUCCGAGGCGACUUGGACAAGUACACAAGCCAGAACCGAAGAAAGGAGCAAGAGGAUGAGAGGUGGCGGCGCAUGAUAGAAUCCAAAUUGCAAUCUGUAGAAGUAAGAAUGCAGGAGGGAGGCAGUAGACGAAUGGCCGACGCAGUUGGCAGCCCUUCUCAACACCUCGGGAGCAGCUGUGCGUCCACAGGGCUCCCUGAGCCACAUACGCCAGGAUUACCUGUGGAAGAGCAACUAUUCCCUGUGGAUGCCAUCACGCAACGCACCACAUGUGAGCUGCAUAUACCGAUCGGCAACCUCAGCAUUAAGGUACGUAUAUAUACAUAAUAUUUAUGCACCGGAGCUUCGGGAGUGCUUUGGCAAUUUGAAGUUUAAGAACUUCAUUUCUUUUAUAUAUCCAGGUGGCGUACGGAAGUGCAUUGCCAAUCCUGCCAAAUCAUACAUGCCAUGGCAUGGAGCUUCCACCUGGCUAUGCCAGUGUUGGCGUAGAGAGAAUCCCUAAUAGCCAAUUUGAAGGCCUGGAGCUCGACUUCCUAGCAGGCGACGGGUCAACAACACUAGGAGAAGUGGUUCACGGGAUCAUUCUAUGGCGCAAACGCUACAUCAUCAUCCCCGGUGUGGAGGCACCUCCUCAGAGCUCAAGACCACUCUCCGCAAAUCCACAGCAGCGACCAUCUCCUGAAACAUCCAGACCAUCAUCUCCACCACAACCUGCUCCACGAUCAAGGUCUCCAUCUCCACCACAUCCUGGUGGUUGUAGCGACGACGACGACGACAACACCCUUCCACAAUCACCUUCGUCGGGACUAAGAGCACCAUUUAAGAAGUUGCGACUACUGCCUCCCAAGCUAAGAUAACGUAAGAAGAAAACAAAGGAGCCUGAGGUGACUCCUGAGGAACGCUGGGAGGCAAUGACUCAUGAGGAACGCUGGACCGAAAUCCAAGUGCAAGCUAGUGAGUGGUUGAGGGAACAGAGGGAAUUAAGAAAAGCAAGGGAGAUGGAGCCACCGCCAGUAGAUCGAAGAGAAUUAUACAAAUUCACCAAGACGCAAGAACAAGCCAAGAAGAGUCAACCACUACUACCGAACUAUGAACGAGCAUUAGUAAAGGUUGAUGAGAAGAAAAAAAAGGAAAAAAGUCGAGCUGCCAGCUGCACCGCCAAGUGAACCGAAAUGGACCUUUGAGCUAGGCAAGCCUAUGGUUGGCCCUGAUUCGCUAAAGGAGCUAUCAACGAAGAUGUACGAAUUCCAUCAAUGGUACAUGAAGUUGUCUGCCGAUGAGAGGGAGAUGUUGGGCCUUAAGAUAAAAUCGAUAGAUUUUCACAGCGAAGGCGAGGCAGUCCUGUGGCUACGAUUCAAGGAUAUAUACGAAGUGUACCAUCAUGGUGCCCUAGACGUCUCUCUGAUGAGCACCUGGACUCUGUAAGUGUCCGUUUACAUGUACAUGUAAAUAUUGGCUCAUAUCAUUUUUUGUGUGCAUGUGUCGCCGUACUAAUUAACUUCGUCUUCCAUUUUAUGUAGGAUGCUAAUUCGGACGUGCUGACAUGAAGCGUACCUCCAUAUUGGCUUCAUGGAUCCAUCCAUAGUGAACCAAGCCCAGAUACGAGAUUUUCCAGACAAAACGUUGCUGGCAGUAUACAAUUCUUUAGAUAGACAAAAAUUAAAGGAUCACAUACUACUUCCAUACAACUUCAAGUAAGUGUGUGUAUACCGUCUAUAUUCGUUUUCUUUUUCCUUACCUGAUUAAUGUUAGUUAUCUCUAAUAUAUAUGAACAUUUACGUACGCAGCUCCCACUGGAUCCUCAUUAUUAUUAACAUUGAUCGAAGUCACGUCACUGUCUUCGAUUCGUUGAGGAGAGAUCCGAAGGAGUACCAAGACGUUCAACACACGCUAGACAUGUUAUAAUUCUGGACCUCUAUCUCUAUACAAAAUUUUGUUUCCUAAAUUUUCACCUAACACUAAUCAUUCAUUAUUUUAAUCCGCAGAGCAUGGAGAGAAUUCAUCAGGGCAGACAGAUCAGGUCAAUUCAAAGAAAAACUUACAUGGAGAACAGACUUCCCGGUACGUAUGAAGUCUGCACAUUUUGUACAUUCUAUAGCAUGAAUAUUUAAUAACUUAAGGCUUCGUUUGGAUGUAGAUAUUGGAGGGCUUGGUAUUGAAUUGGGAACAAUACCAAAUUAGCCUAGGCAUUGAAAUGGAUCCAAUACCAAAGCAACUGUUUGGAUGUAAAUGAAAUUGACAGAUGGAAUUCAACCGAAAACGAAUACCAAUUCGUGUUUGGAUAUCCUUAACAUCAAAUUAGAAAUUCACUCCUCAUCCUCAUGCACUUCUCAUCUCAUCUUCUUCCGCCCGCACAGAGGUCGAGAGGUGGAGCUUGGGGUUGGACUGGAGGGAGGCCACGGUGGAGCAGAUGGCGCGGCGGAGGAGGGGAGGAGGGGAGGAGGAGAGCGGCGCGCAACUCGGCGAGGGACGGGAGGAGAGCGGAGCGACGGCGGAGGGGAAGAAGGAAGCGGGGCGCAGCUCCGCGAGGGAGGGAAGGAGAGCGGCGCGGUGGCGGAGGGGGAGAAGGGAGCGGUAGAGGACGGGAAAAAGGGAGCGGAGGCCAGAGAGGAGGCGAGCGGCCGGCCGCGAGGAUGACGAGGAGGGGCGGCGGCUGCGAGGAAGACGAGGAGAGGGGCGGCGGCCGCGAGGAAGACGAGGAGGGGCGCCCAGUCGCGAGGAAGAUGAGGAGGGGUGCUAGCCGCGAGGAAGACGAGGAGGCGGAGGGGGGCUCGAGUGACGGGCUGUUUUGAUGAAGGCUGAUUCAUCUCAAUACCGAGGGGGAAGACUCGGUUUUGAGGGAGCGUUGUUUUAGCUCCCGUUGAAUUCCACGGUAUUGGCUCCCAAUACCAAUUCUCAAUUCCAGGGACAUCCAAACAAUGGUAUUCGUGAGAUCCAAUUCCAAUUCUCAAUUCCGAGGUCGAAUACCAACAUCCAAACGAGGCCUAAUUUUUUUUUCCCCACAACAGUGCUUAAGACAGGAACCUGGAAAUGAUAAUCUAUGUGGCUACUAUGUCUGUGAGCACAUGCACAAUUUAUUGGGACCCAAGACCAGCAAGGCCAUGGAGCACGAAUUUAAAGUAUGUAAAAUAAAACUAUUAAUAAUUAUUUAUUUUCUACAAUUGUUCGUGUAAAAUUCACAUAUAUGUAUCCAAUUACAGAUGUGGAAUAUUCAAUUGGGACUCUUGAAGAAGGAAAGAGUAGCGGCAAUAUGUGAAGGUCUCAUUGGAUUCCUGGUGGACGAGGUGGUAAAUCCAAAAGGAGACUUUCAUUACGAUGGACAAAAAUUAGACGCUCCCAGCACCUCGACGGGAAGAUCCUCGUAUAUAUAUAUAUAGUUUGAUUUAGUUUGUAUAUAUAUAUAUGUAAUACGUACGCUAAUUAGAUUUGUAUAUAUAUAUAUAUAUGUAGUACGCUAAGAAUUGUAUAGUAUUUGUAAAUACUUGUUUGAUUCGUUUAAAUACUAGUUUGAUUGAUUUCAUUAUAAAAAAAAGUUCUCAACUACUAAAGGUUAACUAAAGGGGUACGUGAGAUAUGCACGAAAUUAUAGGCGCCAUGCAGGCGCCUGCAUGGUGCUGUACGCACGCACUUUAUUCCCGGUUUGUAAAACAAACCGUGAUAGUCCCGGUUGGUUUUACAAACCGGGACUAAAUGAGGGUUUUAUAUCCCGGUUGAGGGACCCGUGAUAAAAGACCUCCCCUUUUAUCUCGACGGAUUAAUCCCGGUUGCAUUUUCGGGAGAUAUGCAGUCUACGAACCGGUACUAAUACCGAGUUCUGUAGUAGUGUAUGAAAACCAAUACGGCCACGAAGAUCUGGCUAGAAGACCACGAGCGCGGGGUAAAGCACUUUUGAUCUUUUAUUAUAUUCCAUCUAGUAAUACGCUAAUCUUUUUGAGUGGCGUGUCUGUUAUGAAAACCAUUGUUCCAGAUGUCCACGAGUGAGUGUGCGUUGCUUCGCCGGCUGAAUUAGCGCUUGCUCCGUACAGCCUGAUGAGCAAGUACGGUUUGAUUUACUUGCGCACCCAAAUGGACAAUCGAGCACCAAAGAAGCUAAUUAUUUGUGCAUUUUCUCGGAAAGCCUCCUGAUGUCAACGAGCCCACGUUCUGCUCUUGAAUUUAGACUGGUCCGGUACGGCCUGGCGAGCAAGGACUCUUGGAGUUACAUGGUGCUGGUGACCCGUCGAUCCAGCACUAAAACAAACGUUGACAAGCAUCGAUCAUGAGGGUUAGUGCCUAUAAAUACCCAGCAUACACGGGCCAUCGAGAGUGAUUAUAUUAGAGCAUACACCUAAAACUAGCAAUGGCCACCACCAGAUCGUCCGCUGCUGCCCUGUUCCUCGCCACGGUUCUCCUGCUCGCGGUGGCUUCUGCCUUGGCCCAAGCGCCGGCACCGGGACCAUCCAGCAGCCAAUGCCCCCUCGGCCUUGAAAAACCGCUCAGGGCAAUAGGUUCACUGUCGCGUCUUCAGCGCAUUGAGAUCGCUCGUCAACUCUUGAGCCUGAGCGUGAGUGGUGCUGUCCGGUGCGUCUGCUCUAUUGCCGGAGGGUCCACUUCUUCUGCCCUUGGUAUCCUCGGGCCCCUCGGGCUGGGAGGUCUGCUCAACGUCGGCCUGACGUGCAGCACAGUCUAGGCCUAAUACAUAAUUGUCGCAUUAAGCAUGCAUGCACACUCGCAACAUACCCAGCAUGUGUGUUGCUUAGCGGCUUAAAUAAGUGCUUGCUGCCUAAUUCUUACCUAAAUGCAUACACUAUAUGGAACCCACGUAGUAGCUAGCUAUGCAGCAGCCGGCUAGCUAAUGUGAUGGUCCCAUACUACAUAUAUGAUAUGAAUAAAUUAAAUUGACGCAUGCACACAUGCAUCAUGGAUCCUGUUCCGCGUGUGUUGUACUACACCAUCCUAAACGGCACUUGACAUACUUAUGUGCAAUGUGACAUGAUGCUUGCAUUUGUUGUGCGGUGUGUGAUGAAUAUAUAAUACUACUUGGCGACAUAUACGCAUUUGGAAAGAAUGUGAACUGUUCUAAUGCUGUCAUCAGGUAUAUCCACCAUAUAUAUACUCGCUUAAUCACGUUGUGAGCUUACAAUUAAUCAUGACAUAGGUCAGCAAUGUAAUUCAACCUGGCCAUCAAUCCAACCAUAGUUCUACCGUUCCAGCAAGCUCUUAUCAGCUAGUCUCAAUGAACAUGAGCUGCGGAGGCAAAGAAAGGCCGGUGUGCCAAGCCACAGUUACCUCAACUCUCUUCCGGCUAAUCCUCACGGUGGAACCGGAACCGAUUUCCUUUUAUCGACCGAGCAUUCUCAUAGCCGUAUUCUCCUUUUGCCUUCCAUUUCCCCUCCUUUCCUUUUACGUUAUCUUACCGUACUCCCUCCGUUCCUGCACACGCAUAUCAAGAUUCAAACUUUACAAUUUUUGACCAAUAAAUUGGCCAACAAUUUUUUUAUUUUUUAAUGUAAACUUGACAUGGUUCGAUUUGUAAUCAAAUGUACUCUACAAUGAUUAUAAGUUUAUAACCAUAAACAAUAUAAUAUAAGAUAAAUAAACGGUUAAAGUCUAAUAUGGGAGACCUUUCAUGUCAUAUCACAUCUUAUAAACAUGAACGGAGUGAGUAUGAUAUCAGUUUUUCUUUGUUUAGAUACGUCUCAGCUAUUCACGCUUGGAAGGGAACGUGGGCCAGGAUGACCCUAGAUAUUAUAUGGUUCCAGAGUGCAAUAACUUCUAUUGCUCUUGGUUUCACAAAUGACGAACAACCACAUUCUAAUAUUAUCUUUUGGAACUUACGUGUCUUGUUCAGCAUAUUCCUUCUGACGAUUAAUGUGGAGCCUUUAGUUAGUAAUUUUUCCGUAUAAUAUUAUAAUUUGUAUACUUUCCUAGAACGCCUAAUCGAAUCUAAGGAUUAUUACCUAAUGAAGUUUCAUAAAAUCCUUCAACUAGUAGUACUUGUAAAAUAAAAGUUCCGUUCUAUCAUAUGAGGAGAUACCGGAACGUUUAUGCGUGGUACGGCGUAUGUCUACAUUUCACACUGUUUGAUAAUUCUCCUUUGAGGAGCAAUUCCACGGAGGUUUAAUUUAAACGUAUCCACAACUAUUUGAGUAAAAAAGUUAGGCAACAUCUAUAGCAGUACAAAGCCCCGUUAUCCUUAAUUAGGUAUGCGCGCAUCCUGCAAAGCCUAAGUCAACUAAUAUUUGGAAUAUGAACUGGCUACCUAGGGAUGGUCUUAUGAGACCUGUGUGCUGCAUAGAGGAGAAUGCCCCGCAGAAAGCCAGCGAGUUGAUUGAUCAAUCAUCGAGAGCGUGGAACAAGAAAAUGGUGCAGGAAUUCUUUAUUCCUAUGGACAGUGAGGUGAUAGGGAGUAUUCCUCUUGCUACAUCGACGCAAGAAGAUUUCUGAGCAUGGCAUUAUGAAGAGUCGGGUGUCCUCUCACUUCGAUCUGCAUACACGAUGCUGGUGCAUAAUCGUGAGAAAAGAACAGCUUGGCUAGAUCGCUCGGCUGGAAGAUCGGACACUAAGUCAGAAGAAAAAGAAUGAUCAGAGCUAUGGAAGGUGAGGGUGCCAUCGAAGGUGCGGGUGUUCUUGUGGAGGCUUUCACGUCAAUCUAUCCCGAGUGGAGAUGUGCGCCACCGGAGGAACAUGUCGCCUAAUAGUUCUUGUUCAAUCUGCGGCGAUAUGGAUUCGUGGAAACAUUCGCUACUAGACUGCUUUAUGGUAAAAGGAGUAUGGACAUUGGAAAAAGAAGAAAUCACAGAGUUCUUAUGCCAAGGCCAAGUACAGGAGAUAGACGCACGAGCGUGGCUUGCGGCGGUUACGAAGCACCUUGCACAUGACGAUUUAACCCGGAUUGUGGUGCGACUCUAGGCAAUACGGCAUGCCAAGCGCAAAGCGAUUCACGAGAAUAGGUUCCAGAGUCCGCUGUCGACUCACUGCUUUGUGGAAAGGUUCGUUGAUGAGCUAGAGCUGGUUAAACCAGUAGGGAAUGUUCGGCAAAUGGGCAAGGUUACAGUACCAAAGUGGAUUCCGCCUCCACAAGGGGUCACGAAGAUAAAUGUGCAUGCUGCAACAUCGAAGAACUCCAAUGUCUCUGUAGCGGCAGCUGUGGCGCGUGACGGAGCUGGCAACUUCCUUGGCGCCUCACCUCUAGUGUUGGAAGGUAUUGUCGAUGCCGAAACGGUGGAAGCGAUUGCCUGUCAGGAAGGCCUUGCAUUGGCAAGUGAUCUCUCGUUGCAGAAUCUUAGAGUCGCAAGCGAUGGCACCAAUGUAGCAAGAAGCAUUCUGGGAAAGGGGAUGGGACCAUAUGGUCCUCUAAUGCAGGAGAUUAACUCUAGAAGAAGAUGCUUCGGAAGGGUUGAGUUCAUCCACGAAGGUAGGCAGUCCAACAUUGAUGCACACAGAAUAGCUAGAAGUGCAGUUUUAUGUUCUUUAGGAAGACAUGUGUGGUCUUUAUCCCCAUCCGAUGGGGUUGGUAAAUCUUAUUCAGUUUAAUAAAGGGUGAAGUUCCUACAAGAAAAAGAAAGUAAACUUUCUAUCUGGAGCGUAAACUGUCUUCCAAAUUAAAAGUCAAGUGGUGUAUAUGUUUCUCCGAAGGAAAAAUCAAAUGAGGAUGAGGAAGCUAGCCACAAGAUGUGCACAGUUCUUGUUCCUGCCGUUGAAUUUCUGGUAGCUCGUACCACCUAGCAGCAAGUACUCUAUGAUCUAGUUGCGCACACAAGAGGACCACCAAAAAAGCAUUGACUAGUAUCAUCAUGCGGCGCAACACAUCUAAAUACCUUGCACGGUCGAUAGCUUCAAGGUACUGUCCAUCGAGAGAGUGAUAAUUAAGCUUGAGCAUAGACAACCGCAGCUCAGAAAUAUCACAGGCGUGCACGCACAGGCUACAUAGCCUGUGUGUAUUUCUAUAGCUUAAGGUCCGGUUUGUUUUCCACCUUAGAUUACAUAAUCUAGCCUAUAGUGAUCUGUAAGCUAAAACAAAUAAGCCCUGUAUGAUAAUCUGAUUAUGCUUCGAUGUUGGUAUGGAAGGAAUAAGUCCAUCUGUAUGUGUAACGACCUAGCCUAUUUAAGCCAUGUUUAAUCUUAAAUAAGGUUAUUAGAGCAUAAAGAAGAACUUUUGGCGGUUGUGAAGGCAAGUAAAAAGACACUUUUGCCCUCACAAGCUAAACCGCUGUUUAAAACGUAACUCAAAUUUUUCCUUAAGAACUUAAAAAUCUGUCCAACUAAGAGUUGUAGAACUCAACUUUCCCAACAACUUUUAUUUUUGGUGUUUGUCUUGAUUCUGAGCGGAGGACCUUCAAAAACUCGAAAUACGACGUGUACUGAAGUAUACCAAACAAGACAAAGUCUCAAAUUAGGGGCUCUUUAUUUUGAAAUUUCUAAUAUAAACUCAAGCUGAACUCUAUGCCAAAGUUUAAGAGCUUCAAUCUCUUAACAACUUUGACUAAGGGAGCAAGGUCGAAAUCUGCACAGAAAGCUUCCAAAACCCAGGUCAAAGUCAGUUAGUUUGGUCAACUCGACCCAAGACUUGCAAAUCUGGGCUUAAGUCUGGAAUGGAAUCAGUUCAACCAGGCAUAUUGGCGUGAGCUUAUCUUUCAAAAGUUGAACAGAACAUCAGAAAAUUCCUUUAUAAGAGUUUGAGAACUAACUUUAUAAAUAACUUUGUCAAUUGGACUCCGGUAAAAUUCACAUCAGAAGCUUUUCAAAAUUUGGGAUCAAGUCAGCCAAAAACCCAAAAAGCGACCAAACCGCCGUUUUUGCGUAAGUCUGAAAUCCGGCGUUCCUCCAAUCUUUGAAGCUUUGUAUCUUCAAAUCUGCUGUGAUUUCGAACUUGAUCCAAUUACAAAAGUUGAUGCGUCCCGGCAAAGCCGCUAUUGCCGCGCACGCUCACUUCGCCCGCGCCUACACGCCUCGCCUACCGCGCCACUCUCCCUCCUCUGUCCGUCAAUGGCGCCGCCACCAUUAAUGGCCGCCGCAGCGCCCCGACACCCUCUGGUCCCAUCCGCUAGCACCGCUGCCUCCGCCUCGCUCGCCGCUCCGCCUCGGCCCUAUAAAGAGAGGCCUGGCGUCGCCUGUGCCCCUUUCCCCGCUCGCCCUCGAACCGCCUCAAAUCGGUCGCAGGUGAGCCACCGCUCCUCCCCAGCUCUUUCCGCCCCAAGCCCGCCAGCGCUUCACCGGGAUUUUGCCCGCCCGCCGCCGUGCGCCUGCCCCGGGACCCGAUUGCAUUUGAGAAAAUCGAUUCAGGGGCUUUAGUGCAAAAACCAGGGACCCCUACGCAAAUAAAGUAUAGACGCGAGGGCUAGAUCGCAAGUUUACCUCGGAUUUUGGUUUUGUUUUCUGCAGAAAUUGAAUAAACUUUGUAAAUGCACUAAAAAUCGUAGAACGAUCAGAAAAAUAUCAAAUCAAUUUUGCCAGACUCCUUAUAUAGUAUAGUUUAUGAUAAAAAUACUUUUGGCACAUGUCUCUUCUAAGAUUAAUGUUAUAUGUUUUAAUCCUUGUUUAAGACUUUUAAAUCAUAUUGAAUUGCAGAAAAAUGCUAAAAUGGUAAAUCUAACUCUCAAAUGUUUGUUUCAAAGAAUGGAAGCUUAUAAAAAUGAUGUGGAGCCUAGCUCAGAUGUUUAAAUCUCUGUUUUAGUUUUAUCAUGGAAAUCUAAAGUUGCUUUUGUCUUUUUGCCCAAUAAUUAAACCAGAGAUGAUAAAAGUGUGAAACCAAUUGGAAUAAGUCAGUGGUAUAGUGUAGUUUGUAGGAAAAUAUGGAACGUGAUCAGAAACUGAAAGAAAAACCACUUUCCUUUUUAGGGAAGAAUAAAUAGGGUAAAUGUAUGGAAAAAGAUGCUCUUCACUAAAAAUUAUGAAAAAUUCACCAAAAUCUCUGUAUCACCCCUAUAACGCACUGUUAAAAUUUCAUGACCAUUUUCAUUAUGGUUUAUGUUUUAAAAAUGUUUAAGUGUAUGCUACCUUAGGGUAAAAAAGUAAUUCUAAUUCUUUUUAUGCACCUCCAAUGGACCUCAAAUUUAUACAGUAGCUUAUCCAUAAUAAAGUUAAGUUUCUGUUAAAUUUGUGGCUUCAUAGCUUGCUGUUUGAGGAUAGAAAUAAAAUUUGGAAGAUGAGCCUAGCUAAAUGAAAGAAAGAAACCUUAAAUAAUGAUAAAGGUAAUUUUUGGAAGAGGUAAAAAAAACAUUCAGAAUAGGAUAACUUUCCGAUCUAAAGUUUAAUAAAGUUAAGUUGUAAUAUGUACACAAUCACCAUCAAGUCACUCCAGGUUUAUACCGUAACACACCUUACCUGAUGCAAAUAAAGAAGGUUUAGAACCUUGUUUAGGUGAAUGUGGUCGUCAUGUAACUUACACUUUAGUGCUAAUUCGUGUUUUGAAUCCUAUGAGAAAGCUUGGAAAAUGAACUUGAUGCAUUUGCAUUUCGUGUAGAGCUGAACCUCGCUGACGGGACAUACGAGCUUCACCCGGCGCCAGAAGAAGGAGCCGUAGCUGAUCUGCAUCAAGUCGGAGCCAAGCCCGUACCGGAUCAAGCCAAGGACCAGUUCGCUAACUCCCCGUGUGAAGGCAAGCUCCGGAGCAUGAUUUCCUAUCUUUAAAUACUUGCAAUACAAUUGAUUGCUUUGAUUGCGCAUUUACGUUCUAGGAGUUGACUGAAACCAUAGAUGCAUGAAUAUAGUACCCUGAAUCUGAACACUAGUAUGUUAAGUCGAGUAGUUGCCAUGCUUAAUAGGACUCGGUAAAAGUCGAGUGAUUUCCUGUCACUCGCGAGUUAUAGGAGUCGAUUGCUUACUUAGGUUGAAACUAUAAGGACGAUGGACGGGGCCGAGCUUAUGUUCGGUACUCGGUGGUUUGCCCCGUCUAUCUACAUGAAAUUGGACUAAGGUUGAGAUGUGAUAGUGUUCGUGAUCAAGUGUUUGAAAGUACUAAUCUCAUACCUAGUAUGGAAUGGGGAAGCCUAGUACCUGGUUGAACCGGAACGUGAGGGGAUCGUUCCACUGUCUUUGGAACGGAGUUCCCUUGCGGCCGCAUGUGGUGACAAGUGUGGUCAUAGAACGACAGAGGCCAGGUCUAUGGAGCCUUGUACCAAGGGAAGUGGGCCCGACGCGGGUUUGGGAAUUGAUGGGGACGACUGACAAGUGAAGCGACCCUUCACGGUGCGUGGAUGUCGUGGGAUUAGGUUCGCCAUGCAUGGUUAAGAAAUUCAAAUCGAUUCGUCUGCCUCUCACAGUUUGGGACUACUUGAUUGCUAUGCUACACUGAGUAAGAAUCGAACUUGAUGAUGAUCUUAAUGUUGAUGCUUGUCAUAAAUUGCUUGGAAACUAUGUUUGUUUAGUAUAGCUGCUAACUUAGACGGGUAAAUGAAUUUAGAACUGGUGGCUAAAAUAUUGAAAGUAAGGAGCUACACUAGUUGCUUUUGGCAAAAACAAACCCCUCAGCCAAAAAGCCUUGCAUGUCUAGGUGUUGGUGGAGUAGUCACCACCUGUCGGUUAAGUCUUGUUGAGCAUAGUUGCUCAGCCUUGCUUGUGGCACAUCUUUUUAGGUGAUGUUGAUACCCUGAGCUCGCAGCAAGUGGCACUUGGCCACCCCAACAUCCUCCUGGUUGGACGGUUGAGUAGGAUCCCUCCUUGGACGGCGAGGACCGGGAUCAUUGAUGUCAUGAUCGGCUUCGUCAUGAUAUUCUGCAACGACGUUUAGCUUCCGCUCAGUUAUUUCUGUUAUUUGAGAACUCUACAAACUUUGAUGGAAUUUCGAACUUGAGGUUGUAAUAAUUUGAUGCACUUGUUUAAUUGAGAUGGACUGUUGUAAUGUCUGUAACCACUCGCCUUUGUGCGAGUCUUGCUUUCCCGAUCCUGAGUGAAGUGGUUUAUCGAAUGAAAUCCGACGGACGACCAAGUUGAUUUGUUUAAAGUACAUGAUUGCGUGUUAAGUGGCUUAAGUGUGCUAAGGCAAGUCAAUUUGGGCGGUUCCGCCACAGUAUAUGGCCGCACAACUCUUCCAUUUCCUUGAGUUCUAUCCACUCCAACACCUUUUAAACCUAACACCACAACUACCUGCAACAUCAUUCACCUUUUCACCAUUAGCUCAUUUUAGUGGUUUUAGUACAUGCUAUUUACGGGUGUUUUUCCCUCCAAGUUGGCAUUUUCCUUGCCAACAAGGCCAUGGCCUGGCCCAGGCCUGCCGUCCUUUCUUUCUUCAUGAAUUCUUACCUCGUUCCCUUGUCCAUCACCGAUUAAAGGCGAACCCCCACGACCUUUCACCGUGAGCCUCAUGUGUUAAUGGAACUAGUGGUGAAUAUACAGAAAAAGAAUGUUUACUUUUGGUAAUAAUGAUGGAUGGAUGGUUUUCGCUGAAUCAUCAAAUUUUUCUUUGAACAUACGAGAACAUGGGGCCAGCCGGUAACUUUCCAGCUGUAAUCUAAUAUUUUGCAUAGAUUUGCGCAACAAUCACACAACUGUUUAAUUGUCAGGCACCGCGCGACCACUUAUCACAACAUGGUUGUCGGAAGGGUUGAGUUCAUCCACGAAGGUAGGCAGUCCAACGUUAAUGCACACAGAAUAGCUAGAAGUGCAGUUUUAUGUUCCUUAGUAAGACAUGUGUGGUUUUUAUCCCCACCCGAUUGGGUUUGUAACUCUUAUUCAGUUUAAUAAAGGGUGAAGCUCCUUAAAAAAAAAGAAAGUAAACUCUCUAUCUGGAGUGUAAACUGUCUUCCAAAUUAAAAGUCAAGUGGUGUAUAUGUUUCUCCAAAGGAAAAAUCAAUUGAGGAUGAGGAAGCUAGCCACAAGAUGUGCACACUUCUUGUUCCUGCCGUUGAAUUUCUGGUAGCUCGUACCACCUAGCAGCAAGUACUCUAUGAUCUAGUUGCGCACACAAGAGGACCACCGAAAAAGCAUUGACUAGUAUCAUCAUGCGGCGGAACACGUGUAAAUACCUUGCACGGUCGAUAGCUUGAAGGUACUGUCCAUCGAGAGAGUGAUAAUUAAGCUUGAGCAUAGACAACCGCAGCUCAGAAAUAUCACAGGCGUGCACGCACAGGCUACAUAGCCUGUGUGUGUUUCUUUAGCUUAAGGCCCGGUUUGUUUUCCACCUUAGAUUACAUAAUCUAGCCUACAGUGAUCUAUAAGCUAAAACAAAUAAGCCCUGUAUGAUAAUCUGAUUAUAUAUAUAACAAUGCACAUUUGAAUAAAUUAAUAACCCUAGUUCAGGCUCUGAAAUUCCGUGGCUGAUAAAUUAUGCUUCGAUGCUGGUAUGGAAGGAAUAAGUCCCUUUGUAUGUGGCCGCACAACUCUUCCAUUUCUUUGGGUUCUAUCCAUUCCAACACCUUUUAAACCUAACACCACAACUACCUGCAUCAUCAUUCACCUUUUCACCAUUAGCUCAUUUUAGUGGUUUUAGUACAUGCUAUUUACGGGUGUUUUUCCCUCCAAGUUGGCAUUUUCCUUGCCAACAAGGUCAUGGCGUGGCCCAGGCCUGCCGGUCCUUUCUUUCUUCAUGAAUUCUUACCUCGUUCCCUUGUCCAUCACCGAUUAAAGGCGAACCCCCACGACCUUUCACCGUGAGCCUCAUGUGUUGAUAGAACUACUGGUGAAUAUACAGAAAAAUAAUAUUUACUUUUGCUAAUAAUGAUGGACGGAUGGUUUUGGCUGAAUCAUCAUAUUUUUCUUUGAACAUAUGAGAACAUGGGGCCGGCCGGUGGCUUUCCAGCUGUAAUCUAAUAUUUUGCAUAGAUCUGCACAACAAUCACACAACUGUUUAAUUGUCAGGCACCACGCGACCACUUAUCUCAACAUGGUUGUCGACAACGCAUCCAAUGAUGAUGCGACAUCAUGACAGGCAUGUUGGGUGAAGUAUUUCCACCCACGUCGUGUUAGAUCCCACUAGCGUGUAGAGGCCAAUACGGCCACGAAGACCUGGCUAGAAGACCGUGAGCGCGGUAAAGCCCUUUCGAUCUUUUAUCAUAUUCCAUCUAGUAAUACACUAAUCUUUUUGACUGGCGUGUCUGUUAUCACUACUAGAGAACUGACUUUAGAUACCACCCCCUUUAGUCUUGGUUUAAUUUUGGCUCGGGAGAAAAAGGGGUGCGUCACGGUAGGCUGGAAUGGGGCGCACCUUUACUCUCGAUUCUUUUUUUUUGCAACCGGUAUUACAGGCCACCCUUUAGUCUCGGUUAAAACGGCUAGCUUCCGUGCACCGACGGUGCCACCCUUUACCCCCGGUAGGAGCCACCAACCGAACCUUUUGUCCCGGAUGGAAUUACCAACCGGGAUAAAUGUUUUACCCCUGGUUGGUAAUUCCAACCAGGACAAAAGGUUGGAGCUUUUAUCCCAGUUGGCUUUACCAACCGGGAGUAAACACCAACCGGGACAAAAGCUCUAAUCUUUUGUCCCGGUUGGAUUUACCAACCGAGAUAAAAUCUUAUCUACAAGAGGCCUUUGUUCCUCCUCCACUCCUCAACUCCGAGCCACUCCACUCCACAAAGACAGAGAAGCUCAUCCUCUCCAUGGCGCCGAAGCAAGCCUAGGGGAGGUGCUGCUGAAAUUUUUUUCCUCAUUUUCUUGGGGAUUUCACCCAUCCAAAGUGUUGUGAACGUUAGCUACUUCAUGCUCUGUUCAUUUAUUGUUGUUAAGCUUUGUUUUAUACUUUAGAGAGGGAGAAAAAUGAGUUUGUUUGUUGUUAAGCAUGUACAGGAUUUGUAUUUAUACAUGUUCUUGAGCUACAAUGUGAUGGAUAGUUUGAAUGUGAGGGAGAAUGGACAGUAAAUGUGAGGUAGAAUUGAGAUUAUUUCAAUUUUAUGUAUUAGGGAAAAAUUAGAGUAAAUGUGUUUUUAAUAUUUAUAAAUUAGCCAGGUGUAAUUUCAUACUUUAAUACUUUUCAGAUAGAGGUAUGGAAUUAGCCAUUUUUAGAAUAAGUAAAUUAUGUGGGAAAUAUUGAAUUUUUUAAUAGUUUAGUUAUUUGUAAAUUAAAUAUGAGCUAAAUAAUUUGUAGUACAUAGAGAUGGCUUUCUAUGCUGGAUGUAGUGGCGAUGGUGGGGGAGAUCGUCGUUCCUCUCGUGGCAAGGGGAAAACCAUAGUUAGCCCUCACGAUAAGCCGAAGAAAAUGAGUGCGUGGGAGAAAGCAAUGCUUCGUUAUUUGCAAAGAUGUCAUGAAGAUGCUGUUGCGGUGGGUCAGGAACCUCCUUUUGGUGGUCGUUAUGCUCCACCGCCAAUCCCAGGUGUUUUAGGUCCACUUAUAAGUACUACCAUUGCAGGAGGUACAAAUAAACCACAUGAUGAGGCUGCGUCAGCGAAACCUUCAUCUUCGCUUCCCAAGGAUGCUUGAAGUCCUUCUAGAUAGUACUUAGUGGAUGGUUUGUCGUAGUGUAUCAUGUUGUUGUUGCUCUCAAGUUUAAAUUUGUGUAUUUCUAUGUAAUCUUUCAGCAAUAUUUAAGUUUGUCGUAAUGUAUCAUGUUGUUUGCUUCUGAAAUUUUAAUUUGUGUAUUUCUAUCUAAAAUUUUAGCAAUGUGAUGGAUAGUUUUAUUGUAAUCCAUGCGCCCAAUGCAGUAACCAGAAGUGGUAUUCGAAGGCUUCCUGGGAGACCAUUCACAGUCACUUGUUUAGAUACGGUUUCACGCCUAACUAUUUGGUUUGGACCCGUCACGGUGAAAGAGGGGUUGUAAUGGAAGACGGUGAAGAGGAGGAGGAGGAUGAUAGGAAAUUGCUAUACCCAGAUUGCUAAGGAGGCCAUAAAAAGCUGGGUACCACACUAGAAUUUAUGCAAUGGAAAGCCAAAAAUGGUGUGUCCGAUAAGGCAUUAAUGAUUGUUUGCCCUCUGGGAUUAAUGAUAGAUGAUAGUGAUGCAGUAAAAUAAUUAUUUAAGAAGGUAAUAUAACUAGUGUAGAAUUAAUGAGUCAUUCAAACUUAUUGUAAAUAUAAUUUCUAAUUAAAUAUAUUUUUGCAUGUUUGAAAUCUGUAAAGUUGGGAAACCCGGCGAGAUCCGAUGCCUAGAAGUUCCAACCGGCGAGAAUAAAUUUCCAAAUAGAAGUAAAAAGAAGUAGUAUAGAAUUUAUGUCUAGUUAAAACUUAUUGUAAAUUAAACAUGCUAAUUUAAUAUAUUUUUGCAUGUUUGAAAUAUGUAAAUAUCUUAUUUUUUGCUUCCUGAAAUCUAGUGAAAACACAAAUCGAAUAAAUUUCAAAAACCAGUCUGGAGAUGAAAAACAGGAGAAGGCCCCCAUUUAUCCCGGUUAUAAAGUAGAACCAGGAUAAAAGGGACUUUUCGAUUCCCACCUGGAAGUACCCAUUUAUCCCGGUUGAUCAUAAACCGAGAUAAAAGAGGGGUGCCUUUUAUCGCGGGUGAUCAUAAACUGAGAUAAAAGCCCCCCCUUUUAUCUCGGUUUGUAUUAAAAACCAGGGUUAAAUGUCUUUUAAUUCUUGUUUUAGUUACAAACUGGGAUAAAAAGAGGGGCCUGUAUAAAAGUUAUAGCGUCUUCUACACUUCCCCUACCCAACACUUAGCGAAAGUUUCACUCGUCGUCCUCGUCCUGCCCGUCGCCUGCCUCCGCCGUCGCCACUCCCCGUCGCCGCCGGCGACCCAUCCUAUUCGCCGGCCUCCUCCGUGUCCAUCACCACCUCCAUCAUCUUCGCCCGCAAUCAUCGCCGGCCUCCUCCUCCGUCCCCGUCGCCGCCGCCGGCGCGUCCAUCCCUGUCGCCACGACCUCCGCGUGUGCCCCUCAUCACGCACCGGCGCCACCUCCUCCCCGUCGUCGUAGCCGUCCCCGUCGCCGCGACCGCCGUCCCCGUUGCCAGCCGGCCGGCCGCCUCCCCCGUCAUCGCCACGCGUCCUCAUCGCCGACACGCCCACCUCCAACUCCGGUUGUCCCCCUAGCGUGAAUUAAUUUGAGAAAUUUGGUAGAUUACUUCUAAUUGUUUGUGGAAUAUAGUUGUAUACUGCUAAUUAAUGCUUAGAAAUUAAUUGAACUUUGGUACACAUGUUUACAAAUUUUUGUUGAAAUGCUUAGAAAUUAGUUGAAAUUUAGUACAUUUGUAUAUUACAUUUUGUAUGUUACAUUUUUUAUAUUACAUUUUGCAUAGUACAUUUUGUAUAUUACAUUUUGUAUGUUACAUUUUUUAUAUUACAUUUUGCAUAGUACAUUUUGUAUAUUACAUUUUGUAUACUACAUUUUUUAUAUUACAUUUUUUAUAUUACAUUUUUUAUAUUUUAAAAAUGUAGUACAUUUUGUAUAUAUCAAAAAAAUUGUUGAAAUGAAUUUUUUUUCAUGGUUGUUCUAUAUAUGAUUUCAUGUACAAAGUAGUUGAGAUAGAUGGCAGAUGACGAGGCCAGAAGGUAUCUAAUGGAGCAGAUUAUUACUGGUGCUAGUAGUUCCAACCUUCCCAUAGCGUACACCGAUGAAGAGGGUAGCCAGGCAGACAUGUUUCUCAACCUGUCUGCCGAAGGCAAUGAAGAGCCUGAGCCCCAGAAAAAGGUUACCGUGGCAGAAGGUUCCGACGAGGUAUAGAUCAUAUUUUAACCUUCUGUAUAUAUAAUAUACGAUGUUAUUCAUUAUUACUAUGUACUAAUUAAUUAAUGAAUCUUGAACUGUUAUCCCUCUAGAUCGACGAACCAUUGUCCGAAGCCCCGAGGUCCUUCCAAGGUGAAGACAGGAACAAAAAAGGCUAUCAUCACGGAAGUCACAAAAGAGGGCGGGCCGGUUGCUCCCCAAAAACUGGCAACACAGUACGUGAGUCAGAUCGGGGCAAUCGUAAGGGAGAACGUGCCCAUCAGCAUAAGGGAAUGGAAGGGCAAAACGACUAAUCCAUACGCGCUCUAGGAACCAGAAAAGAAUAUACUGUGGGAAGAAGUUAAGAAACAUUUCACAUUUCCCAACGGAUAUAUUCAAAAUGAUGUGAAAGCGUGGACACUAAAAAAGAUGGCCACACAAUUCCAGACAUUCAAGAAGAUGUUGGAUACCACCUACAUUAAGAAGGGCCGAACUCCAGAUUUUACUGUGUAUCCACAGUGUAAGGACCACUGGGAGGCAUUUGUACAAUACAAGAGCACCGAAGACAAUAAGAAUAAGGUCGCCCAGAACACAGGCAAUGCUGGGGGAAGGAGUACCAUCAUAAGCUAGGGUGAGGUGGUUACGCCAAAGCAAUUCCCAAAUGGAAUCAGAUGGAAAAAGACUUGAUUGAGCGGGGUAUCGUACCAGGAACAAUUGAUUGGCCCGAACCGUCGAAAAAUUGGUAUUACGCUCAUGGAGGUGAGAUAAACCCAGAUGAUGGGACGAUGGUCUUCGAUGACCUGUUACGUGAAGCGGCCACAAAGCUUGACAAGAUUAUUAAAGAUGUUAAGGAUGGGACGUUGAUGGUGUGCCGAGAGAAUGAUGAGCUAACAAUGGCCCUCGGAAAUCCCGAACACCCAGGACGUACCCGAGGGUUCAGGCUUGUUCCAUGGAAGUUCGCAUUCCGAGGCGACUUGGACAAGUACACAAGCCAGAACCGAAGAAAGGAGCAAGAGGAUGAGAGGUGGCGGCGCACGAUAGAAUCCAAAUUGCAAUCUGUAGAAGUAAGAAUGCAGGAGGGAGGCAGUAGACGAAUGGCCGACGCAGUUGGCAGCCCUUCUCAACACCUCGGGAGCAGCUGUGCGUCCACAGGGCUCCCUGAGCCACAUACGCUAGGAUUACCUGUGGAAGAGCAACUAUUCCCUGUGGAUGCCAUCACGCAACGCACCACAUGUGAGCUGCAUAUACCGAUCGGCAACCUCAGCAUUAAGGUACGUAUAUAUACAUAAUAUUUAUGCACCGGAGCUUUGGGAGUGCUUUGGCAAUUUGAAGUUUAAGAACUUCAUUUCUUUUAUAUAUCCAGGUGGCGUACGGGAGUGCAUUGCCAAUCCUGCCAAAUCAUACAUGCCAUGGCAUGGAGCUUCCACCUGGCUAUGCCAGUGUUGGCGUAGAGAGAAUCCUUAAUAGCCAAUUUGAAGGCCUAGAGCUCGACUUCCUAGCAGGCGACGGGUCAACAACACUAGGAGAAGUGGUUCACGGGAUCAUUCUAUGGCGCAAAUGCUACAUCAUCAUCCCCGGUGUGGAGGCACCUCCUCAGAGCUCAAGACCACUCUCCGCAAAUCCACAGCAGCGACCAUCUCCUGAAACAUCCAGACCAUCAUCUCCACCACAACCUGCUCCACGAUCAAGGUCUCCAUCUCCACCACAUCCUGGUGGUUGUAGCGACGACGACGACAACAACACCCUUCCACAAUCACCUUCGUCGGGACUAAGAGCACCAUUUAAGAAGUUGCGACUACUGCCUCCCAAGCUAAGAUAACGUAAGAAGAAAACAAAGGAGCCUGAGGUGACUCCUGAGGAACGCUGGGAGGCAAUGACUCAUGAGGAACGCUGGACCGAAAUCCAAGUGCAAGCUAGUGAGUGGUUGAGGGAACAAAGGGAAUUAAGAAAAGCAAGGGAGAUGGAGCCACCGCCAGUAGAUCGAAGAGAAUUAUACAAAUUCACCAAGACGCAAGAACAAGCCAAGAAGAGUCAACCACUACUACCGAACUAUGAACGAGCAUUAGUAAAGGUUGAUGAGAAGAAAAAAAAAAGGAAAAAAGUCGAGCUGCCAGCUGCACCGCCAAGUGAACUGAAAUGGACCUUUGAGCUAGGCAAGCCUAUGGUUGGCCCUGAUUCGCUAAAGAAGCUAUCAACGAAGAUGUACGAAUUCCAUCAAUGGUACAUGAAGUUGUCUGCCGAUGAGAGGGAGAUGUUGGGCCUUAAGAUAAAAUCGAUAGAUUUUCACAGCGAAGGCGAGGCAGUCCUGUGGCUACGAUUCAAGGAUAUAUACGAAGUGUACCAUCAUGGUGCCCUAGACGUCUCUCUGAUGAGCGCCUGGACUCUGUAAGUGUCCGUUUACAUGUACAUGUAAAUAUUGGCUCAAAUCAUUUUUUGUGUGCAUGUGUCGCCGUACUAAUUAACUUCGUCUUCCAUUUUAUGUAGGAUGCUAAUUCGGACGUGCUGACAUGAAGCGUACCUCCAUAUUGGCUUCAUGGAUCCAUCCAUAGUGAACCAAGCCCAGAUACGAGAUUUUCCAGACAAAACGUUGCUGGCAGUAUACAAUUCUUUAGACAGACAAAAAUUAAAGGAUCACAUACUACUUCCAUACAACUUCAAGUAAGUGUGUGUAUACCGUCUAUAUUCGUUUUCUUUUUCCUUACCUGAUUAAUGUUAGUUACCUCUAAUAUAUAUGAACAUUUACGUACGCAGCUCCCACUGGAUCCACAUUAUUAUUAACAUUGAUCGAAGUCACGUCACUGUCUUCGAUUCGUUGAGGAGAGAUCCGAAGGAGUACCAAGACGUUCAACACACGCUAGACAUGUUAUAAUUCUGGACCUCUAUCUCUAUACAAAAUUUUGUUUCCUAAAUUUUCACCUAAUACUAAUCAUUCAUUAUUUUAAUCCGCAGAGCAUGGAGAGAAUUCAUCAGGGCAGACAGAUCAGGUCAAUUCAAAGAAAAACUUACAUGGAGAACAGACUUCCCGGUACGUAUGAAGUCUGCACAUUUUGUACAUUCUAUAGCAUGAAUAUUUAAUAACUUAAGGCUUCGUUUGGAUGUAGAUAUUGGAGGGCUUGGUAUUGAAUUGGGAACAAUACCAAAUUAGCCUAGGCAUUGAAAUGGAUCCAAUACCAAAGCAACUGUUUGGAUGUAAAUGAAAUUGGCAGAUGGAAUUCAACCAAAAACGAAUACCAAUUCGUGUUUGGAUAUCCUUAACAUCAAAUUAGAAAUUCACUCCUCAUCCUCAUGCACUUCUCAUCUCAUCUUCUUCCGCCCGCACAGAGGUCGAGAGGUGGAGCUUGGGGUUGGACUGGAGGGAGGCCACGGUGGAGCAGAUGGCGCGGCGGAGGAGGGGAGGAGGGGAGGAGGAGAGCGGCGCGCAACUCGGCGAGGGACGGGAGGAGAGCGGAGCGACGGCGGAGGGGAAGAAGGAAGCGGGGCGCAGCUCCGCGAGGGAGGGAAGGAGAGCGGCGCGGUGGCGGAGGGGGAGAAGGGAGCGGUAGAGGACGGGAAAAAGGGAGCGGAGGCCAGAGAGGAGGCGAGCGGCCGGCCGCGAGGAUGACGAGGAGGGGCGGCGGCUGCGAGGAAGACGAGGAGAGGGGCGGCGGCCGCGAGGAAGACGAGGAGGGGCGCCCAGUCGCGAGGAAGAUGAGGAGGGGUGCCGGCCGCGAGGAAGACGAGGAGGCGGAGGGGGGCUCGAGUGACGGGCUGUUUUGAUGAAGGCUGAUUCAUCUCAAUACCGAGGGGGAAGACUCGGUUUUGAGGGAGCGUUGUUUUAGCUCCCGUUGAAUUCCACGGUAUUGGCUCCCAAUACCAAUUCUCAAUUCCAGGGACAUCCAAACAAUGGUAUUCGUGAGAUCCAAUUCCAAUUCUCAAUUCCGAGGUCGAAUACCAACAUCCAAACGAGGCCUAAUUUUUUUUUCCCACAACAGUGCUUAAGACAGGAACCUGGAAAUGAUAAUCUAUGUGGCUACUAUGUCUGUGAGCACAUGCACAAUUUAUUGGGACCCAAGACCAGCAAGGCCAUGGAGCACGAAUUUAAAGUAUGUAAAAUAAAACUAUUAAUAAUUAUUUAUUUUCUACAAUUGUUCGUGUAAAAUUCACAUAUAUGUAUCCAAUUACAGAUGUGGAAUAUUCAAUUGGGACUCUUGAAGAAGGAAAGAGUAGCGGCAAUAUGUGAAGGUCUCAUUGGAUUCCUGGUGGACGAGGUGGUAAAUCCAAAAGGAGACUUUCAUUACGAUGGACAAAAAUUAGACGCUCCCAGCACCUCGACGGGAAGAUCCUCGUAUAUAUAUAUAUAGUUUGAUUUAGUUUGUAUAUAUAUAUAUGUAAUACGUACGCUAAUUAGAUUUGUAUAUAUAUAUAUAUAUAUGUAGUACGCUAAGAAUUGUAUAGUAUUUGUAAAUACUUGUUUGAUUCGUUUAAAUACUAGUUUGAUUGAUUUCAUUAUAAAAAAAAGUUCUCAACUACUAAAGGUUAACUAAAGGGGUACGUGAGAUAUGCACGAAAUUAUAGGCGCCAUGCAGGCGCCUGCAUGGUGCUGUACGCACGCACUUUAGUCCCGGUUUGUAAAACAAACCGUGAUAGUCCCGGUUGGUUUUACAAACCGGGACUAAAUGAGGGUUUUAUAUCCCGGUUGAGGGACCCGUGAUAAAAGACCUCCCCUUUUAUCUCGACGGAUUAAUCCCGGUUGCAUUUUCGGGAGAUAUGCAGUCUACGAACCGGUACUAAUACCGAGUUCUGUAGUAGUGUAUGAAAACCAAUACGGCCACGAAGAUCUGGCUAGAAGACCACGAGCGCGGGGUAAAGCACUUUUGAUCUUUUAUUAUAUUCCAUCUAGUAAUACGCUAAUCUUUUUGAGUGGCGUGUCUGUUAUGAAAACCAUUGUUCCAGAUGUCCACGAGUGAGUGUGCGUUGCUUCGCCGGCUGAAUUAGCGCUUGCUCCGUACAGCCUGAUGAGCAAGUACGGUUUGAUUUACUUGCGCACCCAAAUGGACAAUCGAGCACCAAAGAAGCUAAUUAUUUGUGCAUUUUCUCGGAAAGCCUCCUGAUGUCAACGAGCCCACGUUCUGCUCUUGAAUUUAGACUGGUCCGGUACGGCCUGGCGAGCAAGGACUCUUGGAGUUACAUGGUGCUGGUGACCCGUCGAUCCAGCACUAAAACAAACGUUGACAAGCAUCGAUCAUGAGGGUUAGUGCCUAUAAAUACCCAGCAUACACGGGCCAUCGAGAGUGAUUAUAUUAGAGCAUACACCUAAAACUAGCAAUGGCCACCACCAGAUCGUCCGCUGCUGCCCUGUUCCUCGCCACGGUUCUCCUGCUCGCGGUGGCUUCUGCCUUGGCCCAAGCGCCGGCACCGGGACCAUCCAGCAGCCAAUGCCCCCUCGGCCUUGAAAAACCGCUCAGGGCAAUAGGUUCACUGUCGCGUCUUCAGCGCAUUGAGAUCGCUCGUCAACUCUUGAGCCUGAGCGUGAGUGGUGCUGUCCGGUGCGUCUGCUCUAUUGCCGGAGGGUCCACUUCUUCUGCCCUUGGUAUCCUCGGGCCCCUCGGGCUGGGAGGUCUGCUCAACGUCGGCCUGACGUGCAGCACAGUCUAGGCCUAAUACAUAAUUGUCGCAUUAAGCAUGCAUGCACACUCGCAACAUACCCAGCAUGUGUGUUGCUUAGCGGCUUAAAUAAGUGCUUGCUGCCUAAUUCUUACCGAAAUGCAUACACUAUAUGGAACCCACGUAGUAGCUAGCUAUGCAGCAGCCGGCUAGCUAAUGUGAUGGUCCCAUACUACAUAUAUACUACAGCCGUAAUCAAAUGAUUAUAAAUUUAUAACCAUAAACAAUAUAAUAUAAGAUAAAUAAACGGUUAAAGUCUAACCUGGGAGACCCUUCAUGUCAUAUCGCGUUUUAUAAACAUGAAUGGAGUAAGUAUAAUAUCAGUUUUUAUUUGUUUAGAUACAUCUUAGCUAUUCACGCUUGGAAGGGAACGUGGGCCAGGAUGACCCUAGAUGUUAUAUGGUUCCAGAGUAUAAUAACUUCUAUUGCUCUUGGUUUCAGAAAUGAUGAACAACCACAUUUUAAUAUUAUCUUUUCGAACUUACGUGUCUUGUUUAGCAUAUUCCUCAUAUUCCUUCUGACGAUCCAUGUGGAAGAACCCGACGAACAGCUCGCUGCAGGCUGAUUCCUGCGUGGGGGAGGUCGACGUGGAGGAGGGGGAGCUCAUCCCUAGCCUAGCCAAGGCUUGGUCAGCCAGCUCCUGCCUAGGGCGAUGGCGCAGGUGAGCUGGAGGAGAAGCCACGGCACGGGAAAAGAACAAAAGUGAGGGAGAGAGAAUGGAAGGGGGAAGCUCAGAAGUUCUGUGGGGAGGGGGCGGAAGGCAUGGACGCUGUCACGGCAUGUAGGCGAUGGAAAACGGGCACGUGGCCCGGAAAACGGAUAGCACAUUACAGCGUUAGGCAAUUUGACGAGGAAAAAUGGCGGCUACGGAGAUUACGAACAAUUUUGCGCAGAUUCCGAAAACUGCGGAGUUUUCCAUCCUCAAAGGUAAUGAAUGGAAAAAAUAAGUUACGGAUAACUCUCCCACAAAAGAGAAAACUACGGAGAAUCCGCAAAAACCUCCAGAUAAUCCGUAAAAACUUGCGGAAAUUCUGCAAAAUUUUGUGGAAACUCCGCACAAAACAUCAACAACAACUAAUAUGAGAGUUUUGGAUGGAUUUCUUAUGAUUCAAAGGAAGAACAAGUUGUCGGGAUCGAAACGAAACAGACUAAACUCAUUAAACAUGGCGAUUCAAAUUGGACCACCUGGAGAUCUCCCAAAAAAUCAUGAAAUAAAUCAAAGAGGUAGUACAAAACAAGGGCAAACCAUUUUGCUCAUAACUGGCAUCAUAGCUAUUGUAGGUUUGAAAUGAAAAUUCUUCCCGGAAGGCUAUUUUGGAGUUUUCAGGUAAGCUAUUUGGCCUCAAGAUGGUCCCUACAAAUCCAGGAGAAGUAACCUAAAUUCAUGUUUGGAGAAGUACUAAUUUAUCAAGUCAUCUCCCAACAUAGGUUCAAUGGUAGAAAUCUAAGUUCAUUCACAAGGUACAUGCCAAAACGCAAGUUUUUAAAUAAAUUUUAAGUCCAAUGGUAAAUCAAUUGGGCUCAAAAGAUGCAAUGAUGCUAGAGAUGAUGCACAUGCAUGCUCCAUGACAUGAUUAACUAUUUUGGAUUGUUACAUUCUGCGAAGUUUACCAUCGCCAGCGUGGCAUCGAUCUCCUGGUCCUAACAGGGGCCUUGAAGAUGCCUUAAGCAUUUGCUUUCUGAAGACAAUCUGGCAGCGUCUUGUUUGAGUACGUCCUGCACUAAUGUUGAUCGAGCUCACCGCACUUAUUAGCACGCUCAGCGAUUUAAGUUUACCAUCGCCAGCCAUCUGUUGUUGAUCCCCGCAUCCCCACGAGAUAAUCGAGAAGGAAGCGCCAAAAAAGAUUAGCAUCGGCCAGUGCUCUAUGCCAGGAUCAAAGAUAUGCUGCCAUUUGGGAGACAAUGGCCAAUGCCUGCAGGCGCAGCGCAAGGGCAGUGCAUUACAUUCCCACCAAUAACCAAAUGCCAUUGUGCAAACGGCAAGCUAGACAUAUCAUAUAUAUACAGUAGACGAUGAUCGGCAGCUACGGGCGCGGGAACGUAUCGAUGUCGAGACAAGAUCCAGAAGGAAUGAGCAAGGACGAUGUGAUUGGGGAGAUUGUUACCAUCACCAACACUUUAAAAUCAAAUAUCCGUCUUGGUUUACCGUGUAAGGCGGAGUGCCCACAUCCGCUUCAUUGUUAGCGUAUUACAGUAAUCAAAUCGUUGGCAUUAUUUGUUAGGUUGUGGCUUGUCGCCGGGGCGCCAUACCGGACGGCACCUUGUCGGAGGCGACCGUAAAUGCGGGUACUCUAUAUCCUUGUGAAUGAGGUAGUCCCCGGCCAGAGAGCAGACGACGCGGGAGGUGGAAGGAGGAGAAGCGAGGAGGGAGAGAGAGAGGAGAGCAGCGGAGUCAUGGCGGGGAGGUGGAGGCACGACAACCCGUUCGAGGAGGGCGACGGAGACGUCAACCCCUUCUCGGUAACCUUCUCGCAGCGUGUCUCUCCAUGAUUCCAUUAUCAUCGAGUGUCCACUGGUUUCUCUCUAUUUUCCACCUUUCCUCCGACGAUCUCUAGUUUGAAAUUAUAUCCCCCUCUAAACCUUAGCUAGAAGCCUAGAAUUUGACAAUCGAGCUUUGAUGGUUGCAAUAUUUGGUUUUGAACGGUUCAACACUUUUCGCUUGUUUGAAAGACAUUGAACAAGAAAGUUGAAAGUAGCGUUUUUAUUUCCUAGUUCAAAUAAAGUUAUGUACUUUCAAAUUUCUAUGUUCGGGUUGUUUCCUAAAACUUGAAAUCAUGUUUUGGUUGCAAGACUUUUUUUUUUGUCACUCGUGGAAAUUUUACUUAGUGCAUCUUUUUUUAAGGAAAAUUUACUUAGUACAUCUUGUUGGAAACCUAAGCACUUUGAGGACCAGGUUUAUUUCGGGUCUAAAAACACCAACCAAGCUCGUCCAUAUCAACUCUAUUGGUCCGCAAAUUCAGGCUUAAGUCGGGCCAGGCUCGAGCUAGACUGGCCAUUAUUUUUCAAUAGACUAUGGUGUGAUUUUUUAGCCAUAAAAUUCAUCACGAUGCCCGGCUAUAAACUAUGGUCGGGCCGGCCCGGGCUUGUUUUGCUCAAAUCUAGUUACGGGCAAUACAAGGAGAUACACUUGCCCCGUGGCGUGUGUUGUUUAUAGCAAAUGUGUGUAUUUGUCAUCUAAUAUUGAAGUGUUUAACGAAAGAUCACAAGCACCUAGGAAUUUUUCCUCCAUCCAAAUAGGUUCGAAUCUGGUAAACCUUAUAUUCAAAGGACUCAUAUUUCAAAACUUUGUCACUAUAAACUAAACACAGGCAUCAUUAUUUUGUUUCAGCUCACCCGUGGAGAUUAUCUUUUGUUAUUAUUUUUUCCAUGUCAUUUACUCAUGUUGCCCUUUGUAUUCAUUCUCCUAUGUUUUAUUACUUAUGUUGUUUAAUAUAAAAGCUAAAUGCAUGAUUAGUACAUAAACUUGGCAAGUGAUUGUUCAUUUGAAAAUAACGACUUGGCAAGUGGGUGCGGAUGGGUCACCGGGAUGACACGUAGGUAAAAAAAAAUACCACAUAGGUAGCUUAUUUUUUCUUACAUGUCAUCCCGAUGAUCCAUUCGUACCCACCUGCCAAGUCGUUGUUUCCAAAUGAAUAAUUUGAAAGAUGAUGUAUCUAAGCGCGCCUACUCGCCAGUUUAUAUACUAACGACACAUUUAACUCUAAUAUAACUAUCUAUAUUUUGAGAAAAAAAGAAUGAUAUGGUUAUAAGUUUACCUCAUAGAAGGAUGCAUAGGGUUCCUCUGAAUCAUUUCUUUAAGACGACAUUUCUUUCUAGACAAAAAAACCAUUUUUAAAAGUCAUUUCUUUAAGACGACAGCAGCACGGACUCAUUACCUUUCAGGCGCAAGCCCACACAAAUGCGGGGUCAAGCAGACCGCCGGCCCAGCUGCCUGCUCGCAUCCCAGCCCGGCGGGCGGCGGCUGCUCCGGGCUCCGGGCUCCGGCGCACGGCGGCGAUCCGCAGACCGCGGUGCCCGUGCAUAGCACUGGCCAGUUAUUUGCCCGCCCAUCUCAGACGCUGGCUUCCCUCCGCACGUUGGCGCCGGCGGCGGAUUGGCGGCGCGCGUUCUGGAGAAUGGUCGAGCACUACGGCGCGCGCCGCCGCAACAGUCGUCACCUCUCGCCACGCCGGAGGUACGUCGUUUGCGGGAUUCGGUAUAGGAGAGAAGAACCUCGUCAUGUAUCCACCAUAUAUGCUAUGUCCAUUUCCAGAUGAUAUGAUUGGGUGUUGUUUUUGGCCGUGUUACCUGAACAGCCAUUUCAGUGUCAAAACACCUAACACAUUGCUCCUUAAAUCGGUUAGCCAUUUGUUCCUCUUAACAACUAGUUCUACUUAACCGUCAUGUUCUUCCUUGCUCGUGAUACGGAACAGCUCCAGUGCCACUUCUAUCAGUGGGGUGAAAUUCAGCCAGCAUUCCCCCUGUACUGUUACCUCCGGAGCGUGUCCGACGACUGUCCUGAGUCCCGACCAACCUACCCGUCCAUUUAAACCCAAGUUAGGCUUUUCAGGUGCUUUUGGCUGCCACCGACUUGUUGCUGGCAAAAAGAUUAGUAACUCACUUCUUUAAUAUGGUAUAUGGAAUAAAUUUCUGAAACUCGUUCCGUUAUUGCUAGUGAGUACCAGUGAAUUAUAUAUAUCGUACCUAUAUAUUUUUCACGAUGUCGUUUGUUCUAUCGCUCUAUUCUUUAGCCCAUUUAUAUCGUUGAUGUAUCAACUUAUUUCAGACUCUUGCAGUGUACCAUUCCAUAGAAACCAAUCAAAUGCUUGUGCAGAAUCAUGUAACAAAAGAGAAGGUGAAAAUCUGUUGUGCAUAGCAAAUUAGCAAGCGCACGUGCGCGCAUGCUUGCCAAGUUCUGAAUCCAAAGUUACAAUUUAUUAUGGAGUUAUGGAGCCAAACUUAUUUAUAUGUGUUUCAUUAUCUUUGCUUUAGCCCUUCAUUACUGUUCAAGAAUCUGAUCAUAUACUCAUAUCCUUUUAUUCGUGUAGCAUUCACGCCCAUCUCCCCUCCCUCAUGAACCAGCUGGUUUCUACAAUGACAUUGGUGCAUCUGUAGAUAUCCCACUUGAUAACAAAAAGGUAGUUUGACUGCUUGAAUUGUUUGAGUUAACUAUCAUUUACUAUUUUAUCUGUAUGCAUUGGUUUUGUACUAUUUUUCAAUCAUUCAGCGAAAUUUCAAACUGAUAUAUGUCCACCUGACGUUCGUUCCAUACUUCCACAAAUAAGUUUGGUAUCUUUCAAUUGGUCGAGCUUGUUGAAUCUUACUAUUUGACCUACAAAGUCACCAGUACAGAGUGUAUAUAAGUGCAGUAUGUCACAGUUCCGCAGAAAAUAACUAAAAAAAUUACAAAAGUCUAUCUUGCAAGUGUUUGUACGAAUGUGAAAUCAAAAUGUGAUUAAAAUCUAUAAUAUUCUCAAUAACUCUGUCUGGCAACAAGUCAUACAAUGGACAAAGAUUUUUUAAGGAUGAUAAAAAGGCUAGAAGUUAGUCUCAUGCCAUUGAGGAGGGGUUAGUAUUGGAAUUUUCCAUUUUCCCCAGCAGUUUUCCUAUAUGUUUCUUUAUUUUGAUAUCAUUAUCAGAUCCUUUUUAUGAGUUCAUCUACAUAAUCCAGGACCUAAAGAAAAAGGAGAGAGAAUUUAUGGCUAAAGAAGCCGAGCUAAACAGGAGGGAACAGGUAUAUACUAGUUAAAUAAUUUUUAUGUCCUGCCAGUUGCACAUUACUUUUUUUUUAUCAAGUAUGCAGCUAAUUUUACACAGUUGUGAACUUUACGAUUUAUUCUCUUGAUUAUAUGUACUGUAUAACUUAUGUUCCUUUCUCUAGGAAAUAAAAAGAAGGGAAGAAGCUCUUGCAAGAGGUAACCUUUAUUUCAUUUCAUGCAUGUGCCAUUUUUUCUCUAAAAUGUCCCAUGAAUUUAUAUUGUCAUCUUUCUCUUACAUGCAGCUGGAGUCUUAAUAGAGCCAAGAAACUGGCCACCGUUCUUACCCAUCAUUCAUGUUGACAUUUCAAAUGAUAUACCUGUGCACUUGCAGCGAGUACAGUAUGUUUCUUUCGCAUCACUCCUAGGUAAUAAGCUAGGGCACCAAUUACUUGAGAAUUCCCUCUUUAAGGGUUAUUGGCUUUCAAAAGGAACUGGUGGUUAAUACUUUUGCACAUUUAUCUUGCAGGGUUGGUCAUAUGCCUCUUCUGGAAUAUUUUAUGUGUUACUGGUGCUUGGAUUACAGGGCAUGGUAUGUUCAGAGAAAAAAAUUCUGGGCUGCUAAUACUCUACAAUUUAAAUUUGUUAUUUCUUUUGUUUAGUUAUUAUAUAUGAUCUUCCAUGCAGAUCCUAGGAUCUGGUUUCUUGCAGUUAUAUACUUCAUUACUGGAUGCCCUGGUGCCUACUUUUUAUGGUACCGACCUCUUUAUCGUGCCAUGAGGUACUAUGUUCUAAAUGAUCGUCCAAAUUAUUUUACAAAGUUUAAGUAUUUUAUGAGUACUCCCUCCAUCCCAAAUUACUAUUUGUUUUGGCUUUUCUAGAUACAUAGCUUUUGCUAUGCACCUAGAUAUAUAUUAUGUCUAGAUACGUAGCAAAAGCUAUGUACCUAGAAAAGCCAAAACGAAUAGUAAUUUGGGACAGAGGGAGUACAUGAUUAAAACCUUAGAUUCACCUGAUAUUGUAACACUUUCACUAGGAAGGAUAGUGCAUUCAGCUAUGGAUGGUUCUUCCUAUUCUACUUUGUAAGUUUUCUGUAAAAGGACUCAUAUAGAUCUUUGUAUGGUCUACUUGUUCCAUGGAGAAGCAAAUGUGCUAAUAACUUUGUAUAUAUUGUCUCUGCAGUUUCACAUUGCCUUCUGCAUAUACGCUGCUGUUUCUCCACCUUUCUAUAUGGGAAGAGCAUUAGCGUAAGUCUUUUAGCAGCUUAAGUUCUUUUCACAUGGAUACUCAACUUUUACAUGUUUCUUAUUUUACAAAUAGAUGAAUUAAAGUUUUUAUGAAGUAAUUAUUAUCAAACUGGACUACUGGAGACUUUCCACAGAACAUGUCGACUAUAAGUAAAAACUGUUUUCUUUUUCCAAUUUUUAAAAUUCAGUGUGAUAAACUUGCUAUUUGUUUUGGAUUUCCCUGUUGUGCAUUAUAUUGGUAUUGGGAUUAUAAUUUGCUUCAUUUGUCUUAUCUUAUCAUUGCAGCGGAAUUUUGCAAGCGAUCAGCGAGAUUGGCGAGAACGCUGCUGUUGGGGUGAGUUAAUUCUGUCAAUAUCUGUACCAUGUAAACACAAGUAACUCGAAAUGAACAGUAUGUUUACAUAACAUCAAAUCUAGGCAGAAGUCAGAACCAAAUGGUUAAAACUCCAGUUUCGUUUGUCCAUAUCUGAAUAGUAAAUUAACAAAACAAAGUAUCAGGCUCGCCUCGUCUUUUUUUUAACAGUGAUCCGUCCCAUAAAAAGGCAUCAGUGGAACUAGUCAAUUUCAAGUUACCAUUGGGACCUGAACCCUGGCAUGAGUUUGUGGAUGUUUUGCAUGUAGCGGCAUAGUCUUCGGGUAUAAUUUUUGUGGUAGCACUAGUUCCAUGAGUCUUAUACUCUGAUACAUUUCAAUGCUUACAGGAAGUUUUUUUUUCUUUAUUUCAGAUAAUGUACUUUAUGGGCUUCGCGAUAUUUGUUCUGGAGGUGCUGCUGAGCAUAUGGGUUUUCCAGGUAGGAAUACAGCAUAGAUGCAGUUGAAAACUUUCUUCCACCAUGCCCCUAACCGGUGGUCACAUUGUUUUGAGGCAAAACUGAAUGGUUUCUUGCAAAUGCUUGUUUUUGUGGUUGCAGAGAGUCUACUGGUUCUUCCGCGGAAAAGGCACGGAGGCGCAGAUGAGGCCUGACGCCGCGUCUCGUGCUCCGCCGUUCUGACGCCCUCUCUCCUAGCAGCAAAAUCCGGAGGGGAGAUAAGAAGCAUGUGUGAAUUCAGUUUGCGUUGGUGUGGUCGAGUGGACACCGAUUUACAGUUGGUGAUGGCAGCAGUUGAAGGGUGACUUGUCGAUUAUUAAUGGCACCAGGUGCAUAGCCUUAGUGACAUUUUGCCUUUGUGUGAGGUUCCUUUCUUCCCUGGAGCUGAAAUCCCCGAAAGGCGAAACAGAAAAAGAAAAGACGGCCCAGCGUCUGGCCGGGACCAGGUGCUUGCCAUUAGCCCUUUCGUCAAAGCAUGAUCCAGUACUAGUUGUGCCCCGCUUUUUAUUAUUUUUUUUUGUGAUUAUAAACACACAUACCUUCUUCGUGACGAAUGCUGUAAUUUAUGAAAUUUAAAAGUUGUAAAAAUGUGUGAUCCGAAAGUUUUGUAGUUUAUGAAAGGUUUGGCGGCAGUGUACAGGUAAGCCGCGAAAGCCGAAAGCAGGCAGCGAUUCUGAUAUCGCUAACGCCGUCGGCCGUCGCUGUCGAGAUGGCGUGGCUGGGGCGGCAAAACCAAAGGUCCAUCCUCCACCGGUGCUUCCAUUCGUUGCAGCGGCUGAUGAUGCGUUUGACGGCAAAGAGAGAAAAAAAGAAAGGUAAAAGCUGACGGCCGGACGGGUGACAAAUCCACGCGGAGUCCGCUAAAUUUUUUCCGUCGCCGCUGCCCGUUCUAGACGCGAUGGAUGACGAUGCCGCUCCCGUACCAACUGCUUUGCUUCCAGGCCGUUUUGUUUUUCUACGCGUUGAGGUCUAUCUGGGCUGCUUCUUGUGCUGCACCCCGUUCUGGUCCUCCUCUUUUUUGCUGACCUCGGAGCAGAGGAAGGAAGCGAGGAGCAGAGGGACAGGAGCAUCGAUCGGUGAGGAGGGACAGAAGAAUGGCGGGGCGGUCGCGGUACGACAACCCCUUCGAGGAGGGCGGCGCCGACGAGGUCAACCCUUUCGCGGUAAGCCCGCGGCUCUCGCCGGCCGGCCGGCCGGCCAUGGGCUCCAGCACCUCUUCCUCCCCUGUUUUUCCCCACUCCCCUGAUUCGUUUGAUGGCUUUUGUCGUCUGCCGGUUCGUUUGGGCUUCGAUACUCUGCUUCCUCUGCUGCUGAGUUAAGCCAACUAGAAUCCCGGCUUCUGCGAUCAUACUUCAUUCCAAGUUUAGCGGCGAUGAAAAGAGGAAGAUGUUCCUUUUCUCCAAAAAAAAAAAGAAAAAGAAAGCGAAAGAAAUAAAAUUGAUGAGGUGGUUGCGAGAGACAUAGACGAUGAUCACAGGCUCUUGUAUUUGUGCAAUUGAUUUGUUGUCCUCUCUACCAAGCAGGGGACAUGGUCUAAAAACUUUGGCAGAAAUUUCACCGUGUUACUGCUUUCUUUUACUUCUGUCAGAAACAAGUGGAUUACGAUCGCUUACCUUUUCGAAACUCAUUUUUUUUUGUUCAAAAUCUGCCUGAUUUUGGGGAUAAAGAACCCAUACCAGCAAUAAGCCAAUCUUAUCUUCUUUUGAAUAGAGUGGUCCGAUCGGACAACAUGAAUUAGGUUAACUGCAACUGCAACCCUGCACUCAUACUUCUUUUUUUUUCCCCAGGACCAAGGCAAAAGAGGUGCAUCAACCACUCAGUCCAGCUAUUCCGGUGGCGCCUUCUACACUACGGUGAGUCUGCACUAGGACAGUGCACUGUUGAUUUCAGCAAUAAUUUUUUUUAAUGCUUUCCUACCUGGAUGAUCAUGCGAAUGCGCUUAUUAUGUCGAUGCAGCAAUCACGCCCUGCUCCUCCGAGCACACGCCUUUCGCCUCUUCCUCCUGAACCUGCUGACUUCUACAAUGACUUUUCGACCCCGGUGGAUAUCCCCAUGGAUACAAACAAGGUAGGUAGUUACACAACCUUCUUGAGAUCAGUACUUUGGUUCAUGCAACUAGAUGGGUGUUACUGAUGUGAAUCUAGUAACUUAAACCCUUACUGGUUGCUAAAUACACACAGGACAUGAAGACAAGGGAGAGGGACCUUUUGGCCAAGGAGGCUGAGUUAAACAGGCGUGAGAAGGUAACAGGAUCCAUAACUGAGACUGGAAUUCACCUUUGCAUGCAUUUCUUAGUUUUGAGGAGCCUUCUUUUUUUCCUAAGCGGUGUUUGAAAGUUUUCUCGAGAUGUAAACAAUUGCCUUGUUUCCACUAGUUUCUGUUGAUUUUGGUGUUAACCCUUGUUCUGCUCCAUGUAGGAAAUCAAAAGGAGGGAAGAGGCUGCAGCACGAGGUUGUGUUUCAGUGUUCAUCCCUCGGAUGUUAUUUUGAUAUUUUUCUAAUGUCAUUCACCAAUACUUUGAUUAAUAAAGCAGUUUCACUCACUUUCUCUUGCAGCUGGAAUUGUAUUGGAAGAGAAAAAUUGGCCCCCGUUUUUCCCCAUCAUUCAUCAUGAUAUUGGGAACGAGAUACCUGUUCAUUUGCAAAGAACACAGUACGUCGCAUUUGCUUCACUAUUAGGUACGCUUUCUUUGACUUUUUACCUGAAAACGCCAUUCUUAGUAUUUACCUGUGCUUUAUGUUGUCCAUGAAAUGCCUAUUGGAACCGUCAUUAUGAUACAUACAAUACAAUACAAAAAGUAACUAAUUUGGUGUAUAUAUCCUAUCUGGUAGGAUUGGUCUUGUGCCUGUUUUGGAACAUCAUCUGUGUUAGUGCAGCCUGGGCAAAAGGGUCAGGUAUGUUAACAAGAAUUUGUUUUUUUUCUACUCGUGCACUGAUAACUGAUCUGUAUGGUUCAUGGCCAUGUACACGGUACACCUGAUGAUGCAGAGGCUAUGGUAAUUUUAUUCUCUUAUAUCUGAAAAGAUUCUGUGCUAUUUCGUUACUUGACUAAUGCAGGUCCUAAGAUAUGGUUUCUUGCAAUCAUAUACUUCAUUCUUGGAUGCCCCGGUGCCUAUUACCUUUGGUACCGGCCACUUUACCGUGCCAUGAGGUAAAUGCAAUGUACUCAUAGUUAUGAAAAAUUACUCAUUUUUGUGGGUUUGAAAUCUAUUAAGCAUCGCGUAACCAGAUAGCCUCACAUAGUUUCUGUCUACAACACAUGUUUCCAGGAAUGAGAGUGCUCUGAAAUUUGGAUGGUUUUUCCUCUUCUACUUGGUGAGCUUCCAGUAACAUUUCGGUAUAUUAGAAUGUGUUGCCCGCAAUUAGGUAUAUGUAUCUCACAUGUUCAUGCAUGCUGAUCCCAACAGGUUCAUAUCGCCUUCUGCGUGUAUGCAGCUGUUUCUCCUUCAAUUCUCUUUGUGGGAAAGUCGUUGACGUAAGUUUUCUGCAUUUAGUUCUCAUACUUUGUCUCCGCUUUAUUUCCACUAUCGUUGCGACAUCUUUAUUUCUUGAGGUUCUGCAUCAGAAUUAUAAUGUAAUUUCCUUUCACCUGUCUACUACUCGUCGUGCAGCGGGAUUUUUCCAGCAAUCAGCUUGAUAGGCAGUAGCGUCAUUGUUGGGGUGAGUGAAUUUACCUGUAUUGUUCUAUUUGAAUUCAGUAAAUUAGAAAUCCAUAGGAGAGCAUCUGUAUUUCCUACAAAGACAAGUGAUACAUGCAUCAAAACAAAUUCAUAUCUCACAACAUGUAUACUGUUUUUUCAUGACGCAUAACAAAUAAUUUCCACUGCACGGUACGGUGUACUGUUUUGACUACAGAUCCUCUACUUUGUUGGCUUUGGAUUGUUCUGCCUCGAGUCUCUGCUAAGCAUGUGGGUCAUUCAGGUGAAGUAACUGCUAACUCAUGCUCUGCAUUCAUCUCUUGAUCCUUUCACUUGGUUUCUGAACUGUAAACUUUGUUGCUGCCUGCAGCGUGUUUACCGGUACUUCCGAGGCAGUGGGAAAGAAGCACAGAUGAAGCGGGAAGCAGCACGCAGCGCGGCGAGGGCAGCAUUUUGAUGAGCCGUACAUAUAAGUACAGCAUGUAUACUGUUCAUAGUGUGAAGUGUUUUUAGAUCAACAGGCGUGUAGAGUAGGGUCGGUGUACUGUAAAUCUUCAGAAUUUCCUUACUUUUCCACUGAGUUUGGAUCCUUUAAGUUCAGAUUGAUCAGUCCUGUCAGUAUGACAGUAUUAGAAUGGAGUAAAAACACACGAACCUAGAUGGUUUGUUGCAUAUGUGCGAUUUUGUUCUCACCUUUUAUCAAUUAUUUCCUCGGAUUUCAGCAAAAAUAAAGUUGUAAAAAUGUUACCUAAAGGAUUCUGAGAAUCCCAUUUGUGUAAAAUUGUUCGGCCUCGCCGCCUCGUGUCAUGAAAUUCCUUCACAAAAUACUCCACUUCUAUUGAUGAGGUGACAUCAUUUAGCUAUUUGUUGCAUUUGAAAUUCUUUUUCCUAUUAUCAUAUUAUUAUGUGAUGUUGGAAGUUGCGUUCUGGUGAAGAAUUUGAGACUAGCCCUUAGCUUAUGCGUCCAACAAAAAUUCUGGAACCCAGGGGUGUUUGGAUACUAUGUGCUAAACUUUAGCAGUGUCACAUCGGAUGUUCGGAUGCUAAUUAGAAGGAUAAGCUAAUUAUAAAACUAAUUGCAGAACCACUAGGCUAAUUCGCGAGAUGAAUCUAUUAAGCCUAAUUAAUCCAUCAUUAGUAGAUGGUUACUGUAGCACCACAUUAUCAAAUCAUGGACUAAUUAGGCUUAAUAGAUUCGUCUCGCGAAUUCGACUCCAUCUGUCAAUUAGUUUGUAAUUAGCCUAUGUUUAAUACUUCUAAUUAGUAUCAAACAUCCGAUGUGAUAGGUGUUAAACUUUAGCGGGUGUAUCCAGUUUACUUUGAAUUUUAAGCCCUAACCUCGCAUGGAAUGCUGGGCCUACUGUGGCCCGUUGUAGAAUGAAACUGAUGGGCCGGAGGAGAGGGGGAGAAAAGAGAAGAAAUUUCCCCCCCAAGGGCCGUCCCGGCCAUCUUCGGCCACGUUCACGGCCGCCGCCUAACCUCGAGUUUGCUUCUUUUCAACUCGUGCGGCGGGUUUCUGGGCUGGGCGGCGAGGGCGGCACGCCUGCACCAUCUCGCUACGCCUACGCGUCGUGGCGGGAGCCACAGACCUCGCGCUGCGGGUGUUCGACGGAAUGCCGCGGAGGAACGUCGUCACCGGCGACGCUCUUAUCAGGCGGGGCAAGGCAUUUGAGAUGUUCAGAGACACGAGGAGGCAGAAGGACAAUGUUUGGGCUUGUUAUUUGUGUGACAAUAUUGUUGGGCGACAAACAACCAGUUUCACCAUUUCAACAAUGCGUCUUGCUUUGUGGUGAUUGAUUAUUGGUGAUAGGUGAAUAAUCAUGUAUCCUGAGUUCCUGACGAUAGGUAACUACCCUCUUUGAAUUGAAUUCUUUGUUUUCUUAUGCUGAGUCGUUCCACAUUUCGGAGAAGGCAAAAACGUAGCGGGAUGGGUAUCUUCAUCAUUGUCAAGGAAUAAGAAUAGAUUCCUCAGAAUUUAAUUGAUGCCACAUUCGUUAAGCAGUCGAAGCUUAAGGGCUGGUUUGCAGUUCCUAUGAGUCCAGUUAGUUUCAUGAAUUUUUACAAAAACAUGCAAGCCUUUUUGUGUUAUGGCUCAGUGAUGCACCUGAUUAUCAAAAUCUAGGAAAAAGGUGUUCUUUUCGAAAGCCGUGGGGAUGCCAAAUGGUGCCUAAGUAGUUGAUGCUCAUUGACCAGCAACAAUGAUAUUUGCAUGGCUUAUGUUUCAUGGAAUAGCAGCUAGCAAUUUAUGUAAAACUUAGUUAUAUUAAAUUUCUACCUUUUAUAGAAGAAUUUCCAGAAAAUACAUUAUCCUAAACUAGAAAGCCAAAUAUGUGCUAAAACUUGAUCGGAGAUAUCAAAACAUUGCAUGUACUUGUUGGUCUCUAUUCAUUGUACGAUUACCAUGCUGCUUACAGGAGGGUGGAAUGGAGUCAGGGAUUCGGCUACCAUCUGCCAACUAUACUUGUGCUUCCCAAAAUUCAGACAAGACAGGUUACUGUGUUGUUCACAUCAUCAUUUUUUGCACUUGUGCAAAAUUUAUCCAGCUUGCAUGCUUCCUUAGUCAACAUCAUCCUUUUCAAGCUAAGCAAUUGCAUAUUUAUUGUGAUAUUAUAUAUUCUAAAUAACUAUUUUUGUCGAGCUUAAUAACAAAUUCCUGUGAUCUAAAUGUGGAAGCUGAUUUGAUAUACAGAGUCAUGUUUCUUGUGCUCGAUAUAUCCAUGCACCUAUGGAGGAUUGGGUAGCAUCUCUAUUACUUUCUAUGCAUUUUCCCCCAUCUGCCCUCCAUCUUUUCAUUUUCUUCAUAAUAACAAUUCCAACUUUUUUUUUCCAGUUGCAUUACUAUCCUUUUUUGUUCCAGUUUCCAAGCACCAAUAUAGUAUAUGUAUUUGAGAAACCUUUCAAUGUCACAAGAAGGUAUUAUCUUGUCCUAGUCACUGAAAUAGCUAACAAUAUGCUUAGACGUCUUUUAUCAGGCGCAAGAUUUGCCUAUAUAUGGCUGAUUUUUGUAUGGUUUCAUGCACUGUAUGUCCUACAAACAAAUUUUCUUCUGCUUUUCUUCUCCCUCAUUACUACAAUUGCAAACUUUUUUCCCUGAAAUUUCGUGUACACAAUCAGAUAGAAUUGAUUCUUCAUUCAGGUUGAGGCUACAACUAAACAGCAAUGAGUUUAUUAUAGUUAUUCUUAAUUACAAGCAUGCCAGCAUCAUAAAAAGUUCUGUCACAUGCAUAUCAAUCGGCAGCGCUAUCAAUAUUCGACUACUUGUCAAGCAUCCUAUCGUGAAGUACCCCUUCUCAACAUCAAGUCCUUGGUCUGCUGCAAUCUGCUCCACCACUGUCUGAACUUGAUAGGCACUGACAUGAUCCGGAUCCAGCAAGCAUGCAAUCUCUGUGCAAUCACCAUGGAGAGUGCAAGAGCUUGCACCGAUGGAAGCCCCCCACCCCUUCCGCUCACACUACGGGUAAUCCUCCUUACAACUGCAACAUCCUUAGACAGUAUCGGCACAUUAUAGUUCUCAAGAAAAGGUGUAGCACCUACUGUUGUGGCUCCUCUUUCAGAAGAAACAUUGUUUGGGCCCUCAUCAGGGCUAAUUGGCAGGACAUCAGGGAGCAUGCUACCUGACCACUGGCUGCCCAUAUAAUUUGGACGGUAGUAACCAAGCUCACGCCUUAUUGCACCUACAGACUUGCUUGCGGGGUGGGCUGCUGCAUAGAGGAGCACUGGGACUGCACACGAAGUUGGGGGAGAAGGAUGAAAACAUCUAUAUGGCUGAUGUUUAUAGAAGCUUUAACACAUUUGACAUACCUCUAAAAUCAUUGCCAGUGUCUGAAGCCACCUGCUUAGCCAAGGAAACUGCAUCCUCCAUUGCGGAUUGACCCAAGGGGUGGAAGGACAGGUCAUCAUUGACACCCAUCCUAGGAUGUGCUCCUGAAUGCAAAUUGAGGUUUAUGGCUGAAAAUGCAGCCUCCAUCAUCGCAAAUAAUACCUUCCUGAUUGGGCUAUAUAUCACUUCACCAGUUGAGCUGUCAUUGACGAUAUAGGAGACAAGUGUGUAGCGUACACGGUUGUAGAGACAAUCUUCAAACUUGCUCAACACCGCAACUUGCAGGUCACUUCUUGCAGCGCAGUCAAUUGCAUCAAUAGCCAUAGCGUUGAGGCUUUCAGAAAUGUAGAGCUUGCAGCAGAUAAACUUUGAGUGCAUCAUGCUGAGAUUGUCGUUUGCCCUUAGAGCAGGUGGAGAAGAUGGAACCUGAAUCGCAUUAGCUUUGUGAGGUGUUCUAAGUAGGUGCUGGACAAGUCAACAGUGAAGUGGCCAGUAUAGCCUUCCUAUGUCUACUCUCACGAACUAUGCAUAUUUGAGUCUUUUCAAAUCAAUCUAGGCUGUAGGAAGAUGGUUACAUUGGCGAACUAUGCAUAUUUGAGUCUUUUCAAUUGUUUUCAAUUUACAGGUAAGGGGAAAAAAGGAAACUCAAACACAGUCCAGUAAGAUAGAACUUGUUCACACUUCACAGAAGUGGAUUCAACGAGCAGGUCCUAAUGACCUAAUGUGGUUCCUAACAACAGACUUUUUUGAGAAGUGGGUUUGGUUGUGAUAUGAGUGUUAGAUUAAUUCACCAGAUAAGAAUUGGAUCUUCAUAUGAGUGUUAGAUUAAUUCACCAGAUAAGAAUUUAGUUCCAGACUUCCAGUUUGACUUUUCGAUUGUUCUGAACUUGAUGGGCAAAAGACAAAUUACUCUGUUUUCUGAUGACGAACUGAAAUCGGAAUAUUUUUGCAGGAGAAAUGUGGUGCUGAGCUGAAUAAUUGACUAGACAGCAAUCCAGGCAGCACAUGAACAGAACAUUUUCUCAAGGAGCAUCUCUUGGCAGAAUUUAUUGAGGUAGGUACAAUAGGAUGUUUGGUGCAGACUUUGGAGCAAAAUACAUAGAUUCAAAUCAUCUUGACCUUGGGAGACUAGGUACUAGAGAAAGCAUACCUUGUUUGAGUGAGGCUCCAUGCCUUGUUCUUCUUGGUCUCUGUGUGUGGUUCUAUGAGUCCGUGCCUGCUCAGUGCAAUAAUGAGAUACUACGGAUUGUGAUAAGGGCCUUUUAAGUGAGCUACAUAUUAUGAUAAGGUCCUUGCAACAAACCCUUUUGUUGUCUAGUCACUUGUUCUUUCGUGAAUCAAAUUUGCAUGGUGCCAGCCAUGCAAGGAUGUAGCAUGUGCUUAUCAGUCAUGACUUGCUGGGUCCCUCUGCAUCAUGAACGAGACAGCAACUUUUCAAGUUGCAUCUUGAGAUCCGCAUCUACAUGCCAAAACUACAACAGGGUUUGCAUUUUACAAAGUUCUCAGUACUGUUGGUGUGAAGCCUCAUCAAUUCCAAUAAUCUAUAUCCAUUUUAUCUUUAUCAUGCAACAGGAACUACUAUAGUAAAAAAAUAGUUUGUUUCCUCACCUUGGUUAGUAGGGCACCAUUAAUAAAUUGAAUUAUCUUGACUUGAUUGUUUUUCUUCUAUAAUAUAUGAAAAUAACAGCCUAUUUGGGUGCUCAAGUGUGAACUACAGCCUCCGGCCAUGGAAUUGGGAUAUAAUGUAGUGUAGUAGACUGAAUCGAUACAUUCCAGCAAAGAAUCCUAGGGAACCUUUCUAUUUACUUAAAGUGUUCUUAUUUCAUGAUGAAUGAGUAGCAUCAAUAUCUGUUGUCAGUCUACAUAAUUCAUGAUAAAAUUAAAGUAUUUUAAAUUCAGAGUAUACAGCGAGUUUUUAGGUGGUUGCAAAAUCCUCUGCUGUUUACACUAUGAUGAGUAAUACUUGUGCAAGUUGGACCAGCUAAUUAACCAGCUUGCUGCCAGUGUUGCUAAUCUAUAUUGCUUCAAUGAUGCUUCUACUCAACUUAUUGAUGUUAUGUUGCUCUUGAUGGUUGAAAACAUGAUUGGUAAAUCAUCAGAGAAAAUGUUUUGCCUCUGCCUGCCUGACGCCCCUCCCGUUGCUUCGCACCAGAGCUCCCCAUUUCUGAUGUGCUAUUAUUGCUAAAGUUUUCCAGAAUUUACAUAUGCAGAAUCAGGCAUGAUUGGUUCCUGAUGCAGUCUGGAGCCACAACUAAAGAGCAGCAUGCUUGCAAUUACAAACAGGCAUGAUUCGUCUGGGUCAGUCAGUCUCACAAAUCAGCAUGAUUCUAUUACAUUCAUAUCAAUCAGCAGCACAAGUUAUCUUCAAAUACUUGUCAAGCAUUCUGUCCUUAGUCAAGUCAGUGAAGUACCCCUUCUCAACUUCGAGCCCUUGCUCUGCUGCAAUCUGCUCCACCACGGUCUGAACUUGAUAGGCACUGACAUGAUCUGGAUCCAACAAGCAUGCGAUCUCUGUGCAAUCAUCGCCAUGGAGAAGUGCAAGGGCUUGCACCGUCGGAAGCCCUCCACCGCGUCCAGUUAAUCUUCGAGUAAUCCGCCUCACAGUCGCAACAUCCUUGGAGAGCACUGGCACAUUGUAGCCCUCAAGAAAAGGUGUUGCUCCAACUGUUGUGGCCCCUCUUUCAGAAGAAACAUUGGUUGGACCCUCAUCAGGGCUAAUUGGCAGAACAUCAGGGAGCAUGGUACCUGACCAUUGGUUGCCCAUGUGAUUUGGCCGGUAGUAGCCGAGCUCACGCCGUAUUGCACCUACAGAUUUGCCUGUGGGGUGGGCUGCUGCAUAGAGGAACACUGGGACUGCAUACAAAAUUGGGCAAGAAGGGUCAAGAUAUUUGUGUGGCUGAUUUUUAUUGUUGCCUAUCACAUUUAACAUACCUUGAAAACCAUUGCCUAUGUCAGAAGCCACCUGCUUAGCCAAGGAAGCUGCAUCCUCCAUUGUGGCUUGACCCAAGGGGUGGAAGGACAGAUCAUCAUUGACACCCAUCCUAGGAUGCGCUCCUGAGUGCAAUUCGAGGUUUAUGGCUGAAAAUGCAGCCUCCGUCAUUGCCAACAAUACCUUCCUGAUUGGGCUAUAUAUCACUUCAGCUGAGCUGUCAUCGAUGAUAUAGGAGACAAGUGUGUAGCGUACGCGGUUGUAGAGACAAUCUUCGAACUUGCUAAGCACUGCAACCUGAGGAUCAGUCUUUGCUGCAAGAUCAAUUGCAUCAAUAGCCGUGGGGUUGCGGCUUUCAGAAAUGUAGAGCUUGCAGCAGAUAAACUUUGAGUACAUCAUGCUGAGAUUGUCCUUUGCAUUUGGAGCAGGCAGAGAAGAUGAAACCUGGAUAGCAAGUUGUGCGUGAGGUUUUGUAAGUAGGGACUGGAAAAACAUUGAAGUGACCAGCAUAGUGUUCCUAUGUCUACUGGCAUCAGUUCGGACAGUAACAAGAUGUUUUUAGCCAGUUUGUAGCAGAAUGAGUACAUUGACGAACUUUGCAUAUUUGGAUUUUCUCGGAGACAAAUACCUUGUUUCCAAAUUACCUGUAAUAGUUUCUAUAAAGAAAAAGAAAAAGAAGAACUUCUUGACAGGAAUUAUUUCGUUGAACAGGUCCUUUGUGAUUCCUAACAACAGGCUGCUACUUGGGAGUUGAGCCUUUAUGUCAUAUCGAUGUUAGAUUACUUUCCCAGAUAAGAAUCAGGUAAGUUAAGUUUUCUUCUGCAAAAGCUAAAUUACUCCAGUUUUCUGCUGACAAAUCAAAAUAUUUUUGCAGGAAAAAUGUUCCACCGAGCUGAAUUCUUGGGACCAAGUUUAAAGACAGCAAUGCAAGUAGCAGCACAUCAACAGGUAAUUUUCUCGAGGAGCAUGCCUCUCUUUUAGCAUAAUUUCUUGAGUCAGGUUUAGGAUAUGAUGUUUCUUGUUUGAUGCCGAGAGAUCCGAAUCAUCUUUGAACUGUGGGAGAUUAGAUGCUAGAGAGAGAGAGAAAAAGCACCUUGUCUGCGUGAUCGGGCUCCAUGCCUUGCUCCUCUUGAUCUCCCCCUUUCUCUCUCUGUGUGGCUCUUCAAUGAGUGCUUGUUCCUGCUCGGUGACUGAACAGGGGCCCUUUUAUAGCGGGAUAUGCAUCAUGACUCAUGAGGGGUACUUGCUAGGAAACCCUUUUGCGCUCUGUUUACUUGUUUCUUGCAAAGUCAGUUUACCAAGGUCGCAUCCCAACGCCAUGUAAUUUGUAAGGACGCAGCAUGUGCCUAUCAGCUUUCUGACUCAUCAUCAUCAGCCAGCGCCACCCCGGCCCGGCCCCUGCAUCACGAUUCACAAACCGCAUGCGGCGACUUAACAAGGCUGAUUAUCUUGAGACCCACAGAAGCAUGCCAUCACUCGAAUAUGUAUGCUAUAAGCUCAUGAUUAUCUUUAGGCCUUGUUUAGUUGGCCAAUUUGGGAGAUGCAAAAUUCCUGUUCCAGCACUGUAGCAUACUGUAGCGUUUCGUUUGUAUUUGUGAAUUAUUGUCCAAAUAUUGACUAAUUAGGCUCAAAAGAUUCGUCUCGCAAAGUACAACAAAACUGUGCAAUUAGUUUUUAAUUUCGUCUACAUUUAGUACUCCAUACAUGUACCGCAAGUUUGAUGUGAUGGGGAAUCUUCUUUUUGCAUAGUGUCAAAGUUAGGAGUUGGGAGGUAACUAAACAUGGCCUUAGCUGGUGGUGUAGCCCUUGGCAGCUUGCUUGUGUUCGUGAAUCAUGAGUCAUGGAUCUUGUCCGUUACCUUCCAGUGCCCGCCAGUACAAUGUCAUUGUCCACCUUGAGCACACGGUUUCGCAGAAAACCAUUUUCCAGAAGAGACGACAGGCUGAUAGCUCUGUGUGGUGUGUCAUUGUGUGCAUCCCGAAAUAACAAACAAUAAGCUGUAUUGAUUCGAUUUGCCACGCAUGCAAUGUAGUAGUAAGUUUUUUUUUUCAACAUUAAAUGUAGUAGUUAUUGCCGCCUCGUGUGCAUCAACUGUUGAUCCGUCCCGUAAAGGCUUUGCAACGGAAAGCAGUUGGAUCUGUGUGUGUGGUGUUGGUGUGUACGUCCAUGACCGCCCUGCACUCUCUUUGGAUUCCAGGACGAUGGCGACAAGAGCAAGGUCACUGAUAGCUGCCCUUCUUUCCUAUGGCAUAGCUGUACCUCUUCUGAUUUCGUCACCGCUUGGGAAAAAAAAAUAUCCUGCUUCGAAUGGGAUGGCUGCUCUAGAAAUUCAUCCGGUUUCAGCUCCAAAUUUGACCCUGAUUUUCAUCUGGUUGCCAAGGUUACAGAUAGUCUGGAAGACUCGUGCCAUUCAGAGGUGUCAGGUCCCAGACCCGGAGGCAUCCGGGGAGUAGUCUGAUGGCGUGAGGACAAGCAGCAUGUGUGUAUGGACGCUACGGACAAGGCCACACGGGAUACGGAAGGAACGGAAAAGACGGAGAGGCCUCGUGCUGUUAUCCGCUCCGUCUCCCCGUGGAUAGGAUCGGUGCUCCAGCCAGUGGCUGGGCCUGCGAGGCUGCGUAGUUCGUGGGGUCGGGGCGGGGGGUUCACGUGCAUCUUUUACUUUGAAGCCUUCUGGUCUCGCAUACUGUCGUUUUCCACGCCCAAGUACAGCAGCACGACUAUGCAUCUGACGUUCAGGACAACAGGAGUUCUCGUGACCCAUCUUCUUUUUAUUUCCUUUUACCAAGCAGGUCGUCGUGGUAACAACUAACAACUACCAAUAGUUUUUUCUUUUAACGGGAAAUCACUGUCGUUGAGUCACUGUCCUUUGAUCUCCAGGGCCAAGGGCCGACGAGUACGCGAUCCUUUGAUCUCCAGCUCGCAUGAUGCAGGCCCCAAUAUUUGUGUUGCGUAUUGUGCAAACUUGGGUGAAACGUGCAGUGGCGUUGACGUUCACGAGGGUUCCAGGGGGACACGGUCGCACGGAUCGGACACCAUCAUGUGCACGCCAAUACGCCACGCGCUGGUCCACACCGCGUUCGUCGGCGGCCGUGCCCGCCCGUGUGUGUAUAUGGGUCACACUCACCGCGAGAUCAGUGCACACGAUUAGUGGGCGUUUGUUUCAUAGGACAGUUCUAACUGUGAUAUCUGGAUACUAAUUAGAAGUACUAAAUAUAGGUUAAUUAUAAAACUAAUUUACAGAUGAAGGCUAAUUCGCGAGACGAAUCUAUUAAGUCUAAUUAAUCCAUGAUUUGACAAUGUGAUGCUACAGUAAUCAUUGCUAAUGAUGAAUUAAUUAGGCUUAAUAGAUUCGUCUCACAAAUGAACUCAGAGCUUCUGCAAUUAGUUUUAUAAUUAAAUCAUAUUUACUCCUUUUAAUUAGUAUCCGAAUAUUUGAUGUGAUAACUUAAGCCUAAGAUCUAAACAAGCUCUACUUCAGCCAAAAGUGGCUUGCACUGCGUCUCGUCUCGAGCCGUGCGUCACCCCGUGGCCUUUGACCAAUUCGCUGAAAUUCCCUGGAAUACCUGCCAUUCCGGUGCAUAUCGGCAAAAUAGUUUUUUCUAAAUUCUGUGCUAACCGUGAAUAACUUCGCAGCCCAGAUAACUGGUUUGGUCUUUCCCGUGCGUGCAAUUUUAUAUGGAGUUUAUAAUACAAAUUGCAUAUUUUUUCCACGGGCCAGCCUUUUUUUAAGACAAUUUUUCACCGACAAGCUUAUACCUUCGCAUCUUGCAACAGAAGAAUGGGUCAAAGGGGCCCAGCAUGUAACCACCCGCCCGAUCGAUCCUCAGAGGAUUUCGAGCUUCGCAUCUUGCAACGGAAGAAUGGGCCGCCGGGGCGCAACAUAUAACCACCCGGUUCAGAGCAUCUCGGGCUUCGCCAAUGGGCCAAAGCCUUAUAUAUAAUCACGUAUUUUCUUCACACGAAAAUGAAAAUUAUUUUGUUUCAACAAUUUUGACCCAAAUUCAAGAAUAGAAACCCCGCAAAUUGCGAAUACGAUCGCUAUCACAGCACGACUCCGCCAAUUCUGCUUUUUUGUGAAAUAAAUCUAAUUCUACUUUGGGUCUCGUCCUUUUUCAGCUAGCAUUUUUCGAUCUGCAGAUGAAUUGGGCAAAAGCAUGUCACGAUUGUCCUUGCUCGUAUAGACGUCCGUAUCGCCGCCCGCAGGCGCACCACUCAAAGUCUCAAACUGAUAGCUUAGUGACAAACCAAUAAUGAAGUAUGGCGUGCAGAGCAUGCUUCAAGUACAGAGGGAGCAAGAAAAAAUGUAGGUGGCAACAGAAAUUAAAACAUCAAUUAAUCAAUUGCGAAAAACAAGUACAACACCUGCAGUGUCCGCUAACAUUUAGUUACACUGCCGCAAGAUUAUUCAAUGGUGGCUGAGAGUAAGUGUAGCUUCUCCAAAUCUUGCCUACAUAAAUCAAAAUCUCUGGUUGCCACAAUUUGUCGUCAACAACUUGAAAGCACAACAUAACAUUUCUUUUUAUUUGACAUAGUUGCUUGGCCGCAGAAAGGUGGUACAACUCUGGUGCAACCAACUAUGCCGCCUGUGCUGGAGCCGCCUGUAAUGGAAUAUCAUAUUUUUGAAACAGUAUUAGAAUAAAAACAAAAGCUAUAGUUAGUGCAUUGAGAUACAGAGCUUAAUUUUCAUAGCACAGGAAGCAAGACUUUAGUUUCAACAAGCUAUUUCUGCUCAAUCACUAACCAUAACCAUAACCAUAACCAAGUGACUAAUUAAUUCCUAGAGACUAGUUCGAGCUUUACUAUAAACAAUUAAAUGUUCAAAAGUACCUCUGCCUUGUCUUCCUUCUUCCCCCCAGUGAAAAACUUGAUACCACCAUAAAUAACAGCACCCCACAUAGACAAGCUGGCUAGCACAAACUGCAUGAUGACAGAAAGCAAGAAAACUAAUUUCAACAGACAUGCAGUCGAGUGCCCAAAAAAUAAAAAACUAUUUAAACUGAACUUAUAUUCUUUUGGAGAUAACAAAAUUCAACUAUCAUUGAUGUAAUGUAAAAACACAAUCAGAAGCAGACCGUGUAAACAAAAUUACAGAACCAUAUAGAAAAUCAAAUGCAGCAGAUAUCAUAUAACAAAACCACUGUAAGACAUAAAUCAACUGCACAAGGACAAUGCUUGGCUGAGCCUGAGCAUAUAUGAAGUUCCUAAAAUUAACUAUAGCACAAAAUUUAUUUAUUUUUACAAAGCAAAACUGCAAAAUUGGACCAGAGGUCUAGCUUCAUAUUAAUAUGUUUAAAUAAAGGUAAGCAAGUAUAGAUUGGUUUUGGUCAGUUAUUGUUUAGAGUUAACACCAACAAGGAGUAAUUAAAAAUCACUAGGUGCUAACCUGCCUAGCCUUGCAUACAUGUGGAGUGGUAGGACAGGGAAAACAGGGAGGAGGUGAAACAUUCACUGGCUUUCGAAACACUACAAGUCAACAUAAUUUGGCUAGAGGCAUGCAUGUUGGGUAAUUGCAAUCAACCAGAGGUGCAUAGACAAAGUACUUUACAUGAAACAUGACACUUUCAAGAUGGAUCAACGUCAUCUAGAAAGAAGUUCAAUGAUACAUGCACGUAAGAAAUCUAGUACUGCAAUGAAGAAUUAUAGCUAAAGAAAGUGCAUGCAGUGCCAGUCAUUUUAAUGAAUGUCACUAUGAAAUGCAUUUGUUAAGGUACAUAAUAUUGGAAUCAAAUCUUGUUUUCAAUCAACAGGAAUCAAUACCGCAAGCUAAAAGAAAUAUCGAUCGCGGUGAUGAAAGGCAACAAACAGUUAUAAGACCUGUAAUAUCUGUGAGACCAAAAGGAACAGGACUACCAGAACUUAUGCAGUUUUCACCCAUAGGAUAUUCAACAGCUUUUCGUUUUUUUUCGUGAAUACGCAGGAGAGCUGCGUAUCUUUGUAUUAAGAAGAUGAUGUAAAAACUUAGUACAACGCGGGCCGUCUGGGCGCACGCACACGGUUAACAGUUUGUUAGCUAUUACAUGGGAGAUCAACAACCGUUUGGAAUAAAAACGAAGCUCAGGAUGACACUAUCCCGUUCCCUGAACUUCUGCUGGUGCCGGCCAGCCGAGGGUUCUACAGCUUUUCGUAAGCACGCAAAUGAAUUCAUGAAUAAUGUGACUGACUCUCAUCAAGAGAAUUCAUGAGUUCAUUAGACAACCAACUCUCCUAAAGUGCAAACAAGGAAAACUGUGCUUGCUCAGGACGAUAUAUAAUCCUCCAUGUUGUCAUAACACAAGCAAGAAUACAUAAUUUAUGCUACAUCACGCAAGGGAAAUGCAACUUUUAUGAAAUAAUCUGUGCAAGGAAAACAUACGCUCCUUUCACUAAUUGUACCUCUACUCCAAGCACGAUGAACGUCAAUAACUCAAAUGCCACUAGAUGCAACGGAUUAAAACAAGAUAUUCAGAGGGGAAACUCACGUGCUCUUCCUUCCACUUGCUCGGGCUCAUCGGGUCCUUCCAUAAGGGCACCUUCGCAGGCCCAUGGCCGUCUAGCAAGCACACGAAAUGAACCCAUCAUCAGCAAGGUAAACCAUCAAUCGCGACGACAUGUUGCCCAAAAAAGAAAAAAAACAAGUAAAAAAGCGCCGAUUAAUCGCAGGACGAUCUUCGCAUGGACAUCUAAUAGUCUAACCGCAUCGAAUCCCAUAUCAAAUCGCAGCCAAGGGACCUGGCGAAACGGAUCCAGGAACGGCCCAAUAGGGCCCCCGAUCCAAACGACCGGCGCAUGCGACUCCCGGAUCUGGGAGGGAGGGAGGAAAGGGGAAGGGGAAGGUGUACCUGCGGCACCGGCGAGGCCGCGGCGAGAGACUAGGCGGGCGAGGGGGGAGGAAGUGGAGGACGCCGCCGCCGCAACGAGACGAGAUGCCAUCGCGACGAAUCGACUCGUUUCAGGUUCGGGUGUCUCGCUUCUUCUGCUGUGGUGGGUUCAAGUCAGUGGAGGAGGCUCUUCUAGCGUCUAGGGUCCCGGAUUUUAUUUUGGGCUGGGCUGGGCCGGGAGUCGAAACGGAUCCAGUACGCUAGUCCGAGUAUAUUUCUUCUUCUUUUUUUAAAGACAAAUUUCGGUAUGCUACGAUUUGGUUACUGGUUUAAUGAGCAUGUAUACGAAUUUGAGUGGAAUAUGCAUAUUCUGAAACUCCUACUCCCUUCGUCCCGUAAAGAAUGUCCAUUUAGAUUGAUCAAGUUCGAUCAAGUUUACAAUAAAAAGUAUCAAUAUUUGUAACACUAAAUAGGUAUGCUAUGAAAAUAUAUUUCAUAACGAAUCUAAUAAAACUUGCUUAGACAUCAAAAACAUUGAUAUAUUUUUAUAUAAACUUGGUCAAACAUAAGAUGGACUUAGGAUAGAAUCAAUGGGAUACUUUUUGCGGGACAAAAGAAGUAGGUUUGAAGGCUCCUCUUACAUCCUGGCUCCACCUGGGACCCACGUAUUCUCGAGUGGGAGGUGGGACUAGGAUGGUAAAGAGCCAUCUAAUUUAGCCUAGCAAAUUCAAGGAUCGGCCUCAAUAAGAGCUGGAGUUAUUAAAUACACUAUACAAUUUUGAGCUAAAAAUAGAUGUGCUGGAUCGUGAAGGAGACAGAAGGACCAUGAUUCAUUACCAUCCCUAGGUGGGACCCACACACAUUCAAGUAGGACCCACGUACUCUUCAGUGAGGCCCACGGUAUUUGUUGAGUGGGUCUCAUGAUCUUUCUUAAAAAAAUUAUCAAUAUUAGUUAAGUAUAAAAUAUAUUUAAUUUAUUUCCAUGUAUAAAAUAAUAACUAAACUUUGUAUACUAUAUUCAACUAUGGUAGCCUGUUAACCGCUGUUAGCACGUCAAGUUAUGAACCGCAAGCGUACGGAUUAGUUGUAGCUCUUCCUUCAGAGUAUUCUCCCAAGGUUUAUCAAUCCAUGAAACUUAUAGCACAACAUCUAUUUCAACUAGCAUUGUUAGUAUUAACUUGGUGUUUAUGAGAGAUUCAUAUCCAAUCUACUAAGCAUAUACAGACAGAUAACAGAUAGAGCAAAGAUAACCAAUCUAGAGCAACCUAGACUAUGCAUAUGUUGUAAUUAUGAGCAUGGAUAACAAAGCAACACAGAUAUGAUCUCAGUAAAAAACAUCUUUAAAUCUACACCUCCCGAAACCCUCCACCUUACACAAGAAAGAUCUUGUCAUGAUCACCUCUAUCAGCGCAAGCAGGUUAAGGGCAUGGUCAUAAGAACAUGUCAUACUCAUCGGUAGAUCAGACAUGCAAAUCUGGUCACCACGACAACACCCUAGACAAUCUAUCAUCGAUUCCUAGAUUGAAAACCAAGCAAACCCGAAUAAGCAUAAAACCAUCAAAGAAGAUAUUUAGAUCGCUAAGAACAUGAACACAGAUAUUACUUCACCAUGAAUGAUUGUACAUCACAAGAUCACCACUAGGAUUCUACCUUGAUCUUGAUGACUUCUAGCUCCAGAACUCCAGCGUAGUCUUCCUCGUAGGGUGAUCACGCCAGCAGAGGUUCGCCUACGUUAGCCCCUAGCAACUGCACGGCCCUCGGCUCUCCGGAGAGGUGUCCCUCAAGCUCUUUCUGCUUCUCUGCUGCUUCAUGUUGAGUAUGUCAUCUUCUAUAUAUGGGGCUCGAUGGAUUUUUGGGGUAUUUAUAGUCUAGAGAGUGCAUGGCAAAAAUUGAAAGGCGAGGGGGUGAAGGAAACCCCCAGGCCGAUCGCCCUGGGCCUUCCUUUUGCCCUCUCGUGUCCUGUUUCAUCCCCAAGUCUUCUCUGGUACUUUGAAGUCUUAUUUUCACUUGCACAUGGGCUUGGCACGUUGGUUGCUUCGGGAUAAGAUUGAUCUUCAAUGACUUUCCAAAUCUUCGCUUGAUCUUCUUUGAUUCGUCUUUGAUCCCGAAGUGAUUCUUGCUAUAUCUUCACAAACUUAGUCCUUAAAUCUUCUCGGAGGAUUGCUUGCUAAAGAUGGGCGUCGGAAGGCUCAGAUCAGCCUAGGCUCCUCUACGCCAAUCAACCUAGACCCUUCUUGGGCCCGUUGGCCUCCGUCUUCGUCUGGUUCGAUGCUCGUUCAGUGCUUUAUCCAAAAAUAUACUUUUAGAUCCAAUUUCCUGCAAAAAUAUAACAUCCUCCAAAAUAUGUUGCACAUGUGAAAAUGACCGAUUUAUUAGGUGUGAUCAAUAGUUUAGGUAUUAAAUUUAUGUCAUUAUUGAAGAUGAACAAGGGUAAAAGUGUGUCAAUAGCGAGCAUCAACAUAGCCUUACUACUUUUUGACAAUACUUUCAUAUUAUAAACUCGCAAAAUAUGAUUGAGUUGUUCACUCGUUGCUAAUUUUAUCUUUUAUUUCUAUCAAAACUAGAAAUCGGUUGUCAAUCUUUUAGCUAUAUCUAACGCCCAAAAGUCAGUGAAUUCGUACGCAAAAAGUUAUACAGUGCUCGAAUGAUCAUUAUGAUAAAAAAAUUGUUUCGAUUUAAUAUUGGAUGCGAACAAUUCAAUUUUAGAUUAUAUUUUAUAUUUUUAUUUGGUUCGAUGCAUGAUGCGAUGCUACUUUGAGCAUAAUAAGGUAAUAAGUUCACUUUUUAUCAUUAUUUCAGGUUAAUAUCUUUUGUAUAGGCGCGUAUCGCGCGCCAACCUGACUAGUAUAUGCUAAAAGGAUAUCAUAUCUAGUCUUGUCCAGAAGUAUAUGUAAAGAGUCUUGCACAUUGCUCGGUCCUACGUAUCCACCGGAAAGUUCUCGCGGCCCAAUGCAUAUAGUACGGUGGAAUCACGAUGCACAAUGCACAACUUACAACUUCUGUCUGCUUAUCCAUCAACUCUGAUACUUAACGAAGUACAGUAGCAUGGAUAGUUUAAUUUCGGAGGUAUUCGUGCUGAUUUGUAAUAAUUAGGGAGCUUAUCACUGCUAGCUCCCGUUGUAAUCAAGUAGUGAUAAAUAUCUGUGAUAGUUUUAGUUUUAGCAAUGUUUUUGUAGCAGUGAUGGAAAAAAUCUGCAUAAUCUUUUUUAUAAAUUGCAUAUACGCAAUGAAGUUAAUUUUUUCCCAUUUUAUACUUUAUUCUAACCAUGCAUUUUGCAUUCCAAUGUAUGCUAGAAUCACAUGACAUAUCUAGUCUGGUCCGCAAGCUAGUGUCUCUAUAUAGUCUUGCACAUUAUUGCUCGGUCGGUCUUGCCAACUGGAAAACUCCUGCGGCCUAAGGAAGAAGCUAGCUUAUACUACGAUGAAAUCACGAUGCAUUACUUACAACUUCUACUCAUCCUUCUACCAUCAUCCUUAACCAGACGUUCCCAAUGCAUCUCAUCCCGAUUGGAACACGAGGCCUUACUUACUAUAUAUUAAAUUUAGCAAGAAACAUAUUAUAAGUACACCAGCAAUGAAAGACCUUUUAUCUUGUGAGGAACCAUUAAACACCUUUUUUACAUUUUUUAUACGGGCAUCGAUGAAGCUAACACUCAAUGUCAUUGCUUUUUUAGUGUCAAAUACUAUUGGAACUAGUUAGCUUAUAACAAUUUGUUAAGAACCACAUUGAUGUUCAUUAUAACAAGUCGAUGUAGUAGGAUUAAAUCCAACCCAUUACGAGCACAAUAUAAAUUUUGUUAUAGGGACUUUCUAGCCAUAUACGGACAUUUACCUUUCUUUUGGGAUACACGUGCUAUCAAAAUCCUAAUUUUUAAUAUUGGCUAUGCACGACUCAAAUUCUGAAGAUCCAGAUUCCAUGAAACCUUAAUGCACUUAGGGGUGUCAGUUGCUACGAACAAUCGAUUUCCAGGCUUUGCAAGGCUUAAAAACGACUCAAAUUCUAAAGAUCCAGAUUCCAUGAAACCUUAAUGUGCUUAGGGGUGUCAGUUGCUAGGAACAAUCGAUUUUCAGGCUUUACAAGGCUUAAAAAUCUAGUUUUUUCAUUCAUUUAGCUUGCUUUGUCAUGGUGGAGCUGAACAAUCAAUGUAUCUCCUAUCCCCAAUAGAAACAGCUCCCUAUUUCCUAGUGAAUUCUAAUCAAUCGCCAUACUAUGUUAGCAAUGAAAACAAGUCUAUGCAGUCCAUCUAUAGUUAUUACAAAACUUGAUAAGGAUAAGGACUCAAUCUUGAUGCUAACCUACAAGCACUUGGCAUGCGCUAAGUAAGAAAUAUUAUCGAUAAAUUAAAAACAUUAUCAACAAAAACUAAUAAAAAUAAAUUUACGUAAAGAAAAUUAGAGUCCCAUGAAUCUAAACCAUAAUGCAUCGGUCUUAAUUCUAGAGUAUACCUGAAAGACAUUUCGGUCAAGGUUAAUCGAUCAAAACCUGAGAGUGCAAGGAUCAUCCUCUUAGUGGCAACUUCAUGCAUAGUUUCAUAUAAAUACUUGUUUCAUUAUAUAUCGCUAGGUUAGCAAGGCUAAACAAAUAUUGAAUUGCAAUGAAAAAUAUGAAUUAUACAUGGAUAAGUUCCCAAACCUCCAAUUCCUAAUAAAACAACAAUAGUUUCUGCCUAAUCCUUUGUUUGUUGUUCUAGCUCAGUUGUAUGAUGCUAUAUUUCCUUUGAUCUUUCAUGGUUUUGAAUCAUGCACCGGAAAAACUAUUUAUAGCCUCAAGUAACAUUAUCACCGUUCACCAGCUUGCGUUUAUGGGUGUCAAUGCACAUGGCCUACAGUAUGUGAUGGAAUGGGAUACCAAUUUAUUUAGGUGUUCGGUUGGAAGUUAUUAGAUGGGGAACAAAACCAUUCCACGCUCCAUCUGUCCGAAUCAACCCAUCCCUCAUGGGAGGAGUAGCUUCGCGCACACCUAGCUUUUAGUGGUGGGUGAGCAGAGAAGGCAGAGAUCAAAGUGUUGAUGACGAGGGUGGGUAGCACCAGCGAGUCUCACGGGUGAGGGUGAGGUGAGACGGGGCAGCGAGCCACAUGGGAAAGGAUAGGUGAAUGAAGUGACUAUGGGCGACGAUAGCUAGGGCCAACGAACGCGAACCUCUCAGCCAUAGGCAAGAUCAGGCCAAGCGUCAGCGAGCGCGGCCACCACGUAGAGCGGAGGACAAUUUUGAGUAGGGCAGAGGAGGGAGAGAAGGGGAUGUCAGGUGCCGCAUCCCAAUCCCUAAUUGCUUGUUUAGUAAAGUUCAUCUUGCUUUCUGAUUCUCUCCGAGAAGUGAUUAUCUAGGAGAGUGAUUUUGUUUCUAAAAGUGAUUCUAUAUUCCAUUCUCUACAAUAUAAUUUAAGGAGGAAGAAUCUAAUUCAGGGAGUGAAUUAGGAGGAACUACUUUUUUUCCAGCUCUAGCGUAGUUUAUAUCUAAGAAUCAUUUUCAAAAUCAAUUUAGAAUCACUCUAUGCAAAAUAUUAUUUGGUAGCUAUGCCAAAUAGGGCUUUAUCAUGGAUGGUUCUAUCUCCUCGACCAAAUGCAAAACGAGACAACCAUAUCCCUCAAAAUGGAACGAGAUCUCCCACCGUGUACUAUAACCAAAACAUAUUUUCAACUCGCUACACAUUUAUUAAUUUAUAUAUACUUCCUCCAUCCCAAAUUGUAAGAGGUUUUGGCUUUUUGAGAUAUAUUGCUUUUUCUACGCACAUAGAUGUCCAUUAUGUCCAAAUACAUAAUAAAAUCUAUGUAUCUAGAAAUGCCAAAAUGAUCUACAAUUUAAAACGGAGGAAGUACAUUGCUUUGCUAUUUUGUGCCUUUGAAUAGUGCAUGGACCAAAACCAAAUGGCGCAACACGCUAUACAGAAGCAUUGACACCACGUGUCGACAAUCAGGAUGUCAUUCAACCCUAGUGCAGUUAUGCCAAUAAAUUCAAAGGAUCAAGAAUCAGUGUCCUAAUAAAGCAAAGGAGGACAAGGAAUGUGAUGUGGUUGUGUGUGUCGAAGUUAAGACUUCCAACUAACAAGCCAUGGAUUCAAUAAAAAAAAGUCAUAAUGAAAAAAAUCCAUAUAAUUAAGCGACCCAAUCCUUACAGGGACUAAAGUAUCCAUGAUACGUAUCCUAAUUCAAGGUGAAAAGUAUCAAGUUUGGUAUUGCCAAAAAAAUUUUAUAUGAUCCACGCCAUGAUCUCGUGCUAAGUACUAGUAGUAGAGAUACUGAGUCACUGGCCUACCAUCUUCAGUUCACUCAAAAGAAAACUAUUGAGACCCUUUGUAUUGUUUUUUGAGGGACGUUCGUCUUACUAAUUUUCAAAUGACAUUAAGAGUGCUCAUUGCUUAUUAGCUAUGUCACGUUCUAUCAGUGAACAGCACUACGUCUAUAUAUCUUAAUUGGUCUCAGUUUUGAGAGGAGAGCGGUGCGACGUACAGGGGUGGUACUCAAGUAUCUUACGUACACCACGACAACUCGAGGUUAAUAAACACAGUGCUGUAUAUAUAUUUCUAAUCUCCAAGGACGAAACAAGCAGCACACAAAACCCAUCCAGCAAACCAAUUUGGAGGAGGCAACAGACAGACCAACCGCAAGGAGAUGAUGAAUACUCCCUCCGUUGCUAAUUGUAGAUAUUAUUAUGCACCUAGACAUACAUUAUAUCUAAAUGCAUAAUAAUGUCUAUAAAUUUAAAAAAAACUAAAAUGAUCUACAAUUUGGAACGGAUGGAGUACGUACCAUUGAUUGUUCGAUUGUUUAUCACCCAAACUUAUAAAAAGAAGAAUGUAAUGUGCAUAUGCAUUUUCGCGUGACGAGUCUACAGACCAACGGAUGCACGGCUUGACGAGUCUACGCAUUUUUUUUUUGAUGAAAAGAGUCUACGCAUUUUCGCGUGAAUGAUACAAUGUGCAUAUGCAGAUAUGCUACACAUUUGAUGCUGCACAUUCAAUUUUCUCCUGCUACUCCGUCUUGACAACCGGGUGCAGCAAGGACGGCGGGAACAGCCUCUUGGCCCCGGUGGCCUCCAGGAUCCUCUGCCCGAGCGGCCGGCUCCCCCUGGUCGCCUCCUGCUUGUACGGGGCGCGGGACAUCCCUUUGCCCUUGGUUAUCUCGGACUCCACGUACCCUGCCGUGAGUAUGGUGAUGCCGAUCGACCUCCGAGCCCAGCUCGGCUCUCAGCGUCUCGUAGAACCUGAGCCCCGCUGCUUUGCUGGCCUGCCCAUCGUGUCGUGUCGUGUCAUGCGUAGAGAUGAAUUAACAGUAACCCAAAAUGAACGACGAACAUGUACACAUGGCAGAUGAUCAAUGAUCCAUCUCAGUUUCUUUGCUUACGUUGUAGAAGGCCAUCCUCGACGUGGCCACCGUCCCUGCCGCUGAGCAAGACACGACGAGUUUCCCGCUGCUGGCCUUCAGGUGAGGCAGAGCGUAGUAGGUUGGGUAGACAGAGCCCCAGAAAUUCACAUCCUGGAACGCGUAACGAAUGCUCAAAACAUGGCCUCUUACUAUAAUACUCCCUCUGCUUCUUUCACCCGUCACAUUUAAUUUGUCCUAAGUCAAACCUAUUUAAUUUUAAGUAGAUUUAUAUGUAAUACCAAAUUUGUUUAAUUGAAACCACCAUGGAAUAUCUUUUGAUAGUGCAUAUGUUUGGUACUCGUUCCGUCCCAAAUUGUAGGUCGUUUUGCCAUUUUGAGGUUCAUAAUUUUUACUAUUUAUCUAAAUAUACACUAUAUCUACAUACAUAGCGAAAUUAUAAAUUUAAAAAUAGCAAAACGAUAGGACGGAGGAAGUAGUAUAUUUGUUAUUUUUUUGACUUAAGACAAACUAAACGUGGCUUAGGACAGAUAUAUCUCAACUGGUAUUGCAUAAUUGCAAUAAUGCAAAUUAGCAGUAGUUGCAUCUACACAUGCAAAGUUAUGUUAAGUACCAUCAGUUUGGUGAAGGCAGUAAUGUUGGUGACUUGAUCGAAGAAGCAGCUGGACCAGAUGCCGGCAUUGGCAACCAGAUGGUCCACUGAAGGAAAUAGUGAUCAGAGACAUGGCUGUGUUAGUGUGUGUCCAAGAAGCUACAGAUUGCAUUCAGGGGGCUUAGCAUGAGCGAACGUUUGCCGAAGUGAGCGACGGUCUCCUCGACGGCGCGCCUCGACUGGUCGGGGUCGGUGACGUCGGCCGGGAAGACGAAGACGUCCGGCGCGCCGCGCUCCAGGGCGGCGGCGGCGACGCUCUUGAGCGCCUGCUUCCUCCGGGCCACCAGCGCAAGGCACGCCCCUUCCUUGGCGUACUGGUAGGCAAGCUCCUGUUCAUGCAUGUAUUUUACGAGGAAAUUUCAGCAAGCAUCACUACGAGAUGUUUGCACCACCAGGGUGAGAUGUUACUGACCUCGCCGAUGCCGGAGGAGGCGCCAGCGAUGAGCACGACCUUCCCUCACAAACGCCCGCAUGGACAACAGCCUCACCGGAAGGAAGAGCAGGAUGUAGAGCAGGAUCACCAGCGCGGCGGUGGCGUGCAUCACCACUCUGUGCGAUCGAGCGCGCACGGCCGGGGUGAUGGCAUAUAUGGUGUUGGUGCGGAGGCACGCGGCUGAUGCGCCUCCGAUCCAGUCACAUUGGGGAGCAGAUGUUUCAUGUUUGUCGUUUCCCUAUUUAUUUUCUUUUACUAAUGGAUGGAGAUAGCCGUGCCACAAGUACAGAUUUAAAAAAUAUAAUAAAUAUAAACUCGAUCGAAACCUUUAUUGUUUAUGAUAUAAAUACACACAUGAUAAAUAAAUACAACUACUGUUGUUUAUAUCUUUUAUCAAAGAUGUCUCACACAAACUAAUGUUUAAAUUGUCAAUCGUUAUACAGGGAUAUAACGGGGAAUGUUAGGUUAAACUAUUAUAAUAGACGGAGGAAUGUUAAGAAUAAAAAAAUCCAAUACUCUUACUAAUGAAUUGAAAAAUAACUAACCGGAUGCCACACAAAACAUAAUUCCCUUGCUCCGUAUGGAUGAAUUGGAGUAAACUGUGAUCUAACAAACCAACAAAACCUACAUCAACCUCAGAUCCAUAAAGCUAUACCAUAGCAAUCUCAAAAGACACAAAAGCAGUACGUAGCAACAAAUGAACACAAUCGUCUAUACUCUUUCAAAAAGUGAGUUCUGGGACAAAUUUGGCUUAGGGGAGGGGUGGUCGAAAAGCACCUUAUAUAUGCGAGAUAGAGACCGGAAAGGAAACAAUUAAUUUGAUUGAUAGGGCCAUAUGGUUUAUAAUUGGAAGGCCUCGACGUGAUUGGUGAUAUGAUUAUUCCGAAUUAACCGUUAUCUAUCAUCAAUCACCAGUCAAUAAAUCAAUUUUAUUGGUGGGACAAUGUGCUCGUACCUGGAAGGAUUUUGACAUCUAUAUCUAUAUAUGCUAUAAAGAUUCAAAAUAAUUGAAAUCAUCUCCCACCUAAAGUACUCCUCAUAAAGGGUCCACUUAACAUGAAAAAAAAGGUAGGAUAAAGUGUGACAGGAGGAGGGGGAGACGGAAAAGUCAAUAGAAGGAAAAUAAUUCUGCCAAAUCUCACUGUUUUGUUUUUCACCGCACGCUCGGCCUUACCCGCUCGCCGUACCCGCUCGACAUCGCCGCUCGUCCCUCCCUUCCAUCACGCUCUUGUUUCCUUCUUUGAUUCAUUCAAUCUCGUACGAUUUCCUUCUUUGAUCGAUACCCCUCUCUCUCGCCGAGCCCGCCGCCCGCCUGAAGCUCCCUCUCGCCGAGCCUGCCGUCCGCUGGUUUGCUUCGGGGAGUCCUCGGCGGUUUAGCCUCGGGCCACGCGGUAAGGCUGCCGUUCGCCAUCUUACGCGCGCCUUAACCAGUUCGUGUCACUGCCCCCAUCUCCUCGAGCCCGCUCACCUUUUUCUCCCUAGCAGAGCAUACGGCGCUGCCGCCGGCGCCGGCCGUGUCCUCCCUAAUCUUCCAGGUAAAUAGGUUGAUCUGCUUCCUCCCUCUUUUCCCCCGAGCAGAGCAUAAGGCCGAUCCCGCAUGCGGUGGUGCGCAGGUCUUCGAGAACGCGCCUGAUUCCUUCUCCGCGCUCGUCACGGCUGGCUCCACCACCCGCAUUCCUGGCUUGCGGCACAGUCGCGUCCACGACGCCGCUGGCCUCGCGCACAUGCCCUACCCCAUCGCAGCCAUGCCAACGCACCCGACCCGCUGCUUCCGCUGGAGUGCAAAUUCUUCGACCACCGGAACACCGACGUGGAGCCGUAGUAAGUGGAGGACGUUCUACCACAAGCAGGCUUGCCCAGCUUCCUUUCGUCAGGUGGGAGGCCACGAUCGCAAGGUUUGCAAAAUCCUCUUUUAUUUCUCUCUUCGAUUUGGCUGCUUUCCAUCUUUAGCGAAAACCAUCCACUUGGUUAGUUUGUUCUGGCACAUUCAUUGCCUUUUUUAUGGUCUACGGAUUCAUGGCACCACGAUUAUUUCCCUCACCUAGACACAAUUUUAAUUUUAUCAACGCUUAUUUGAUAAAAUGCUCAUGUGAAACUGUGAUGCAGAGUGAGACUGAGAAUGGUCCCAGGUGCAUUCCCAUCGCUAGAUGCAGGGUUGGCUAGGUUAUCAAUUUUUUAGAAGGUCUUGCUAUGGAGGUGUGCGAUGUGCCGGUGUGGAAAAAUGUGAUGCUCAGACCUGCAUGUGGAUUGAGCUGUUGUGGUAAAAUUACUUGAUACCCUUUUGCUUGUACUUAUACAGUUUUCAUUUAUUUUGGAAAACGAUCGGGACAUUGGAACAGAUUUAAGAUUCUUGUUUGCUCAGCAGAUGACUCAAAUGCUCUUAAUGGGAUGAUGAUGACAUUUGAAGAGUUAAGUUCAGGAGGUUCAUCGAUAUGGAAAAAUGUAUAUGUGGCAAAAGGGUUAUGUAGAAAAAAAAGGUAUAUGUAAAGGAUCACAAUACACUCCCGUGAAAAGCCUGCCAGAUUUUAAACUCAUUGUGUGACUCGGUGAGUCGGUGUAGAUUUUUUUCCAUUUAGUCCAUUUCCUAAUUACUGUUGGCUAAUAAUUGUUGAUAUGAUGCCAGAAUGCUUAGUGCUUAAUGAAAACGCACUUUAAGUGGUAAAAAGUGGAAACCAUUGCAUAUCUUUCCUUAACCUGCAGGACUAAGUUAAUUAUAUCUACCGGUCUCAAUAUUUUUGCUUGGUUUUCUUGAGCAAUGGCAUUUUCCUCUUUAUGAAAGUUUAGCCAGGUUACAUAACUUUUGCUGGUUGAUUACUGUUACUUUUGGUCUGUCAUGAGUGGAAUUUUAGUGGAAAGCAAUUGCCGGUUUGUGCUUCAGUUAAAUGAUGCAUCUAUAGGAUUCCAUGUUGUAUAGCAAGCACAUGUUUUCACAUGGUGCAAUUUCCCAUAGCGGGCACAUGUUUUCACUUAGUGCAAUUUUCCUUUACACUGCUGGCUUGCAUGAUCCCCGUCCAACAAUUUGAUCUCUAUAAUAAGUAUAAACGAUUGUAUCUUUAUUACUCCCUCCAUUCUCUUUUGAUAGUCCUAUUUCCUCUUCGCACAAUAAGAAACCAAUACUACUUAUCAUCCAUUUAAUCAUGCCAUUAAUUAUUCCUCGUAAACAAGCGAUUCAUUAAAGCUUCGACUCCUUGAUGCUUAUGUAACCAAUCUCACGUGGAAGAAUGAAGAGUCAUGCAUGAAGCUCGAGACAGCCAUUAAGCGGAUGGAUAGUGGACUAGAAUAAGACUUUUUUAAAUUUUAAAAUAUGCCUAUUAAAAGAGAACGGAGGGAGUACUACCCUAGAAUAUCCAAUUAAAUAAAUUUUUGUUUCGUACUGAACUCACUAUGACCUGUUACUGGUGGUAGCCUCCGAUAGGUGCGUUUAUUUUGGUUUUUAUUUAAUUUCCUUUGUUUCUCUACGUCUAUUUAUUAUUUAUUACACAUAGGGGCCUGCAAAAUUGAUUACUCUGGUGGGUAAACUUCCUAUCGACAAAGAGGUGUAUUCAGCCUAUAAACAAAGGUGUGCUUUUACUAUCAAUUUGCUGCAUAUUUUUAUCUGAGUUUAUAAAUACUUGUGCACCUUGAAGCUGUAAAUCUUUAAUAUAAUGAGAACUAAGCAGAAUCAGCAAAGAGCUUCAACUUUGGUGUUCACAUAAAUUCGAUGUAAAGUAUGUUUACCAAUGGACAGGAGCUAUAGAGGGAGAAGCUGCAGCCAUUUCCUCGAGGGAGCCGAAUAUUUUGCGACUGCGCUGAUGGGUGCCAUUGCCCUGUCUAGGUAAACUUCACCAUCUGCUCCAAAGACAUCCAUUGUUCAGAUACACCAGUUUUACCAUUGUUCCUUAUGUUACUAGGAUCUUAUUCCAUGUGUAAACCAUGCUAUGAAUUACAUCUUGCUUGUAUUUAUUUCCUGAAAAUAUAAAGAUUUUGAACAGCUUUAAUCACGUAGGUUUUUCAGGAUACCCUAUAUAGAUGUAGUCGUCACUACAAUAUAGUUAGAUUACUUAUUAGUUUACGUUCUAUGGUGCUCGAUUGCUCAUCAGUAUCAGUAUUUUGUUUGCGCGUAAGACAAGAUAAUGUUUGUACCUCUCAGUUUCCAUGUGCUGUUUGCACUGCUCGCAUGGGAGUGAAGGCAGAUGGCAUCGACGUGGUCGUCCUGUUCAUGCUUUGGAGCUCUUUACGCUGAUUAGGACCUGGAGCUCCUAAAUUUUGAUGUCAUAUUGCUGCUUUAUAUGUCUGCCGGCUUUGCUGUUGGGUCUAAAUUGCGUGGUGCUUCAGUGCUUCGUUGAUUGCCGCCAUGCAUGAUAAGUUGGUUGAUGAUGUAAUACUUGUGGAGCUGGAACCAGGAGCAGCCACUCAUACCUCCGAUACAUGCAUAUAAACAACGAGGGUUCAGUGUUUGCUGCUUAAUGGUGUUCCAUUUUUGUAUCGUUUUGGUUCUCCUAUUUUCCAUUUUGCUUGUCCAAUUUUGCAACAAUGGUGUUCCAUUUUGCAUCGUGUACUAGAUUUUUUUAAUAUGUUGUACGUGCAGUUUAUCAUAAAUAUAAAAUUAUUAAGUAAAAUUAUUUAGAAAUAUACAUAUAUAUUUGUUUACACGUGCAUGCCGCACGUACACUUUACUAGUAACAGGAAGGAAUCAACGUGAUUGGCGAUCUGAUUGUUUUGGAUUAACCGUGAUUGAUCAUGAAUCAAUAUAUCAAUUAGUCAAUCAAUUUAAUUAAUCAAUUUGAUUGGUGGGGAUCGUGGCCUUGUAAUUAAAAAGGUUUCGACAUAAUUGGAAGGGAUCCAAUUGGCUAACUGGAUUGAUUUUCCCUUGUUGGGACUGGAGAGACCUGGUCAGUGAUUUGAUUAUUCCGGAUUGAUCAUUUAGUUUGAAUUGGAAGGUGUCGGUGUUUAGACCCGGCAACCUACCGAGGGGGUGCUCGAGGUAGUGUUUAGUGCAUGGGCUCGUCGAGAUUAUGAACUCGAAAGUGAACUCGAACACACGAUUUAGACAGGUUCGGGCCGCUAGAUUGCGUAAUACUAUACGUCAUGUGUGUUGGUUGGAUUGAAUUGCUUUAGAGGGGGUCCUUGCCUCGCCUUAUAUUGCCGGGGUAGGGUUACAGGUCAGUUGUUUACAAGAAUACUAGUCGGAUUCGACUAGACGAGUCCUACUCUAAUUGCUACGAGUAGUUUUCUAAUUCUCGACUAGUUCCUAUCCUGCCACGUAGACUACGGUGUCCUGCACUGUAGCCUCCAUGUCUGACACGUCUCGGUGUCUAGCCCUGUAUCUAGGAUUGUCCAAACCUUCUGGUGGGCCUAUAAAUGUAUGUAUGACAAGCCUUGAGUACUUUUUAGUCAAAUGCAGCAGUUCCGAGUACUUUUGUAGGCUUCUCCGACUAGUUUUGGUGCUCUUCGAGUAGUCCAUUGGGUUGAGUCUUCAGACGUACUUGAGCACUGCCAUGCGGCUAGAAUGUGCUCAAGCCUCAUUUAACUUGACCUUGAAUCUUCAAUCUUGAAUUUUAUAUGGAAGUCGCACUCCAUAUGGUGUAGCCCUCGAGCCUUAGGUUGAAUCGAAGAAUCAGGCUGAGGGUCAAUCUGUAAUUUGCAUCUCUUUUUUACUAAAACCCAAAGAAAAAACUUUUUAGCCGAUGGUAAGUGGCACACAGCCCCCGAGGCGUUACACGACUAAGGGUCAACCUCUUGUCAACGUGAUCGUUCAUCAACAGUAACCUUUUCUCUUUCGAAAAUAAUGAAAACUGUCAAACAGGUGCGAAAUCUUCGGGACAUUAAACUGGAAUAUUCCCUUUAAUCCCACUACUGUUACUGCGCUGAGGUUAUAAAUAACGGAGGAAAACAUCCCUUCCGUUUUACCUAUGCCAUCCGCUCUUUCAACUUCCGCACUGUAACCCUAGCGCCACCGCUACCCGAUCCUCGAGCUCUAGUGCUGCCAUCCCCCACCACUUAGCCCCCGGGUUUAUGCGGAAGAAGACCCUCAUGGCAACAAGGAUGGGGAAGAAGGCAACUGCAUCCAAGGUGGCGGAAGGCGGGGAGAAGAAGGCAGACAAGAAGAAGGAGAUCCAACCACUGGCUCCCAAGUAUGGAAAGACUGACCAGAUUGCGCCGCCAUUCCUUGCAUGUGCCUGGAAGCGCUUAUCGCUGAAGGAAGAGGACAUGAAGGCACUGGUGGCAGCCAACCUCCUCCAGGAGAAAGAUGUCAUCAACUGGAGGUGUGCAUUCAACAACCCGUGGCCGCUGGAGACAUCUAGAAACACAACAAAUCUCUAAAGCAUCAACUGAAAGGUAUUUGGUCUUCUCCCUUUGGCCUUUGAGUACUGAUUCUGCUUAGUGAUACUAAAUUUCUGUUGUGUUAUUCCUGUAGUGCUCGAGAUAGCAAAGGAAGAUCUCCAAGUCCGAGUUGUUGACUGGCAAAACUCCUACUACCGGGUGACGGACCAGCAUGACAAGUUGUCUAUACAAGAACUUGGAGCAUCACCUGGAGAAGGAGAAGAAGAUGCGCGUAGACAGGGAGGUCGACUUGGUCAACACCAUGAAGACCCUCCAAGAGCGCGAGGCUGAGUUGGAGGCUACAAAGCUUGCUCUAAAGGAGCUAACUGAGCAGCUCAGCCCAUUGUAGACAUGGUGGUGCCCCCAGCCGAAGGCAUGGAGUCCGGCCCUCUGUCUGAGAUACUCAAGGAGGUGCAAGCCAAGUUCACCGGUUACGUCCAGAAGAUAGCAGAGUCGGUCUCGAAGCAACUGCUGGCCUUUGUGAAGUCCUUUUACCUGCAGGCAGACCUAGCUGCUAUUGCGGAAGGGAUCGCAGAGGACUGCUCUGAUGAGCAGUUCUUGCAGUACCUGCAAGAGGUGGAUCCUAUCGCAAAGGAAGUAGCUAGUCAUCUGGUCCUUGAGUAGUCUUUGUAAAAAGUGAUCGUUAGUUCUUUGUAAUAUAAAUAUGAUAUGAAUGAAAUGUAAAUUAUUCGAAGUCGUGUUGCAAUUUUUAUUAUUGUCGACUUGUUUUUAGUGCAUCUUACAAACUACCCUGAUAACUGCUUGUGCGGUAGUCGUAAGUAUCUGCACACAAGGCUACUCUGAUAAGUCUCUUCAGAUACACGGUGUAGAGUACAUUUAGGAUGUGACUCCUUUCUGCGGAGUACGAGCACUCAAGGCAUCUGGGUAGUCAUACUUCUGAGGCGAGUAGACUCUUCAGGACUUCUUCAAUUGGAGCCUAUCUUUGCAACCUCUAUGGGUUGUUCAAAUGUUGAGCUCUCAAAAGCUUGGAACUACAGACUUCUCUAGAUGGUGUCUCGGAUAGUCUAAAUAAAUCCCAGAGUGUUGACGACUCCUUUCCUGAAAGCUGUCGGGAGACAGACUUGUCCAGUGAGUUGAAUAACUCAUGAAUCUUCUUUGCAGACUUGUUACUACAAGCUGCAUAUAGGCAAUUUUGCCGCAGAAGCUGAAUAGCUUUGUACAGGCUUGUUAUUACAAGCUGCGAUUUGGAUGAUAUUGCCCAGGGAGCUAAAUAGCUCUGCGAACUUGCCUUCGCAAACCGUAAUCAGGUAGAAAUAAGUAGUCGUUUUACGACGAAAAAAUAAAUCUGCAUUAUGGAAUUGUAAUUGUACAACUAAGGCCCAUGGCCAAUUUACAUAAAUAGGUAAACUCAAGGAUAAAAUCGACAAAGUGGCUCGAUGUUUCACGAGUUGUCGAUGUCUUACCAGAGAGGUGUUGGAGCCUAUACGACCUACGUCCAGUGACCUUGGAGACGAUGAACGGUCCCUCUCAUGGUGAGUUUAGCUUGUGCAGUCCCUUGGUGUCUUGGAUACGCUUGAGAACCAUAUUGUUUGUAUUGAACGAAUGUUCUUUGACGUUGCAAUCAUGAUAGCGGUGGAUUCCUUCAAGGUACCUUACAGACUAGAUGAGUGCUGCACAGCGAGCUUCUACGAGGCUGUCUAAGUCUAGAUGUCUUGUUUCUUCUACUGCGCCCUCCUCGUACUACUCGACCACUGGAGAUUUCCACAUGACGUCGGCAGGGAGGGCGGCUUCUGAUCCGUAGACUAGAAAGUAGAGCGAUUGCCUUGUAGGCUUGCACGGCUGGGUGCAAAGCCCUCAGAGGACAUUGGGUAGUUCCUUGAGCCACUUGCCCUAUUUAGCGUUUCCAAUAUUAUGUAGUCUUUUUUUGAGAGCCUCCAGUAACAUCCCGUUGGCUCGUGGAUGAGCGAAAGAGACAUACCGGACAUCGAUCCUGCUGUUCUCGCAAUAUUCUCAGAACUUGUGGUUGUUAAAAUUGGAGCCCAGAUCUAUUAUAAUGCGAUUUGGGAAGCCAUAGCGGUGGACAAUUUCAUCGAGGAAGUCGAGUACUCUAUCUUCCUUGGGGCAGGUUACUAGCUAUACCUCAAUCCACUUGGUAAACUUGUUGAUCGCCACCAGUACUCGGUUGAAUCCUCGAGGUGCCAUAGGCAGUGGGCUAAUCAUGUCUAGUCCCCAACAAGCGAAGGGCCAAGAGGGUGGUAUGGUGAUCAGCUUGUAGGCACGAAUGUAUUGUUGCUUGGUGAAGAAUUGACAUCAUUGGCAUCAACGGACUAGUUCCUCGACAUCAGCGAGAGCUGUAGGCCAAUAGAAUCCUGCUUUGAAAGCUUUGCCCAUGAUCGUUCGUGAGGAUGCGUGAUUGCCGUAGAUGCCUUUAUGAAUUUCCUCCAGUAUGUCCUUGCCAUCUUGCCGUGAGACAUACUUAAUGAGUACUCCUGAUGAUGCGCCUCUUCUGUAGAGCUUGUCUCGGACUAGAACAUAGUUCUUGCCACCUCGUGAGACUUGCUCUGCUUCUUUUUUGGUUGGAGAUAAUUUGUGCUCCUUGAUGUAGUCGAUGAAGAGGGUUCUCCAGUCUACAUUGAUCAUCAUAACCUUCCGGUCUGGUGCGUCAUGACCUCAAUCGGUGGUUGUUGAUGGCGCUAGCUCCGUUAUGGAUGGCUUGUGUAGCUCAUGGACGAAGAACCUCGCUGGAAUUUGAGCACGAGUAGAUCCGAGCUUUGAUAGGACAUCUGUGGCUACGUUGUUGUCGCGAGCCACGUGGUGGAACUCCAGACCGGAGAACUUGAUCUCUAACUUCUAUACUUUCAGGCAGUAUACAUCCAUGUUGUCUUCAUGGCAAUCCCACUUGUCGUUGACUUGAUUGAUUACCACCAGUGAGUCGCCGUAGACCAACAAUUGCUUGAUUCCUAGCAAAACUGCCAGGCAGAGCCCGUGCAGAAGCGCCUUGUAUUCAGCUUCAUUGUUGGAUACCUCCUAGAAGAUUUGCAAGACAUAUUUGAGCUGUUCGCCUUUGAGAGAUAUUAAGAGUACUUCUAUGCUAGCACCCUCGAGCUUGAGUGAUCCGUCAAAGUACAUAACCCAAUGCUCUGGGUGCUCUGCCGGCGUUGGUAGUUGAUUUUCCAGCCAUUCUGCCAUAAAAUCAACUAGUUCCUAGGAUUUGAUGGCAGUCCUCGACUUGAACUCCAUGGACAAUGCUCUGAGUUUUACCGCCCACUUGGAUAUUCUUCCUAUUGCAUCUCGAUUAUGGAGGAUUUCUCCCAAGGGGAAGUCUAUGAUGAUGAAGAUGUUGUGUUCAUGGAAGUAGUGUCGUAGCUUCCGCGAGGUGAGUAGUUUUGCUUAUAGCAGUUUUUGGACUAGCGGGUACUUGGCUUUGGAAUCUGACAACACCUUGCUGAUGAAGUAGAAGGGCCUCUGUACCUUGUAUACAUGGCCUGGUUCUAGUCUUUCAAUCACGAUCAUCGUGCUGACAACGUUGGUAGUCGUGGCGAUGUAGAGCAACAAGUCUUCGUUGGGAUUUGGCGUCGUAAGGACCGGUGGCUUUGAUAGGAAGUUUUUCAACAGUUACAGGGCUUGAUCUGCCUCCUUGGUCCACUAGAAUUUGUCUUGCCGCUUGAGUAGUUUGAAGAAGGGCAGUCCCCGUUCUCCAAGCCUUGAGAUGAAUCUGUUAAGGGCAGCUAUGCAUCCAGUCAGCUUCUGGAUGUCCUUGAUGCUUGAUGGGGCGUGCAUUUCAGUGAUGGCGGAGAUCUUCUCGGGGUUGGCUUCAAUCCCUCGGUGACUAAUGAUGAACCCAAGUGGUUUUUCGGAGGGUACGCUGAAAACGCACUUUAUUGGGUUUAGCUUCCACCAGAAUUCUCGCAAGCUUGCGAAGCUUUCUUCCAAAUCCGCAAUCAAAUCAUCGGGAUUUUUGGUACGCUUCUGCAUUAUGGUGUAGCUAUUUCUUGAAGCACUCUUGGAUUGCCCGUUGAUAGUAGCAUCUGCAUUCUUGAACCCGAAGGACAUUGUUGUGUAACAAAAAGCUCCGUAUGGGUGAAGAACGCAGUCUUGAUUUGGUCUUCUUCCUUGACAGCUAUCUGGUGAUACCUCCAGUAGCAAUCAAGGAAAUAGAGUAAGGCGCAUCCAACAGUCGAGUCGAUGACUUGAUCAAUCCUUGGGAUCCCGAAGGGUUCCUUUGGAUAGUGCUUGUUGAGGUUCGUGUAGUCGACACACAUCCUCCACUCGUUAUUAUUUUUUUUCGCACUAGGACGGGAUUGGCAAGCUACUCUGGAUGAUAGACUUUUUUUAUGAAGCCUACUGCGAAUAGUUUGGCCAGCUCUUUUUUGAUAGCUUCCCUUCUAUCUUGGGUGAAUCGUCGUAGUCGUUGUCUUUUUGGUGUAGCUUUUGGAUCCACAUUCAGUGAGUGCUCGAUCAACUCUCUGGGCACCCAGGGCAUAUCUGAUGGCUUCCACACGAAGAUGUCUCGUUGGCCCGGAGGAAGCUGACGAGCACGUUUUCCUAUUUAGGAUCCAGCCUAAGCCAAUCACGGAUGUCCUGGAGCUAUCACUAGUCUCAAGGUCAAUGGCCUUGAUGUCUACUUCACUUGCCGGCUUGACCUUGGUUGCCCCCAACUUCUUUUCUAGGAUCUCGAGUUCUGCCGGGGAUAGUUUCUUGGAAGCGGCGAAGACUUGCAUCAUUGAAUUUAGCACUUGAGUAGUCGCUGCUAGCUCCACGGCUUUCGUGUCAAGUCGUAUGAUCUCUUCAAGUCUUCGCGCAGGGAGAGUACUCCCUUGGGUUCUGGCAUCUUGAAUACUAGGUACACGUAAUGCGGGAUGGCCAUGAAUUUGGCCAAUGCAGGUCUUCCGAGAAUAGCGAUGUUUCAAAGUCUGGCACCUCGAACCGGAUGUACUAUAUCCGGUAGUGUUCUUUAGUCCCAAAAGUAACUGGCAAAACCACCUAACCGAGGGGUACAGCCGCGUUGCUUGGGACAAUCCCGUAGAAUGGAGAGUUCGUUGGGGUGAACAUGUCAGUAAUGUCGAGGCCCAUCUUCCUCAAAGUCUUGGCAAAGAGUACAAUGAGACUGCUACCACCAUCAAUGAGUACUUUGGUGAGUCUGGAGCUAGUGACUACUGGGUCUAGGAUGAGAGAAUACUGUCUUGGGUUUGAGAAACUAGUCUAUUGGUCCUUUCUGGAGAAAGUAAUUGGCACCUCGGACCAUUUGAGGAACGUAGUUGUUGCUGGUUCAAUAGACAUGAUCUAUCAGAGGGCAAGCUUCUGGGACCGCUUAGUAGCAGUACCCGGUGUGCCGCCAAAGAUGACGUUGAUGGUGUUGGAAGGGUUCUGGAAUUUGCCGUUGUCACCAUUGUCUUCGUCUUCCUUGGCAUUGCUCUUGUCUUUAGUUCCAGAAUGUUCCGGCAGAUCUUUUAUGACUCUCCGUAGACUGUAACAGUCCACGCAGAGUGCUUAUGGUACGAGUGCCAUGGGUACUGCUUCUUCAGGAGCUUGCUGAAUGGAGUCAUGUCUUAAUUCCUGCUGCCACCUUUCUUGGAUGGCUGUGACAUUGUCGCGACAGUAUUAUCUGGCUUCCUCUUGCAAUUUUGACCUCCCGAGUAGUUAUUUCUGUUGUCAUUGUUGGGGUGAUCGUUGCGGUUCUUGUCAUUGCGUUGACCAUUAUUCUGAUUAUUGUUGUUCUGGCCCUUGUUGUGAUUAGACUCAAACCUUUCGAUCUCCUUAUCUUCUUCAUCUGCCCACGCCUGUAUCAUGAUCUUAAGAGAUUUGAUAUCAUCAAGGCAUCUCCUGCCAAAAUCCAGGAACAUUCCAUGGUCAUAGAGACCGUUCUGGAAGCAAUCUAUGGCGUCGCGCUCCGUGAUGUCCAUGAUUGUGGCCUUCUUGUCGAAGAAACGACGUAGGUAACUACGCAGGGUCUUGGCUUGUUGUUGUUUGACUUGAGACAAGUCGAUCCUUUUGCCAGGACGCUGCAUUGUCCCUGCCAAGUUGUUGGUGAACGCCACCUUAAGAUCCUUCCAUGUGUCGAUGGAGUUCUUGUCUAAUGAUUCGAGCCAUGUAAGUGGCGCCGUCUCCAUGCAGAUGACCUUGGUGUCGUCGUUCCCCCCUGCUGCCUGUACUGACAAUGAGUAGCACCACAGCCAUUGGAUUGGGUCCUGCUUGCCAUCAUACUUGGUGAUAUCCAGAGGUUUGAAUUUCUCGGGUAGAACUGUCCUUACUCGUCUUGAGAAGGCGGGGAACCCGUCAGAAUCCUCUCCUAGGUAUUCGACUUCUUGCUCACGAUCGCAGUGGCAUCCGUCUAUGAUUGUACGGGCGUCGCGGCCGGCGUUGAUCUUGUGUCGGAGAUCCUGUACUGGGCAUUCAGACUCUGGGUUGGGCUCACGGUGGCCACGCCCUCCCGAGGGUCCUGCCUGACUACCCUCUGUUCCAGCUUGGCUUGGUCUGGCACCACCGAUUUGACUUGGUUUUGAUGGAGUGCGCCUAUGGCUACUGCCAUACUAGGAUGGGGUGUGUGGAACUGAAUGUAUUGGGGUUUGCUGAUCGAGUUGUUCAUACGCGCACUCUGCCAAUUCAGCCAAUUGCCUAGUGUACUUGUCCUGUGGCAUUGCGUUGGUAAUAAGAUCAAUGGACGCGAUGGUGGCAAGAGAAGUACGAUGUUGACACGAUUGAACUGCUUCAAACGCAUGAUCCAAGUUCAUGAUUGGGAGGUUUGCUGCAAGGCGGCAGCAACGCUCUGCUCUUGUAGCGUUUCUUGCUCGCCAUUGAGUUCUUUGAGCUUCGGUUUCUUCUCCGACAAUGUUGGCGGCGAGCUCAUCCUACGAGACAUCAUUCGAGUGACGUUCAUGCUGCGGAUUUCUCUGUGGUUGCUCUUUCUCUUCACCUUCUUGUGCAGCGAAUAGCUUCCCAAACUUGAUAUGAUGACCUCCGUGCAGCCGCCUUCUUCGUAGAUGGUUGACAGAGGAGUUCCCUCCUGGUAUGGGAGGGUAUCAAGGUAGGCAAUAAGGUGUGAGUCGUCGUUCUUGGCAAGAGCAGGUGGCUUCAUAUUGGGCUAGUAGAUGAAUCUGCCUUGUGGUGUUGAUGUGAUUACCAGGCCCCGCUGCGGACCUGAUAAAGGGGUCUCUUCGUUCGAGCCCGAGUAGUAGUCGGAAUCCUCGAUCAUAUCUGUGUCGGAUUGUGAUUUGGAUAGUGUAGCUUGGUCAAUAGCACCCAUGUUUUAGAGUCCGAAUGGGAAUUGACUUGGGUCGUAGUCUGAUUCACACGAUAGCUUAAGCGUUGGCUCGUGAAAACCAGUCUGACUAGCGGGAGAAGUCAAGUUGUACUCGAACUUGUCCCCCAGCCUCUGACUAAGUCAGAAAUUGAAAAUUCGCCGAAUUUCUCGAUGAGAUCCUCCGGAGCUUGAUGCUGAAGCUUCAUGGCGUGCUGCUUCUUCUCCGGGGCCAGCACAAUGUGGCGGUGGAAGUUUCCAGCGCCAUCUGUGAUGCAAACCCAGGAGUCGAAGAUGAGCAUCGCGCCCGCUUCGAACACGACGUUUGGCUCGAUGAUGAUUUGGGCCAUCGAGUUUGCCAGUGGAUUUUCUGCGAAAUCCCCUACCUGGCGCGCUAGCUGUCGGUGUUUAGACCCAGCAACCUACCGAGGGGGGUGCCCGAGGUAGUGUUUAGUGCGUGGGGCUCACCGAGAUCAUGAACUCAAAGGUGAACUCGAACGCACGAUUUAGAUAGGUUCGGGCUGCUAGAUUGCGUGUGUGUUGGUUGGAUUGAAUUGCUUUGGAGGGGGUUCUUGCCUCGCCUUAUAUUGCUGGGGUAGGGUUACAGGUCGGUUGUUUACAAGAAUACUAGUCGGAUUCGACUAGGCGAGUCCUACUCUAAUUGCUACGAGUAGUUUCCUAAUCCUCAACUAGUUCCUGUCCUGCCACGUAGACUACGUCGUUCCGUACCGUAGCCUCCAUGUCUGACACGUCUCGGUGUCCAACCCUGUACCUAGGACUGUCCAAACCUUCUGGUGGGCCCAUAGAUGUAUGUACGACAGAAGGUCCUAACCCAAACACAUUGAUCGCGAUUUACCGUACCCAUGUAGCAGGUGGGGCUGCAGAUAAAAAAUCACGCGGUGAUAAAAAUUUAUAAAUAUUAGACGCGGUAGAGUGGUAAUAUGCAACGGAUGCUGGGAAUAUUCCAUUUCGCUCUCACCCUCCAUCGUCCACUUUGGCUACUUUGCGCUGUCAAAUGGGGCUGAUAGAGAGGUACGUCGUACGAAGUACAAAUGUAGAUAGGAAUUGACUUCAAUUAGUAUAGAUUAGGCAAUGCCACUCAGCUGGGAUCGAUCCUGAAUCCGCAAUAAUGUGCAUGCUUUUUUUUUUUGCAUUGUGUGGAAUGAACACACAAAAAAAGUCAGCUUAGGCUUUUGGCAAUUGGCUACCGGAGCACCUCCGCGUGUGAUAGCACGAGAUAACCAACACCCGCGUAGAAGAAAAAGGAGUGCGAUUAGGUGGGAUCAUGGCGUGCGGCGCCUAUGUUGCCACGCCGCUUACCCACCAUGCUUGAGGACUUGAAGCUGAAGACAUGGCGGUAGACGCUAGGUCGCUAGGGCACUAGCGACAAGCCAAAUAAAGUUUGUUGUACUUGCUAAUCAUGUUGAGGGCAAUGUCGAGCGGAUCCUCAACCUCACCUCGCUGCUCCAAGCUAGCUUAGCUCUAGACCACGAGCUAACCUCUGCAUGGGGUUGUAGCCUACAGUACAAUGCCAAACUUUGCAAAUGAUGUGUGCGGGGCAAUUGCUGCUCCUUUUCUCGUCUGCUACUAUUAAUAUAAUUUGGUUCAACCCUAAUCUAUAUAAGUAGUUUAUUUGCAUAGCUAAGUAUGAGAUGUGAGCUCAUCUACAUGUAGUUGGGAACAACCUGAUGGAGUUCUGGGGUGACUCGGGUGGCGACCCAAACCUUAGCCGCCGCCAUCCCCCUUCCCCCUCCUCUCCCCCUCGCUGUCGCCGGAGGGACCUACCAGAAGCUCGCGCGGCUCCCAAGGAGGAUGGCGGUGGGGUCUUUUUGCCGAGUUUCCUGGCUAGCUGCACCAGAUCUAGGUGGGAGGCGGUGCUUGGCGGCCACGGCGGCACCGCGUGAUGGUGGCCCUAUCGCUCCUUGGCGCGGGUGGUGGCACCUUGGUGGCCGGCCUUGCAAAGGCGGGUGCGGCGGCGCGCGGUGGCGCACUAACGACCGGCUCAACGGAGGUGGGGGAGGUGCGGCUGCGACAGAGAGUGAUGGAGUAGAGACGACAUGGUGCGGGCUCAACGGAGGUAGGGGAGGUGCGGCAUGAUGGAUGUGUGAUCUACGCAUCCUGACCCUAGGGGCCUUGCUCAACCACUGACGGUGGGCGCCGCGUUCUUGGUGGGCCCGGUCGGUGUGGCCGCUGUUCCUUGGGAGCUGGGCGUCGGUACCAUUGCCUCCGGAUCCGGAUCUGAGCAUCCCGCGGACCCUAGGGCUGUCCUCCAUCAGUGGUAGCCACCGCAUCCCUAGGUGGGACCGGACGGCUUGGCCGGCGUGGCUGCGAGGGGAGCGCAUUGGCAGGUGCGGUCACCGGUCAGUGCUAUACCCUAUACGGCUCCACCUUCGUGCGCUGGGGAGGCAUGUCCUCGCAGAUACGAUGAGUUUCAACGGCACGUCAUUCUGGGCUGUGCUCAGGGGAAUGGGGCUAAGGUGAAAGCCUCUACCUGCUUGCAGGUCGAUGAUGGUGACGCCUUCGGGCGCCGCAUUACCUCCUUGGAGGCAUCAAUCUUUUGCCCCCUCUUUCUCUUUGCCGAGCGAGCUUCCUAGGUGAAAACCCUGACUAUGUGGCUGGACGACGGCUACACCUUUUGUGUCGUUCCCUCGCUGGAGGUGUCGUCUUGGAAGAUCAGGCUAGAUUGCUAUCAUCGAUACUCUAGGCCCGUUACGUGUCUUCUCAGCAGGUGUGUUGUGAGGAUUCUUGAGGCCAUGAUCAAGAUCGACUCAGUUCGGUUCCUACAAGACAUGGAUCGACAAGCAUCAGUCGAGCAUUUUACUGCAGGACGUCUCUAACAUCAAGAGUUUCUAAGUAGAUAAGUGAUGUGAAGAUUUGUUGCUGCAUGAGAACAAAGCAAGUUUGAAGCAAGGACGUAGAAGAAGUUUGAAACUUAGUAUUUCUAGUUUUCAUUCUUAGCCUUUGGUAUUUCUCUUGUUUGUUGUGUUCCUCAGUUGUGAGAAUUGGAAUCUAAAAACUCUUGUAAUUUUUUGGCUAUAUAUAUCCAAAUGUCGAUAUAGAGGCCGGAUGUUAUCCAUUAUCUAAAAUAUCAUAUUGUUGGAGAAGGAUCAGCCAUUUAUGCCACUGUUGAUGAUCAAAUUCAACAUCCUCAGUCACUUAAACAUGAUGAUGGGUUUAAGGCCAGUCUCACUGCACAAUUUUGUUGCACGGUUACCAAGACUGAGAAAUUUGGUAACUGUACCAGUUGAGUGUCAUGGGGAUGAAACUCCUCCCUCUCCUGAUGAAACUCCCCUCAUAAUGACCUUGCCAAGUCAGUAAUUUUGCUGAUGUGGCAAAAAAUUUAGUGCUCAUUAAAUUCGCAUUGACUGGCCUAAUUGGCCGAAUUUUGAGUAAUUUGGCUAAUGAUGGUGCAAUAUAUUUAGCUUGUUUAUAGCUGGAUUAGUCACUGGGUUUAUUUAAUUCGGCUCUGAGAUGAUUAAUGUGGCCGGAUGAUUAAGUGCUUGAUUGAGUAUGGUGUUUAGCGCAGAAUUAUUUGAGCGGCUACCUAAGCUCUGCAUGCGCAUCACACGGUUUCUCGUCAUCGAAAUCUGAAAGCAUCGCAUAUUAAGCAGCUGCAGGGAGGACGAACAAGAUAGGCAAAACUUGAGCAUCAUUGUUAUCCGUUGCAAGCGUAUACGCAUCGCAGUUGUUCACUUACGUUUUGAACUUAAUCUCACUCUUUCCUUCUCGAAAUCUCUCUCCUCGAGGUGGGCUGUUGUUUAAGGUUACCAGAAGAUCCUAGGUAAGAUCGGAAUAAACUAUAGAACUUUAAGGUCGUCAUAAUGAGAUCAGCCGACCCAACAAUGAUCCUCCAGAUCACAAAGGUGUAAAAUGAUGACACACGAACAAGGUUUGCUUGGAGUUGGAGGGAUAGUCACUGUAGCAGCUUGCUCCAUUGACGUUGACCCCGCCCGACCCCAGGAACACGUACGAGAGCGCAAUUGCUACCGUUUUGUUGCACAUGCGAGACGCGCCUUGGCCAGUGGCCACUAUCUCGAGUCGUCCCUAUACUUUGGUCGCCAACAGUCAGGUCCUGCCGUGUGCUCCAUUUCCCGCCGAGCAUAUAUAUUUCAUACGCUGCAGGAUAUUAUAUGCGUCAGAAUUACUCAGCCGUGGUCCAAUUGAAGACCAGCUUAUGCGAAGGUACGUAACAGCAGGUAGAUUGCUACACUUAGCAGUUUUAUAGGUCAUCUCAUGCAGUACCGCAUAAAAUUUUUCUGAUGUGGAGGAGAGAGGGUGAGGAGAGAGAAAGAAGUUGCUGUUUCGCGAAACAACUGCCUCAUAGGAUUUAGGAGUAUGAGACGACUACCCCACCAUUGUACGAGUUGUGGUUGCCAUACAACUCAUAAUAUUUCUUUUUUUCUAUGCACAAAUUAAGAAAAUAGAAUUACUAUGAGAUAAUUUAAAAAGACAACACAUUGUACAUAUUGUUUAUUAAGUCGUCUCAAAAUUACGUGUCACUGCAUGACACCACCUAUUAGAUAACAUCAAUGUAUUUACCCUAAGGAAAUAAAUCAACGAGGAGAUACAAGUAUAUCUUUCUUUAUUAUCUUCUCGUUUUCUUUCUACCCUAACUUUUUUCAAAUCCUAACUGUUGUUCUUCUCUCACCUCAAAACCCUUUGGUGUGCACGCCUUGAUGGGGAUUCCGGGUGAGCAUUACACGGAUCUACUACCACGCUGACCGGUGAGUGCACACGAGGUGCUAAGUGUGUGAUGCAUCGUGACGCGCCGUGAAUUAACGUCAACAUACUUUUUGGCCAAUCUAUCCACAAUUGCGGCAGUGCAAUCUUUAGUACCAAUGCUUGCUUCAAAACAACCCGUGUAGAAAAUAAAACAGAACGAAGAAGUGUUAGGAUUAACUUAAUCUAUCAUUAACUUAAACAGGAUAUUAGCUUAGCCUAAUCAUGAUCACUAAUCUUAAUUAGUGCGGAAUAUUUAGAUUAGACUAACCAGAGCCUUGAACCUCCAUGAUUUGCCUCUAAAGUUGAUGUAGAUGCCGAUGUAGAAGUAGCAGCGAAGAAUCUGACCACCAAAUCAAGAGUAAAGACUCCCAAUUUGAUGAUCCGUGGCCUGAACGUGGGUACGAGCUUCUACCCCUUUCAGUGCCCUUAGCAGUCAGAUUAGAUAUAUUCUUGUGGAAGAACAGAUCCUGUUUUGGGUGGCUAAUCACAUCAUUAACUCAUUAAUUGCGAUUAGGAGUCCCUCUAAUAUUUAUAGCACCGUAGGGGUAGGGCCGUACCUUCUCAAGAAGUUAGGAUUGCGCCGACUAUAGCAAUAAACUGAGAUAUUUUAGAUGAUCAUUAUCUCGUGAUUUAUCUCUAAUUAAUCCCGGAUUAAAUUUAAUUAAUACUUUGUGAUUAAUCAGAGAUCAUAUUCCAACAAGAAAAUCCACGUCCAUCUUGGUCACAGUUGUCAGGUUUUGUACUUGGUAGCGACUUAUUACAAACUAUUCUUAUUUGGUCUUGUACAAAAUUUCGUCUAGAUUAGCUUUACAAAUUGUCCAUGUAUCUAUUAUCUAUCUAGGCUGGAACUCUGAUACAGACAUCCCAUUCACAGAGAACACAGCAGCGGCAGCUGCUGCCCUUUGGUUACCCGAGCCUCCAGACACAUUAUCCCGCUCUUCAGAGUUCAUCAUCUCGCUAUAUGCAAAGGUGAACGCCGGCUUCGAGGGUGCCGCAAAGCUUGCCUCUUGGCCGUGGAGCAUCAUGAGUAUGUCCAGCAUGGUGGGCCUGUCUGCCGGGUUCUCCUGCACGCAGAGGAGCCCGAGAUGGAUGCACUUGAGCACCUCGCUCUCCGGGGCUUGGCAGUCCAACGAGGGAUCCAUCGUCUCCAGUGGUGUUCUCUUCAACCAGUGAUCCCAUACCUAGUAAUAAGAUCACAAUGCAUGCAUUUUUAUUGGUGAGUGGACAACAUGAUCUCAUCGGCUCAUCGCACUUCAUAAAACAAAAGAUUAGGAGCUAGGAAGCUCACGUAGCUCAGCAGAUUGCCAGGUUCUUCAAGUUCUGAUUCAAAGCAUGUGUCGGUGUUUCGCCUUCCCGUAACGACCUCCAGGACAAGUACUCCAAAGCUGUAAACGUCCAACUUCACCGACAGGUGCCCCAGGACUGCGUACUCGGGCGCCAUGUAUCCUCUGGCAGACAAGAGAACAAUGAAGUUCAGAUCACGGAAUGCUGUGUGAUGAAGAACACAGAUGAACAACAUCUUACAGUGUUCCAACAACUUGGCUCGUGACCGUAGUCGUCUUGUCACCAUUGAAAAGCCUUGCGAGGCCAAAGUCCGAGAUCUUUGGGUUCAUGUCAGCGUCUAGCAGGACGUUGCUGGCCUUCAGAUCGCGGUGUAUGAUCUUGAUCUGCGAGUCCUCGUGAAGGUACAGCAGACCUCGCGCUACCCCAUAUAUUAUACGGUACCUUGUCUCCCAGUCUAACAAUAGAUUUGACUCUGCUGCAGGUGCUGCAAAUUAAGUGCAAAGCAAUCAUAAAUUAGUGUGGAUUGCAGUUUGUUUCUUCAGUGUUUGUUUGUUAUCCUUUUGUUAAAAGAGAUGGAUUGCAGUUUGUACCAAAAAGGAAGGUGUCCAGGCUUCGAUUAGGCAGGUACUCGUAUACCAGUAGCUUCUCCUGUCCCUUCAAGCAAACGCCGAGGAGCUUUGCAAGAUUGAUGUGACGAAGCUUGGCAACGAGUAGAAGCUCGUUUCUGAGCUCCUUUAGGCCUUGUGCUGAAGCUUUAUCCAGCCUUUUCACAGCUAUCUCCCGUCCAUCAGGCAAGAACCCCUGAAAAUAGGUAAGAUUUGCAGCUGGAUCUUAUAGUAAUACAAUAGGUACAAAGUUAUACUGCGUGUAGUUUCAAUGUCUUUAGCCAUUGUACGACCUUGUAUACAGCGCCAAAGCCUCCAUGCCCGAGCUUAUUCUCUUUAGCAAAAUUUGCCGUCGCCCUCCUUAAUGUUGUCAGGUCAAAGAGGAGAGACCCGGCAUCCUCAUCUUCCUUGGCAUCUGCAUAGACAAUUGGACAUGCUUGUUGCUAAUUUUUUCCAGAACCCUUCCUUUGCGCCACUUAAAAUACUGAAGCUAUAUGUUCUGACGGCAGCAGAAGUGCAGAACAUCACUCUUUCUACUUCAAAUCAAUUAAAGAUUUGUUUGCAGAACUCACAUUGUUUUGCUUGUCCUUUUCUCCAGAUGUAGAUGAUAAACGCGGACGCAAGGACAACAACCAGGACUCCAAGGACAAUGGCCAUCACUGUUGCUGCGUUCCCUGAACCCUUUGUCCUGUUUGCUGCAGUUACGUGCAGAAAAGCUAUUCAUCAGUCUGAACUUAAAUUGGAACAUUAUAUUGUUGUGGAUAUAUCAAGAUAUUGCUGUGAGCUCUGAACCUAAUCUCGUUUCUCAAAUCAAAAUUAGGCAGGCAUAAUAGAGCGUACUGUUCUGGCUUGCCGGAGCUGGCGGCGGCGGCGCGACAAGGUUGACCACCAGGCUGCCGUCGUAGAAGGGGUACACCUCGUACCUGAGGUUACACCACACCGCGAAGAACUGCGCGCCGGACGUGCCGUUGAACAAGCGGGGCAUAUUGUCCCUGAGCCUGCCGAGGCACCCCUGGCACGUCCCCGGCGCCAGGUCCGGCGUGCACUGCACCAGCCCGUAGAUGCUGUACACCAGGUCGCGGUUCGUCGUGGCGAACCCUUCGCCGGAGGUGAUCACCCCGGCGGCGUACCUCCUCGUGGAGUUGUGCGCCGCCCAGCCGGCGAGGGCGCCGAUCAGGUCGGCGGCGAGCCCGACGUACUGGCCGGGGUUAGAGGUGAUGUUGAUGUCCUUGUUGACACCGAACGGUACCGGCGCGGCGGCGGCGGCGGCGGCGUCCGGGUCGGCGAGGAAGUCCGUGUCCGAGUACCUGAGGAGGCAGCGAUCGUAGUAGAUGGACGCGUCCCUGACGCCCCUGCAGAAGCCGAAGGUGAUGUUCGGGGCGAGCGAGAGGCAGGACGCGCAGCUGGUGGCAUUGACGUCGCCGCGGCAGAGCGCGAGGCCCCACACCUGGUCGGGGGCGGCGCCGAGCGUCUCGGUGGCGAAGCCGACGGUGGAGCUGGACGCGUUGGUGGCGAGGGAUCCGAGCAGGGAGACGACGUUGGAUUGGUAGGUGGAGUUGAUGCCGUAGGAGGUCCUGUUGUUGCAGACGUAGUUCAUGAGGUUGAAGGCGUGGCUGCGCCCUGGGUGGUGAGCGGAGAAGAGAGCUAGGAGGAGGAGAAGAGCGGCGGCCAUGGUGUGCGUGGAAUUUACGGUUACAUUUCCCGUCCUAGUGAAGUAGUGAUGAAUAUACCGAUUUUGUUCUGAAUUCAGCUCCAUGUGGGGCCCAUUUGACCCGAGCGUUGACUGAUUGGAGUUAGCUCGAUGAUGGUCUUCCUUGAUCACGAAUACUCCCUCUGUUUUACAUAUCACAUUAGAUUUGUUUUAAAUCAAGUUUAAUCAAAUUUGUAGAAAAAUAAAA
rnacentral:lncRNA from 1 species